rnacentral:lncRNA from 1 species
AACAACAACAACAACCUGUCCAACAACAACCACAACCAUUUCCACAACAGCAACCAUGUUCACAGCAACAACAACCACCAUUAUCGCAGCAACAACAACCACCAUUUUCACAACAACAACCACCAUUUUCGCAGCAACAACAACCAUCAUUUUCGCAGCAACAACAACCACCAUUUUCACAGCAACAACCACCAUUUUCGCAGCAACAACAACCAGUUCUACCGCAACAACCAUCAUUUUCGCAGCAACAACUACCACCAUUUUCACAGCAACAACCACCGUUUUCGCAACAACAACAACCAGUACUACCGCAACAACCACCAUUUUCGCAACAACAACAACCAAUUCUACCGCAACAACCACCAUUUUCGCAACAACAACAACAACCAGUUCUACCGCAACAACAAAUACUAUUUGUUCAUCCAUCUAUCUUGCAGCAGCUAAACCCAUGCAAGGUAUUCCUCCAGCAGCAAUGCAGCCCUGUGGCAAUGCCACAAAGUCUUGCUAGGUCGCAAAUGUUGCAGCAGAGCAGUUGCCAUGUGAUGCAACAACAAUGUUGCCAGCAGUUGCUGCAAAUCCCCCAGCAAUCCCGCUAUGAGGCAAUCCGUGCUAUCAUCUACUCCAUCAUCCUGCAAGAACAACAACAGGUUCAGGGUUCCAUCCAAACUCAGCAGCAGCAACCCCAAGAGUUGGGCCAAUGUGUUUCCCAACCCCAACAGCAGUCGCAGCAGCAACUCGGGCAACAACCUCAACAACAACAAUUGGCACAGGGUACCUUUUUGCAGCCACACCAGAUAGCUCAGCUUGAGGUGAUGACUUCCAUUGCGCUCCGUACCCUACCAACGAUGUGCCGUGUCAAUGUGCCGUUGUAUAGAACCACCACUAGUGUGCCAUUCGGCGUUGGCGCCGGAGUUGGUGCCUACUGAUAAGGAAAGGUCUCUAGUAAUAUAUAGUUGGAUCACCGUUGUUUAGUCGAUGGAUAUGUCGAUGCAGCGGUGACAAAUAAAGUGUCACACAACGUCGUGUGUGACCCGCCCAAACUAGUUGUUUAAAUUCUGAAAUAAAAUACAAAUAAAGUUGUAUCAAGACAAUGUUCAUAUUGGCAUUGUGUGGAUGUCCAUAUGAUUGCCAUGCUUGCAAGUUCAUAAGUUUGUCUUUCCUGGUCACAAGCGCAACCUGGUGCCUUAAUUAAUUAUGCAUGUAUUGGAAUAAUUACUAUUUAAAUAUAAUAGUGUUACUGUAAAAUUUGGGUUGAACUCUUUAUCGGUUGGAGAUUUGAGAUCUUGUUUUUUAUUGGUUUGUAUCUAGUUCCAACUACUACCAUUGUCUAUAGUGACAAUCACAACCAGUUUUAUCGUUAAUCAUGUUUGCUUUCUUGCAAAUACAUUCAUUCAUUCUUUGCAUCUUAACUUAUUUGUCGAGAAAAGACCAGCUUUUUCUUGAACUUCACAAACACCACUAGCUAGUUAAUUUGAAAUAAGCUUCCAAUUUAUUUCCUUGUAUUUAUGUCCUUUACAUCAAACCAGUACAAUUAUUGUGCUACCUAGAGAAAAGGAGUUGCUGGCAGCACGGUCAUGUCAAGAACUAAAUCAGAUUGAAUUGAACUUGUUCUUUACAACUAGCUAGGAGCAGAAAACUUACUGUGAAUUGCACUUGAUUAUAUUUAAUUUUAUUUAGGGCUACAGGAAAAAAAUCAUCAAAGAAUGCCCUAAAAAAAUCUUAUCGUAAAAUAGGUUCAUCAGGAGAUACAGUCGCAAGAAAAAAAGGUUCACCAGGAGAUAGAUGCUGCACAUUAUCAUUUACUCCCUCCAUUCCAAAAUAGAUGACUCAAUUUUAUACUAACUUUAGUCAACUUUGUACUAACUUUAUACUAAAGUUAGUACAAAGUUGAGUCAUCUAUUUUGGAACGGAGGGAGUAGAAAUUAGACCAAGAGAAAUGUGGAUUUGGCGGCUCAUAAUUCUAUAAGACUAUAGCAGGCUGUCCAAUCAUUUACAAAUUAGAUCAAGAAAAUGUGGAAUUAAACAUAUUAAUGGCUAGGAUCAUAUUUGCAAUGUGCGAUUGGUAUGCACGCUCCAACAUGACCGCUGAAAGCAUUUUUCCUCUGAUGCACAUAUGAAAUAUGACUGGUAGAAAACAGAAGAAACACAGAGAUUAUAUGGAUGAUUGGAUGUUUUAACAAACUUAAACUUAUAAUCCACCGAGCGGACGAACUUCCUAGGAGCCUUUCUCUCGGACAUCGAUAAGAAACGAAAUGUUCCACGCGAACUUCUUCUUCUCCAUCUGUAUAACGCAUGCAGAAGAAUUAUUUUGAUGAUUAUUUCAAGUGGCAUCCAUAUAGUGUACAAAGCUAUUUAGCUAGAAAAGCCACAAAUGUACAUCACUGUCAGGCUACACGACUGAAUUCUGCUCCAUGACCUUCCUGAUUCAUGCGGCUCCUGAAUUUAUCUGAAUCGAAUCAUGGAAGAGACAGGCUUUCAGGGUCGAUAGCUCAUGUUCAUGGGGAGGCCAAAGAGGCUGCGUCGACGUACGGCCUGAAACCGACGAGGAGCUCGAAGACCUUCUUGUAGAGACCAUCUGGUAGAGAAGUAAGGAGGGAGAUCGGAAGAGGAUACAGGAGAGGUUGGGGGUGGGGUGGAAGGGGAGGAGGCUGUGCCAGCGAGCGGCCGCGGCUCGAGGCGGUCUGGCCGAUGAGGAGGGUGAACAAGGGAGAGGAAGAUGCAGAUUGGCAUACUGUGGGUUGGGUUUGUGACGUUGGGUUCUCAGAAAACUAUAGCCCAGUUCGAAUUUGGUGCCCGUGACGACACACACUGAGCGUUUAUGUUGGGCCUAAUCACUCACUUCCAGCCCCCCACUCUGAUUUCCCCCUCAAAGAAAACAAAAGCUUCAACCCUUCUCACCCCCCCCCUUGAUGACAACAACAACAACAAAAAUAUCUAUAUGCAAGAUCAAGAAAUAUCUAUAAGGAGCAUUCAGAAUGCACGUGAAUUAAUCGCUAUAACAGCUUGGUAUUUAUGGUGGGAUAGACAUAAACUGGUACACGAAGGAAAGUUUCAAGAUACAAAUCAAACUUCGAUAGGAGCUCGUGCCAUAAUGGCAAACUAUUUUAAUGCCUACUCCCCUAAGGCAACUAAUAAAAGAGGGGAUGAUGGAGCAUCCCUCCUAGGGUUUUUGGGAAGCUGAAUGUUGAUGCCUUUUUUGAUCAUGAUCUGCUUCAGGGUACAGUGGGGGUGACUCUUAGACAUGACAAAGGCAGGUUCAUUGUCAGUGGAAAUUGGAGGAUUGAUUGUCGUGCUGAUGUAUUAGUAGCAGAAGUUGUGGCGCUAAAGUUUGGGUUAUUCCUUGCACAGAAGGCGGGUUGCAAUCGUCUUGUUGUUAACUCGUACAAUAUAGAAGUGAUUGACACAAUGAAGAAUGCAGGACACUCGGCCGGUGUGGCGGCUAUAGUUUUCUAUGAUUGCUAUUUUUUGGCUUGUGGUUUUUCUUUUAUUAGAUUUGAACAUUGUAACAGGGAAGUAAAUAAGGUGGCUCAUGAAAUUGCUAAGCUAGCGAAUUUUUUUGUUAUUAGUGAUUGGUUUGAGGAGCCUAUGAAUGAGAUUGUACUUUUUUUUAUUGACGAUGUAACAGUUGUUUCUAAUUAAUAAAGAUGAAGUUUUAUUAAAAACAACAACAAGAAAAAAAAUCUACUCAUCUUGUCCCGAGGGAUCCGAAACCCCAGUAUCCUUGCAUCUUUCUUUUGCAUGGCAUGUACAUAAGAUUUUCUUUGUUAGUAGCAUGUGUUGUUGGCGGCGGCUGCUCGAUGUUAGAGGCGACAUGUGUGGACGGAUAAUUGUUUCGAUCCAUAUAUGUUCUGAUAGCCUUCUUAGGCCCUGUAUAAUGCUACGUGUUUAGGGAGGUGCUUAGGAAAAUAAACCAAGUUUUUAAAGCGUUUUCUAAGCACCAGUGUCUAUUUCUAAUGAGAGACACCUAAUUAAGCGUUUAGCCUAUACAAAUAAACACCGAUGCUUUAAGAAAUACUAGUUUAUUUAUCUAAGCACCUUCCCCACGCGCCUUACAUGGUAAGGUUCUAGAGCUAGUGGUGUUUUGGUUUCUCUUUUUUCUGUCACAUCAAUAUCAUUCUUUCGAAUGGGUCAUGGGUCAACCAAAAUGGGUUUGUCUCGCGACACGAAGGCCGUAAGAGCCGAGCAUCACUAGUCUAAGAAGACCAUCGAACAUGACAUCAUGGAGCGUUUUCUUUUCUUCUUGCCGUCUUCUCCUCCUAGUCCACUAUGUCUCCUUCAACACCAAGGAGUAUUCUUUUUCUCUACAAACACCUCGUAUCGACCUUACGUCCUGCAAAUCACUGAUGGUAACUUCCAUCCUAUCACGAUAACAAUAUUCUCUUUCAAGAAUCAGCCUUCCUCGAGUUACUUAUACCACGUUAAUUGUUGAUGCUGAAAUUAAUAACCUCAACCGUCAACUGCACCCUUGCAAACAUUAAAACACGCGGGUCCAACUUGGUUCAAAACCCAUCGAUCGAUGAUAGUCGGUCAUGUGGGAUUCCGAUCGACUUAGACAUUGAGGCGUUAAAGUCACGUAGAAUAUUUUCUACAAGAAAACAUAUAAUAUAUUCAUCUUCAAUCACGACAGUAUAACAAACACGAGAAAUAAUAAAAAUUACAACCAGAUCCGUAGACCACCUAGCAACGUCUACACCAUAGAUCGAGACAAAGAAGACGAGGACUGAUCCAAAUACUUAAUCACAUGGUGCAUUCGUCGUUCGUUUCAUCAUCACCUCCCGACUGGUAUAGGCACGUCUGGUUCACGUAAUACCCCACAUAACAAUACAGUGGUUGCAUGGCCGGGCAAUAAGAAUAGACGGAGGGCGUGUAGCAUUUUGCUGAGCUCAAUCGCCGUGCAGCCGAUCAAGUUUAGGCAGAUCAAUGUUCCACAAAAUUACAUAGGCGACAAGACAGCCAUAGGCGACAAGACAGUAAAUAAACUACCACAAGCGAUAAUGGCGUACCACACAAAGGAGGCGUCGUCGACCGUCCUCGAAUUACUUAUACCACAUUAAUUGUCGAUGCUGAAAGUAAUAACCUCGACCGUCCACUGCACGCUUGGAAAAAAAAUAGUUCUUGUCAUGGAUAUAAUCAUGACAAUACUAUGGUGAUGUGAAUGUAGAGGCAAUUAUUACCUGAUUGGUACGUAAAGCAGAUGGGAUUAAACACACAGAAUUAUACAGGUUUGGGCUCUCUACGGUGUUGGUAACACCCUACUCCUGUGUGAUCUCGCUCUUGGCGUAGAUUACAAUGUGAGAGAGUUCAACCCUCAGUGUGAUGUCCUACUCUUGUCUUAUAUAUAUGGAGUACGCUAGGAGGGAGUGCCAUAACGGGCUGGUGUAAAUACUAUUGAUGGUCACAUGCAUGAUUGACUAUUCGUGGCUAUUAUUACUGCUAACUGGUGUAACGGCAAUGAUGAAUGCUCAUGGGGGGUCACGGCAUCCUAGGACGUAGCCGACUGUAGAUGGUCCGACUACUCCUGUCUUGCCGAUGUCCGACUGUAGAUGAUCUUACUGCUCCUAUCUUGCUCAUGACCGACUAUCGAGUCUUGUCUGUUAGGGGGCGUGUGAUCCUACUUUAGACACUGGACUCCUUAAUUAGCGAGUAUUCCCCUUGUAUCUGAUGCCCUGGGCUUGUAGCUCCAAUGCCCCAUUUGGGACCGUAUCCUUGAUUAGCCUGGGCUUUUGGCUGGGCCAUAUGUGUACUUAGGCCUAUCCCUUAUAUAUAACCCCAAUACUAUGUUCAUGGAACAAGUAGACGUCAAAAAAUAUAAGUUUAAAAAAGGUAAUCAUGUAUUUGAAAACUGUUGAACCUCUCUAUCAAAAAUAUUUUUGAUAUAUACAAAAAAUAUAUGUCAAAAGGUUGACACUAAAAGAAAGGAAAACAAUGAAAUCCCUAAACCCUAAACAAAGAAAACUGUGAAAGAAACAAAGAAAAAAAAGGAUAGAUAAACGAGUAAAAAAGGAAAACAAGUGUAAAACAUGAAAGAAACAAAGAUAACCAAUGAAGAAACAAAAGAAGAAAGAAAAUAAGAAGAAAAAACUAACCAAACUAGUAUGUGGAACCGAGUGAGCGAAUGACCUGAGCAUGAGCGAACGACCCAAGGUUGUCAGAAACAUGAUUUUGAAUCGGAUAGAAGUUCUGAUGGUAGGAUUGCAAACCUUACAACGACCUGAUGCUAUUCUUGCACCUUCAGGCGUGGCAAAUGCUAAUCUCGCUUUCAGCGAGAUAUAGCAUUCGUGAAGCAAUGAAGGGUGUCAAAUCGUCAUAGCUAUAUCACGCAUAUUCAGGCUCACCUCUGGAGUCCGCAUGUAUGGGCUGGAUCAUUAACGUGUUCUCUCAUAUCUCUGUACGUUCUUUUUCUUUUCGAGUCUUUUUUAAGUCGGGUUUCUUUUCAUCUACAUGAGAAAUAAUUUUAAAUAGAAUCAUUAACAUUAAAAAAAAUACAUGUUUUCAUGUCUAAUUUUUUCAUACACAUUAGAAAUUGUUUUGUAUGCACCAGGAACAUUUUUUCUCUAUACACAUUUAACAUUUUUCAAAUACACGAUUAAUACUUUCAAAAUAUAUCAUUUGAUGUAAAAAAAAUCCAUGUACAUUUUACAUCUGUCUUAUAUAUUAGGAACAUUUUUUUCUAUACACAUUUAACAUUUUUUCAAAUACACAAUUAACACUUUUCAAAUAUAUGUUUUGAUGUAUAAUUUGUUUCAUGUUUUACAUUACAUUAGGAACAUUUUUAAACAAAUUUAACAUUUUUUAUAAUUUCACAUACAAUUUUUUAAGUACGUGAAGAUUAUUUUGUUACCACAAUUUGUUUAAUGCUAUCAAUAUUUUUUUAACAAUGCACAAACAUUUUUUUCAAAAUUUCAGCAUUUGUUUGUGGAAUAUAUUUAUUUAUUUUAAUAUGAAAAAAUAGAAGUAAAAAAUAUAGAGAUAAUCUGAGAGAAAAAACAAAACUGAGGGUAGAACUGAACAAAUCUGUCUCUAGGGCGGCCCACCCGGGCGUUUCUUCAGGAGACGCUGGCUUUCGUGUCGCUAUAAGCUACCCAUAGCCGCGCGCAUAUCGAACCAGACAUGAUUGGGUGUUUGCCAUCUUCUUUCACAAGGUGUGGAUAUUGUAGGCAAGCAGCUUAUAUUCAGUGAUGGCUUUUGUCGUAACACGACAACGGUUUGCUCUUUCAGUUUCUUACCAAAGCAACUGCGGUCAUAACAUGAACCUAUCAAUCACACUUGUAACAUUCCCAUGCAACUCUAGCUAGAUUGGUUCAAACACAUUGGCUCACACAUCGAGGCGAUAUAACCGUAGAGUUCACAACAGGCAACCGAAUAACAAAACAUAUGCAACCCUAAUAUCACAAACUCAAAAAUGAAAGAUGUCAUAGCUUGACAAAAAGAAGGCACCGUAAUGCACCAGAUAAGCGAUCGAGAGACUUAAUCACAUUGUGCAUACGCUCGUUCGUGUGGUCAUUUGCUCCCUGGUCCGUGCAGCUACCCUACAACAGACUGCAAGCAAGUCUUUUGAUCGUGGCCAUUGCCGAAGCACCCUUGAUCCCACUUGUUCCCCGCCAAGAAAAAGGCAUCUAAGUACAGCUAGCGCGGCAUAAUUCAAACGUGACACUGGAACCGAUAUAGGUGGACCGGGGUGGUCAGGAACACUGUCAUCGAGGUUAUUAGGCAUGGUUUUCAUAUUUGUACUUCCUACCCUAAAACACGGUUCGGAUUAGCCGUGUUUUUUUUUUCCUUUCAUCGACCUUAGAAAUGUAGAGGCGAUUGCUGCGUCACCCUGUUUCUGUUUUUGCCGCCAUUUCUGAUAUAGCGAUAUAGGUACGGUCCCUAACUGUCCAUUGCAUGGCCGGAGCCUAAGAAUAACGGACGGCGUGCAUCACUUAAUUUGCAUGCUAAGCUUAAUCACCGUGCCACCGGUCAAGUUGAGGCAAAUCUACCCCGGCCGGCUAAAUUCUCGCUGAGCAAUCAAUGGAAAGGAGAUCGCCCUGUUUGAAAAACCAUAAGAAGGAGACGUUGUCAUCGUCGGGAAGCUAGUUAGAAUGGCGUACCACGGGAAGGAGAGCUCGCCGGCGGCGGGGCAGGUGCUGGUGGUGGCGGUGGCGAUGGCGGUGCUGCUGCUGGCGCAGCAUGCGGGGCGCGCCGACGCCAAGAUGAUCUUGUACGACGUGAUGCAGGGGGACGAGGUGCCGGGACGUAACGGGCUGACCCACGUGGAAGACGAGGCCAACAAGUACACCCGCGGCUGCGAGAGCUCCAACAAAUGCAGAGGCUGAGAACCACGGCAUAGCCGGGAUGGUAGGCAUGGGCUGAUGCAUGCCUGCCCGCCUGGGUUCGAGCCUCCGUGCUCGCAAUACCAGCGCGUACUCACCUAAUUCUUCUAUAAAAGUAAACCGAGGGAUUCUUCCCCUCCGGUCUCGAAAAAAAAUACUAACCAAUUUGCACUCAUUACAUUCCUUCCUACCUUUUUUUUGUUAAUAAGCGGGAGAUAAAUACCCACGCGAUUGCCACGGAAUUCGGUUGUAAUUAUUUUAAUAAGAAUUGGUUGUAUGAAAUAUCAUUAGUUAGAUUCACUUGUAGAAAACAGGGCUUUGGUUCGGGCAGAAAAAAGCAUUAAUCCCGGUUGCAUUACGAACCGGGACUAAUGUGAGCAUUAGUCCCGGUUCGAGCGGCUAGGGCACCGUACAGGCAUUAGUCCCGGUUGGUGCCACGAACCGGGACUAAAGGGUGCGAUGCCCAUUAGUACCGGUUCGUGGCACCAACCGGUACUAAAGGUUAGACCUUUAGUUCCGGUUCGAGCCACCAACCGGUACUAAUGGGGUUUGAGGCAUUAGUACCGGUUCAUGGCACGAAUCGGUACUAAAGGUCCCAUUUCCAAACUCUACCCCCUAUCGCCUUUUCAGUUUUGUAAAAAGCAAAAGAAAAUGAUAAAAACUUCAAAAAUUAAAAUCCUUCCAGAUGUAGUUAUGUUACUACAUGUACUAGUUAGGAAAAUUAAAAAACUUAAAAUUGGACAUGUUUUGCAAAAAGUGUAGGGAAAAUGUAAAACGGCUAUAACUUUUGCAUAUGACGUCAGAAAAAAACGUAUAAUAUAUCAAAAUGUUCAGCACGAAAAUCCGCAUCCGAUUUUGACUGCCUACGGCUUGUUUGCAAAUUUUUAGAAUCCUCAAAUUCUAAAAGGAAAAAAAGUUAUGCUCAAAUUUCUGUUUUUUUGAAUUUUUGUUAAAUCUGGUCAAACUAUGGUCAAACUACUUAUUCAAGAAGUAUUAGUGUUACUAAAUAAUUAUCCAAGAAUAUUAUUGUUACUAAAUAAUUAUUUCAAUUUUUUGAAUUUUGGUCAAAUCUGGUCAAACUGUGGUCAAACAAUGGUCAAACUAAUUAUUCAAGAAAUAUUAGUGUUACUAAAUAAUUAUUUCAGUUUUUUUGAAUUUUGGUCAAAUCUGGUCAAACUGUAGUCAAACUAUGGUCAAACUACUUAUUCAAGAAAUAUUAGUGUUACUAAAUAAUUAUUGUUUUUUAGAACAAUAGUUUCAAAUUCAAACAAUGAAAUGUGUGACUUCAUGCUCAAGCUAAAUUCCUGAGGGUUAAUAGGAUUGACAUCUUACUAUUGUCAGGAAAACAACAAGUGAAGACUUGGAAACGAGGGAGAAUAGAACCCGGAAGUUAAGCGUGCUCAGGCUGGAGUAAUGAGAGGAUGGGUGACCGUGUGGGAAGUUAGAUGAUUUGGAAUGAUGAUGGGUGAUUAGAGAUUAGAGGUUAAAUUGAGCAGUGAUGAGGGGUGAUUAAAGAUUAGAGGUUAAAAUAAUUCAGAAAUUUGAAAAUAAAAAAAAAUUCAAAAAAAAUCAUAAAAUUUCCUUUAGUACCGGUUCAACCGGGACUAAAGGUGGACCUCCAGGCAACGGCCACGUGGAGGGCCUUUAGUCCCGGUUCAUGUAAGAACCGGGAUUAAAGGGUCGUUACUAAGUUAAUGGAGAUAACUAUUUAGCUUGGUACUGAUUGAUUUGUUGUCACAUGCACAUUGGCCAAUUUCAUCGAUUCAUGUCGUCCAAUUAGCUAGCCAAGACCUGGCCGUACAUGCUCUGCUGAUUCCUAACUAACAUAGGUUAGAGACCAGUCGAGUGAAAAUGAAUUUUGCGUUUGUCCAAUCGUUUCCACCCUUCAGAUACAGAUCCAACGGUGUAGGUGCCUUUUUCUACCUCUCAAUCAUUUUCCCUGUUCAUCUUCUACCCUAAGCCGUCCGCGGCCAGCGGCGCUCCGGCACCUGCCUCGCCUCCCCGCGCACCGCCGCGCUGCCAUCGUCUCUGGCCAUCCCUCUAACCCUGGCGAUGAACAGAUUUUUCCGGCGGACCAGCACCCUCCCCCCUAAAAUAGAUAGCCGGCGAGCCUACCAUCCUAAUGUAGACACCGGGGUCGCCUGCCAUCCUAAGAUAGACACAAAGGGCUUCGCUGGCGAGCCGGCGGCUGUUUCCUUCAUGUGAACUCGACUGACCCAUAUAUUAUUUUGAUGCAACUUACAAGUAGCUAAAUUGGAAUAAACAAAGCCCAUAUUCCAUAAAAGUGUUAGUAAAUGAGGUUUCCCAAUGUUAAUAAUGCUGUCGAUCGAUGGGGAUGUCCCGGUAGAGAAAGUCAUCAUGCUACAUGAGCGCAUGGCCACCCAUGUGUACAUCACGGCUUUCUUCUUCUCAUCCAACUUAUCUGCAUUGAUCGAGACCACGCACCAGGCCACCUAGGCGGAUUAGGCGCCAUAGCUCCUUCCAGGAGGACAAGUUGCUAGUGGUAACCGGAAUCGUCAUGCCCUUUUGUCGUUGCCACUAACCAGGACGAUCGUCGAUUGAAGUGUAGACGCAUGAAGGUGACGCUUGCGUAGCAGCUACUACAAAACAACCUAUUUUAUUCAUCUCCCGCUUAAUUUAUUUUCUUCCCUCUGAAAUGCUUGCAUAUUUCACAAAACAAAACAUUAAUAACGUCGUGAAGGCGCCUUAGCACAAUCGAGACAAGGAGAUUUCAAGUGGCUCCUCUAUUUUCUCCGACGACGACGUGAACACCACGGAGGGCCGUCGGUUUGAUCCGGGACACUGAGAUUAGCGAAGCACGAAAUGAAAGAGAAAUCUAGCCUUUUUUUUUCUUCUAAUGGAGGAGACGGGUACUAGUAGUCAGCUGAGAACUACGAACUAAAACCGCGACAUUCUUUUUUUGGAAUGGAGGAAGUAACUAUUUUCGAAUCGAUCAAGUCGUGUGUGCUUGAUUAUGAAAACAUUUCAGUUUUAUAAUUAAGAAAAUCUCCUUAAUCGCCAGAAAGAAAAUGAAAGGAGAAAGAAUACUACUACUAAUAUAAAGAGCUGCUUUUGUAGCUAGGCAACAUUCUCGCAGCAUCAACGUUAAGGCGGUAGCUGCCAUGGUAGUGGUUGGACCGGCAGUGAUCACCGUCAGCUUGAUCACGACUGAUCGACUGAUUGGUGUGAGACUAGGGCGUGCCAUACGUGCACACCGGCCAGCCGCCCACCCGACCCGGGCAGGCAUCAACAGCACAAGAGUACAGUGCAGUACGACUGCACAAUGAUUUCCCUCAUCUUCCUCUUUGAUUGGAAUGCACAGGACUAACAAAAUUUUAAAAAGUAUUCAAGCAUGUAUUAUGUGUGAUGGAAAGCGUAUGUGUGGGUAGCUAGUUUUCUCAUUGAUCAACGUACGUACUUAAUUGAUGGAGUAUUGCAUAAUUACUUGGUUAAAUUCAGCUAUCAUCAAGUAGCUAAUUCAUUGUAUCAGCAGAAUCAUGAACCCAAGAAUAACACAUGGGUAAAACUACUGAUUAUAAUCAAUCCAUACUCUGGAUAUCACAAGGGAGGGUUGUAGGGGUAGUUGAAAAGCGCUGUAGCUGAAAAGAAGGUCGUUGCUUUGCAAGAAAAAAAAUAAUGCAAACCUUACUAUAUGUACACAUCUACCGGUUAAUCUAGAGCUUCAGAUGAUUAAAUAACUUUGUAUGUGCCACUCCAUGGAAAAUUGAGUAAACACAUCUCUUUAUUAAUCAAGAAGCUACAUACGCGGCAACAAACAAACAUGAUCACAUGUACUACUACAAGUAGUUGCAAGCAGCAAGAGCAGAACAGAACAGAAGAUAGGCAGGAGUCAGAUGGAUCGGAUGAAAAAAAGAAAACGGAAGAAGGGGAAGAGCAGCUUAAUUGGAGCUGGCCGGCCGGGGUGAUGGAGCUCAGCCGGUCUCUAGUCAGUGGUGAUGUGCACGCCGAUGACGAUGACGAAGAGCGCGAUGAGGGCGAAGUAGAUGAUGGCGUGGACGAGGAUGGCCAUGGCGCUGGUGUGCAUGUUGCCGAACUCCACGAAGUGGUGCUUCCCGGGGAGCUGCAGCAGCAGCCCCGGCGACAGCAGCACGAACAGCACCACCGCGAUCACCACCGGCCCCCAGUCCGACAUCCUCCCUCUCCCUCCCCUUCUCCGACUCCGGCAAGCUUCUUUCUUUCUCUCUAGCUAGCUCCUCGCGGCAGAGAAAGGAAGGCAAUGGAGCAGAGCAGAACAGGAGCGGGGGCGCAGAGUAGAGCAGAGAAGGAUGGUGUGAUUGUGGAGGGAAAGGCGUGAGGGCUCCCUUUCAUCGCCAUUCGGUUGGUGACGUCUCGCUUUCCCUACCGCCUACGACCACAUCGCCCGUUUUCUAGUCACACCUUUUGCACUUGUAUUUUCUAGUCACGCCUUUUGCACUUGCGCUUCAGAAAAGAAAAGAAAAGUUUUUUUCUAAAUUAUUAUAUACUGUUAGCAGCUCCAUGCAUGAAUUUUUUUUAAUCAAAUCUUAUGAUUAGGUAGUCCUUUUUGCGAAAAAGGACCUAGAUCUUUUACAAAGGUUUGUAAAAAGGGCAAAGCAUCCUAUAUACAUAAUAAAAUAAAAUCGAGCACAACCGAAGGACCACUGCCACCGUCGGAGUGGCCAUCUAUGCGCAGCUAUUGAUGCUCUCCUCUACCUGAGCCGGUUUGACUUCGUUGAUGACAGUCGGGAAGUCUUCAUGCACGUGCCCCUAAGGUGCGGCGUACUAGAGCUGAUAUCAUCGCCACUGAACCCUUGAAUAGAUCUAAAACAUCUGACUCCAAAUCUAAUCAUCGCACACAAACAACGAGAAACUGUAACCUCAUCACACCAAGGAGACAUCAUGGAUCUACACCGGAGCUCCAUCGAAUCCAUCCCGAUGGACAAACUCGAUGAGAAUCGAUGUCCGGAAGACCAACUCGAAAUGAACCACCGACAUCUACCUAAACGCCGCUUAUGCGAGAACAAAAACCCUAACCUAAACUACUACCCAAAGUCGAGGCACCGAGAUCCCCCUUCCCCAUCACGGCCGCCUGAGCGGCACGCAGAGGGGAGGUGGAUCCAUGGGCUCACCGGCGAAGCCUGAAGGGAAUGAGUGCCCUAGCCGCCGGAGUCACGAAAGUGAAAAGGAAACCCUAACUUGGCGGGAAGGUUUGUGUAUUUUCUUUGACCAUUUAUAAUUAGGUAGUUAAAUAGGUGAUUUCGACAACAACAGGAGCGAGGAGAACAACUUCAGAAACGAAACCUUUUUUAAAUUUCACUUGUUUAACUCCAUGGAUGGGGAGUUCAAACAAUUAUGAUUAGCUAGCUAUAUCUAGGUGAUUUCAAUGCCACAACAACAUCAAGGAGGAGAACAACCGCAAUUUUGCUUUUUUUUAAUGAGCUUGUUGAUAACAGACAGGCAGGCAGGCAGGCAGGCUGGUGGACAGUGAGUGUGAGAGUGAGGUCUCUCUGGCGGGACACCUCUCACUCUCGUCCUGUCCUCCAUGAGAGUGAGUGCUGAGGUCAACUGGCAAUGCUCAUUGCGUGACCAAUAUCUCCUCCCAACUGACAACGACUUGGCCUGAACUUUUCUUAUCUAUUCGAGCAUAUCGUACCUUAAUCUAGAAUACAAUCCAGUGGAACCAAUGCGGGAGAUGUAAUUGCGAUUAACCUUCAGGAAGCUGCAUGAAGAAGAUGAUGAUGGUCUCUCAUGUUUUAUGGCCGUGCCUGAAACUUCGCUUUCCACCGAGCAAGAACAAGUGGCGGAGGGCGAAAUGAGGAAAAGGUGGAGAAGAAAAAUGUGCGUGUAGAGGAUACGCAACACCUAAAGCCACACACACAAAAACAAUAUGCUAGCUAGCUAGCUGGUCCAUGCCAUGGCAUAUUGACAUGACAACUCCGCUUAUUUGCUGCAACCAUUUCAAAGGACACAGUGGAUAUGCUAUACUCCCUCCGUUCCUAAAUAUAAGCCUUUUUUAGAGAUUCCAACACAGACUACAUAUUAAGCAAAAUGAGUGAAUCUACAUUCUAAAAUAUGAUUAUAUACAUCCAUAUGUAGUUCCUAUUGAAAUAUCUAAAAAACUUAUAUUUAGAAAUGGAGGGAAUACAUUAUUUAGAAACUUAUAUUUAAAAAACGUAUCGAAAUAUCUAAACAAUACAUUUUUUUUUAAUUUUCAUAAAUAUUACGCUGGGUAAUUUUUUUCAAAAAUAAUACUCCGUCGGCCCGUUGCAGGCCGACUGGGCCUAGUCGGCCCACAGCAGGCCGAUUGGACUGGCCCCUGUCGGCCCACUGUGGGCUGAUUGGGUCCUGUCGGCCCACUGUGGGUCGACUGGAGCUAAUUAGCUCGUUGUGGGCUAAUUGUUUUUGCAAAAAAAGUAGGCAUAAAAAAUAUGUUUAAAAAAUAUUAAUUAUGUAAUUAAAAAAUGUUAAACGUGUAUAAAAAAAUGUUCCUAAUGUAUAAAAAAAAUGUACAAUAUAUAUGCAAAAAAGUUGACAUAAAAAAUAUGUUUUAAAAAGUGUUAAGCAUGUUUUUAAAAAUUGUUAAAUGUGUCUAUAAAAAAUGUUUCUUAUCUAUUCAAAAAAUAUAGAAUGUGUAUGAAAAAAAGUUGACACCAAAAAAAUAUGUUUGAAAAAAAUAUUCCAGUUCCAUACAAAAAGAGCAACCAAUCAUACUUAGGUCUGUGAUGCUCCCAUACCGGAUCCGGAGCUGGAACAUUUUUUAUACACGUUUAACCUUUCAUUCCAAUACAUGAAACAUUUUUGUGUACUCGUUGAACAUUUUUUCAAAUACAUGAUUAACUUUUUUUCAAACAUAUUUUUUUGGUGUCAACUUUUUUCAUACACAUUCUAUAUUUUUUGUGUAGAUAAGUAACAUUUUUUCAAAUACAUGAUUAAUAUUUUUUUCAAACAUAUUUUUUUGGUAUCAACUUUUUUUCAUACACAUUCUAUAUUUUUUGUAUAAAUAAGGAACAUUUUUUAUACACAAAUUUAACAAUUUUUAAAUACAUGCUUAACACUUUUUAAAACAUAUUUUUUAUGUCAACUUUUUGCAUAUAUAUUGUACAUUUUUUGUAUACAUCAGGAACAUUUUUUUUAUACACAUUUAACAUUUUUUAAUUACAUAAUUAACUUUUUUUAAAACAUAUAUUUUUUAUGCCUAAUUUUUUUGCAAAAAAAUUAGCCCACAGCGAGCCAAUUAGCUCCAGUCGGCCUACAGCUGGCCGACAGGAGUCCAAUCGGCCUGCUGUGGGCCGACUAGGCCCAGUCGGCCUGCAACGGGCCGACGGUGUAUUAUUUUUGAAAUUUUUUUAUCCAGCGUAAUAUUUAUGAAAAUUAAUUAAAAAAUGUAUUAUUUUAAAAAAAUAGCCAUUAUUUGCAUGGAUGAAUAUAUCGUCGAGGAUAUAACAAGAAAAAGAACACUGACAAGAGUUACCAAGCAAGAUCUGCUGCAUAUCAGUUUGUGCUCCUUAAUUAUAUCCAAGUGUAUCGAAACGGCAGUAUGGCUUUUGUUUGCUGCAUGAUGGAGACUGGUUCCCCCAUUCAGUUAGGCCGAUCUACAGUUUACGCAACUCAGCCAUACUCAUUCCUGAUUUCAUCUAUUCUCAUAUCGUGGGGAAACAAUGAAACACUUUCUUUCCUGCCGGCUCCUUGCUUGCUUAGUCUUUCUCUGCUCCCAUAAAAUCGACGAUGAUAAGAAGACAAAAAUAAAAUUCACCAGACAAGCUCAACCCCUUUCGUUCCUGAAUGCGUGAUCCACCCAAGUGUAUUCACAUGCCUUUUGUUGAUGCUAUGAUGGAGACAUGUUUUUCCCAUUCAGUUAGGCAGAUCAACGUUUUUCUUUCUAGCAUAUUGUUAACUCCAUGGAUGUGUUUAUUUAAUUCUUAAUUAUGAUUAGGUAGCUAAGUAGGUGAUUUCAACAUCAACAACACCAAGCACUAGGGCAUCAAUAAAGAGAACAACCAACUUCAAGAAAGAAAACUUCUUAAAAUUUCACUUGUUUAAUUCCAUGCAUGGGACUUUCUUUCCUUUCUUUUUUUAAGAAAAUGAGGAUUAUGAUUAGCUAGCUAAUUAGGUGAUUUCAACACAAGAUUAACAUCAAGGAGAAGGAGAAGAGUGAUUUCACUUGUUUUUAAUGAGCUUGUUGUUAACAGACAGGCAGGCAGGCAGGUGGGCAGUGAGAGGGUGAGAGCUAGGUGUCUCUGGCUGGACACCUCGCACUUUUUCCUCUGUGGGAGGAAAAAGUGCUUAAUUGUGUAGAGGAUAAGUAACACCUAAGGCCACACAGACAUUGACAAUUUAAUUGAUUUGCUGCAACCAUCUCAAAGGACAUGUCGGAUAUACAUAUAUACGCAUGGAUAAUAUCAUCACAGAUAAUAAAGAAAAAACAAUCGAUGAUUCUUACUUUACGGGCAGAUAAUACAUGGAAAACAAUGUGUGUAGAGGAGACGCAACACCUGAAGUGUCACACACACACACACACACACACACACAAACAGUACUAUGCUAGCUGGCUUGUCCCUGACAUGGACAAUUCAAUUGAUUUGCUACAACCAUUCGAAUGACACAGUGGACACAAAAACAUAUAUGAAUGAAUAAUUUCUCCAAGAUAAGAAGAAAAAACUGUAUGCAUACCGGUGUGUUCUUCUUUUGUUCAUGCAUGCAUGUUGGAUGGACCAAGUGUAUCAGCAGUAUGGCUUUUAUUUGCUGCAUGAUGGCGACAGGCUCCCCCAUUCUGUUAGUCCGAUCUAAGAACUUCACAAUUCAGGCAUGUGCUUAGUCCAAAAUUCAAUUAUUUAUCGUAUCCCGGAUUUAAAUUAAACGAUAAAACGCUUGAGACAGGUUUCUCUGCAUGGAUAAAAACAACAAGGAUAACAAAAUAGAAAAACCCAAAUGAUAAGUGCCACACGUCAGGUGCGUGGCACUCCGGCCCUGACGUUUUUCGAAGGAAAUUCCAGUCAUGCAAGGAUGACAAAUUGCAGUGAUCUGUCAAAAAUAAACUGAAGCACGAAAGUUGUCAUGCUUGUCAACUAAAGUUGCCAUCCUUGUGUAACUAAACUUGCCAUCAAAAACGUUCGAAGUUGCCAUAUGCAUGCACCUGACGUGUGGCACUUAUGAGGGUCCUAGAAAAAGGAAACAAAUAUAGUUAUCAAGCAAAAUCAACUGUAUGUUGCUCUCUUCGCCCAUUGUUCCUGAAUGCAAUACCCAUCUAAGUGUAUUCACAUGCCUUUUGUUGAUGCUAUUGCAAUGGUUGAGACAUGUUUUUCCCGUUCAGUUAGGCAGACAUUUUUUUAGCAUACUGUUAACUCCAUGAAUGUGGUUAUUUAAUUCCUAAUUAUGAUUAGGUAGCUAAGCAGGUGAUGUCAACAUCAACAACAACAACUACUGCAUCCGUAAAGAGAACAACAACUUCAAGGAAGAAAAACUUCUUAAAAUUUCACAUGUUUAAUUCCAUGCAUGGGACUUUCUUUCCUUUUUUAUAAGAAAAUGAGGAUUAUGAUUGGCUAGCUAGUUAGGUGAUUUCAACACAAGGUUAACAGCAAGGAGGAGGAGAAGAGUGAUUUCACUUGUUUUUAACAAGCUUGUUGUUCACAGACAGGCAGAUGGACAGUGAGAGGGUGAGAGCGAGGUGUCUCUGGCUAGACACCUCCCACUUUUCCCCUGUGAGAGUGAGUGCUGAGGUCAAUUGGCCACAAGGCAAAUGCUUAAUUGUGUAGAGGAUACGCAACACCUAAAGCCACACACACAAACAACAUGGUAGCUAGAGGUCCAUGACAUUGUCAAUUCAAUUGAUUUGCUGCAACCAUUUCAAAGAACACAGUGGAUAUACAUAUAUACGCGUGAAUAAUAUCAUCAAUCAAAGAUAAUAAAGGAAAAACCACCGAUGAUUGUUACCGACGGGAAAGAUAAUACAUGGAAAACAAUGUAUGUAGAGGAGACGCAACACCUAAAGUCACACAAACAAAAACAAUACUAUGCUAGCUAGCUGGUCCAUAAAAAGGGCAGGGUCUUUGGGUCUUUUCUAUGCAGUUUUUCUCUAUAUUUUUGCUAGAGGUUUCAGGACUCGAACCCGUGACCUGACCAAGACAACAGCUCUACCGCUAGCUAGCUGGUCCAUGACAUGGACAAUUCAAUUGAUUUGCUACAACCAUUCGAAUAACAAGGUGGACACACAAACAUAUAUGAAUGACUAAUUUCUCCAGGAUAAGAAGAAAAAACUGUAUACAGACCGGUGUUUUUUUUGUUCAUGCAUGCAUGUUGGAUGGACCAAGUGUAUCAGCAGUAUGGCUUUUGUUUGCUGCAUGACGGCGACAUGCUCCACCAAUCAGUUAGGCCGAUCUAUGAACUUCACAAUUCAGCCAUGUGCUUAGUCCUAAAUUCAAUUAUUUAUCGUAUAACUAAGGUGUCCAGCAGGGUUACGCCUUGGAGGGGGCGCUACAAUUCUACUGCUGGAAGGGUCUGUUUGAUCAAUGUGUGUUUGUCUUCUCUUCGUAUGUAUGUUAUGGGUUUCUAUCGCCUUAUGGAGGGUAUUCAUGCCGGUUUUGAUAAAUAUCGGGGUGGUUUCUAUUGCAAUACCAUGGACAAUAAAAAGAAGUACAGAUUGGUUAAGUGGAAACUCAUGUGUAGGCCCAAAAGUAUGGGGGGUUUGGGGAUCCUUAACACUUUCAUUAUGAACAAGUCUUUGAUCCUUAAGUGGUGGUGGCGUAUUCUUUCAGAUGAUCAGGGCAAGCUUUGGUUCCACAUAAGCCCAAAUAUUUUCCUCACUCCUCCCCCCUCAUGUGCAAUCCUGUGGCCAGCUCUUCCGUUUCUCAAUUCUGGCGCUAGCUGCUCAAUGUUCGGGAUGACUUCAAAGCUUUGGUGAAAUUCUCUGUUGGCAACGGUGCCUCCGUUCGUUUUUGGUUGGAUUGGUGGGUUGGGGAUGGGACCUUUGCGCUUUCCUUUCCUGUUUUUUUCUUUUGUUACUUAUCCUUCUGUCUCCAUCGCGGAGCUGGCGGCUAGUGGUUGGGACCUCGGCUUUCGCCGGGUCCUAUCUCCUGUAGAGUUGGAGGACUGGCACCGGCUUGUUGCCUGCGCUCUCGGAGGCUCAGGACUUGGCCCCAUUCUGCUUCUGGCCGCUUUUCUGUUAAGUCCUGUUAUCGUGUUUUGUCCUCGAGGUCAGUGGUGUCUAAGUUUAAGCCCAUCUAGGUGGUCAGAGUGCCUCCGAAGAUCAAAAUUUUCAUGUGGCAGGCCUUGAGGGGCUGACUGCCCUUCGCGGAUUAUAGUAAGAAGAGGCACGGCCCGGGUUCGGAGUUUUGCUCCUUGCGUGGGAACUUAGAGGAUAUUAAUCACAUUCUAUUCUCGUGUCCUCUGGCCCAGCUACUUUGGAGUUGUAUUAGGGACUGGAUGGUUGUGUCGUGGGCGCCUGCUAACUUUAAUAAUCUUCUUGCGCUUUUGGUUCCUUUGUCUAUUCAAGUCAGAUGGGUGUUUUGGUUCGCCUUCCCUGCCAUGUGCUAGACCCUCUGGACGACCAGAAAUAAAUUUACUAUCGAACAGGUGUUCCCUAACAAGGCGGUUCAUGUUGUUUCCAAUCUCUCAAUAUUUUUGAUGCAGUGGAAAUCUCUGAUUAAGGAAGGCAACAAGGCAGCUGUGGAGUUGCUCAUUUCCCGUGUUCGUGCUUCGGGAAUAUCUGUCUCAAGGGGUGAUCGACUCAGGCCGCAGUAGGUAUUGCUACUUGUCGUCGUUUGGUGUUAGUCAUCUGGGGACUCUUGAUGCUGGCCUGCGUGCCAUUUUGCCGGUUGUGGCCGUCUGUUGAAUUCGGUGCUGUGGUGUGUGUCCGUCCUAAACUCUUGUUGUCUGUCCUACUCGGUUGCCUGGUGCCUUUAUUAAUUUAAAGCCGGGCUGAGGCCUUUUCUCUAAAAAAUUAUUUAUCGUAUCACGGAUUAUAUGAUAAAACGCUUGAGACAGGUUUCUCUGCAUGGAUAAAAACAACAAGGAUACGAAAUAAAAAAAAGACACGGAUAUAGUUACCAAGCAAAAUCAACUGUAUGUCGCUCUCUUCGACCUUUGCUCCAGAAUGCACGACCCAUCCAAGUCUGCUGACAUCCCAUUUAUCGACCAAUGAUUGGCACAGGUUUUUCUAUUCAGUCAAGCUAAUUUAUGGAUUUCAGUAUUUCAAACUAAUGGAACUAUUUCUUUCCUGUCGAUACCUUGCUUGGCCUUUCUCAGCAAGAUGAAAUUGAUGACACCCUUUUUCACUGCCAUUGAUCCGACCUGUCUCUAGCUGUCCAUUGGUGCUGGUCACCGCGACGGCAAGGAGGGCAAGGAGGGCUGCCCACCUUUGAUUAAUCAUGCAUGCAUCUGAAUUAUCCAAAUUCAUCAAGAUAUCCUAAAUAGAUCCAACCUGAAGAUUAAACGUAGUGCAGUGGAGGAACAUAGGAGUUGUAAAUGUAAUUAGCAUGCACUGAUUGUUGGGCAUAAGCCACCGCAGGACGCGUUGGGUGCGAGCCAGGGCGCGCCGGAUCCGUGGCCGUGUGUGUGUGCGCGCUUGAGUUUGUGGCUUGAGUGAAAUAGUGGCUGUUCGUGCAGCCGGGUGGCGUUCGUGCGCCGGAUAUAUCUGCUGUGUGCGCCUCGUUCUUCUUCCUCCUUUCCUCUAGUCCUGAGCGAGAGAGAGUGAGAGCUCCGUUGAGAGGCACGGCAAGGCUACGGUAACAACAAUUGGUAUUCAGAGCCACUAGUUCGGGGGGCGGCCGUGGCGCGCGGCGGACAUGAAGGUCUCGGCAACGCGCGGCGAGUCCACGGCGGUGUGGCGUGAUGCCGGGUGCGCGGCGAGCGCGUGGCGUCAGCAACGCGCGGCGAGUCCACGGUGGUGUGGCGUGAUGCCGUGCGCGCGGCGAGCAGCGACGGUCGCAGAGACGAGGAGGUCACGAAGGACCUGCGUGGUGUCGCAGAGGCCGCGGCGGCUCGGCGCGACGACCGUGGAGGCGCUGCGCUGUGGUUGACGGCGCAGCGGUGCAGGGCAAUAAGCGCGGCGGCGAGCCGGGCGCGACCGGUGCGUGUUAUGGAUGCGCACCGGACGCGUCGGGCACGUCGGGACCGCGGGAGUGGACCGCGUCGAGGCGCAGGACCUGGUUGCGCAGACCGCGUACGUGCGCGGCGGGAGCGCGGGGACGUGGGGAGUGCACGCGAAGGGCACGGCGGCACGGUGGCAGGCGUGGCAGCGACGUCAGGGCGGCGGCGGCUACAACAACGUCGACGGCACGACGGAGGCCGCAGCGGUGCGGUGCGACGGCCAUGGCGACAUCAACGACGAUGGACUCACCUGCUGUAGUUCGUGGCUUAGGGGGGUGUGUGUUGGGCAUAAGCCACCGCAGGACGCGUCGGGUGCGAGCCAGGGCGCGCCGGGUCCGUGGCCGUGCGUGUGUGUGUGCGCUUGAGUUUGUGGCUUGAGUGAAAAAGUGGCUGUUCGUGCAGCCGGGCGGCGUUCGUGCGCCUCGGUCUUCUUCCUCCUUUCCUCUAGUCCUGAGCGAGAGAGAGUGAGAGCUCCGGUGAGAGGCACGGCGAGGCUACGGUAACAACACUAAUCAACUAGGUUAUUCGGCCAUCCGUUGUUGUACUAGCUAGCCAGAGCCAUAAGGAGGAGGAUGUGAAGAUGACACGCACACAAUAUCAAGUUUUUGGGUUUGUGCUCGUGUUGCAUAUUUCACUUUCCAUCAAGAAAAAAAAAUUGUGGUAUAGGAUGGCAGAAUGAAAAUAACGAAAAUCAAUAUAUGGAAUUACGGAUGCAACAACUAAGGUCAUACCCACCACAAGAAUUGUGUGUGUUAUAGCUAGUUCAGCAGAUGACAGUAUUGCCAGCUUCUCCUUUGUUCUAGCUAGGACACAAAUUCGAUCCACUGAUUUGAGGCAUCGAUCUGCCGCAAGUCCUCAAAGGACAUAUAGACAAGGCGAAGAACUAAAUAAAGUUGCAAAGCAAAAUUAUCGAAAAAAUAUGAUCCCAGAGAUACACAGUAAUGUUGUCAUCAAAUCUCAAGAAUAUAAAUUUCACAUGAUCCCACCAUGUAACAUAUCCCAGGUCAGCAAUGACUGAGCGCAGGCUAACUAAUUAACAUGAAGCAAGAACCAAACAGACAGAAAGAGCAAAAGAAACAGCUAGAACAGGAUGAAGCAGAGUAUUGUACUACUCAUGAUGACGAGCCGAACUCGAUGUGGACGCCAACGACGACGAGGAAGAAGGCAUCGAGGGCGAAGAAGAUGAUGGUGUGGAUGAGGAUGGAGACGGCGCUCGUGUGGAAUUUGCCGCACUCGAUCGUCCGUGAUUUGCCAGGGAUCUGGAAGACAAGCCCUGGGGACAGAAGGAUGAAGAGCAUGAAGGAGAUGAGAACUGGACCCCAGUCUUGCAUCUUCUUCUUCUUCUUCUUCUUCUUCUUCUUCUUCUUCUUCUUCUUCUUCUUCUUCUUCGAAGUCUUUGGGAUGACGAUGAUGAUGAAUACUCAAGCCAGCUACAGCUAUGCUUCUUCUUCUUCUUCGAAGUCUUCUGGUUCGUGUCUCAAACCGGGACUAAAGGGGUUCUGAAAUUUGUUAUUUGUUUUCUAUUUUUAGUUUAUGUUUUAAAUUGCUUAUAUUUUUUAGGAUAUUUGAUGUUUUUGAGUGAUUCUUUUUGCAUUAGAUUCAAAAUUUUGUCUAGUUUUUGUUUGUGCCAUUAGUUUACAAAUUUGAAUGUUUUAAAUAUGAAUUUUUUUCAAAUUUUCUUCAAACCCUAGAUUGUGAAUAAUUUGAGUUUAAAAAUGGGUUUUAAUUUAAUUGUUUUUGCUCCUAGUCACAUGUAAGACUGUUGUCACACAGUAAGAUUUAUUUGGUUAUUUUUAGAAUAAUUUGAAUUAGGAUUUUAGUUAAGUUAAAAAGUAAUUCUUUUUGCCACUUUAAUAGAACGUGACUCUGGCUGGGACGGUGCUAGCAGAUGUAGUGGACGGUACGAUUGGAUGGACACCAUCCGGGACUAAAGGGGUUCAAACUCUACCCCCACUAGUGCAGAACCGGCCUUUAUCACCGGUUCGUAAGGGCCUUUAGUGCCGGUUCUGCAACCGGCACUAUGGAGUGGAGACUAAAGGCCCCCCCUUUAGUACCGGUUUGGCACGAACCGGCGCUAACGUGCCACCACGUGGCACGAGCCAGGCCCGGGUGCGUGUAGGACAUUAGUACCGGUUGGUAACACCAACCGGUACUAAAUGUUUGGGUGUGUUUUGGUUUUAAUUUUUAUUUUUCCUUUAGUUUUGUGUUUUCAAUUUAAUUUAGUGAUUGUUUUACAUUAUAAUGAGUUGUUAAAUCAUUAGGUGAAAGUACCGCAGAUUAGUUUCGACUGGAUGCAUGUGGAUCCUAGCUAAGUGAUCUAAGUAAUAUGGAUAUGGCAUAUACUUGAUUACUUAGCUAGGAUCCAUCCAGUUGAAACUAAUAUGCGGUUUCUUUCAUAAAUGUUAUAAUAACUCAUCAUCAUCAUCAUCAUAUUAUAAGCGUUCAUAACACCACAAAAGCAAAUCACUCUUUGAGAUUAAGUUCAGGACGAAGAACACGGACACGCAUGAGAGGACAACAAGUACUAAGAGCAUGAUAACUAGCUAAAUCACUCCUGCUGCUCUCUCACAGGUAAAAUAGCAUAGAACAUGUAUAGCUCUCUUGAUUCAUCAUAUUGGAGCAUGCAGAUGAACCUGUCUCCUAAUCGUGGGCUGCGCUUCUGAUUGGUGCCCCCUAGUACUUCUCUGCGAUCGUUAACAAUUUUGCUCCAAUCUUUCACUAUUAAGCAUUCAUCGCUUUCAGAAAUCCUGAAUGCACUCAUGUGCACUGUAGGAUAUCUUGGCCGUAAGCUAACAAUUGACAUGCGACCUUUAGUCUCGAUCCACUGAGGCACAACUGUCAUCGGGAGUCCCUGUUGAAGAACAUCGUAUAGUAAUUAAUAUACUUAGCAAUGAAAGUUUAGCUUGAAAAAUAAUGUAUGCAAAAGAUGCACUGAGGACUAAUAGUAAAAAUCUUACCAUCUUUCCUAAAUACAUGUGACCGUAGUUCAAUACGAUCACUAUUGGUCGCACGUUUUGAGUACUAAGAUUUUCAAAUUCAGGAAAAUGAUUUCUCUUAACAGCAUCAAGAUCCUCAAGCCAUGAAACAUAAUGACUUAUCUCCUCGCAGUUUAGUUCAACUCCGGGACAGUAGUAGGUCCUGUCUACCAAGCGCCGGACAUGUUUGCUUGAAUGGAAAUAAGCUGUCAAUAGAAAUUAGUUGUGAACUAUUUUUGAAUAAACAAUAUCAAAGACAUAAAUAUGGUUGAGAAACUCACAUAAUGGUAGAACUGGAGGCGUCUGCACAUCGACCCAGAUGUCUCUAUUACCUUCAAUAUCAUCUUCCGGACGAAUAUCAAAGGUGAUAACCAUAUCAGGCUCAAAUGCAUAAGCCUUGCAUAGUGCUUGCCAAGUUUUGCAUUCAAAAUAGGUGUACGUGUCUGCAUUGUAUAAUUUGAUGUUGAAAGUAUAACCAUGCUCGGUCUUCAGGUAAACUCUUUUUACCUCCAUAGUUUCCAUAGCACUGAAACCUAUCUUAUCCAAGACAAAAAUUCUUGCAUGGCAGGGGAUGCGCUAGUAGAAUAGUGAAAAUUUAAAAUUAUAAGUUGAAGCAAAUGAAGCAUAUAUAAGUCAUGCUUAAUUACGAAAAAAGACUUGUCGUUGUGACUUACUGUAUCCACUUCGAAGGUCUCAUCCAGCUUGAUGCUGAAGCGCCUAUCAUCAACAAGGAAAUUUCUGUCGCACAGGCCGCGCUGGUCUUCACAGGAUUCGCACUUAAUGAAAUCUUUUUCGUCGUCAGACGACAUUUCCUAUGUUCAUAUAGGUGAAACAUUAAACACUUACUAGUUCUAUUAAUUCAACUAAUUCAACUACUUCUAUUAGUUCAACUAGUUCUAUUAAUUCAACGAAUUCAACUAAGCAUUUACUAAAAAUAAACGUGUUCUAUUAAUUUUCUUACUAAAAUAAAGUAGCUAGUUCCAUAUAGUAAUAUUUUAAUUAGAUCAUCAAAUCUCAGGUAUCUAAAUUUUCUUACUAAAAAUAAACUAGUUCUAUUAAUUCAACUAAUUCAACUAAGAAUUUACUAAAAAUAAACUAGUUCUAUUAAUUUUCUUACUAAAAUAUAUAAGGUAGCUAUAUAUAUAGUAAUAUUUUAAUUAGAUUAUCAAAUCUCAUAUACCUAAAUUUUCGUACUAAAAAUAAACUAGUUCUACUAAUUCAACUAGUCCAACUAAGCAUUUACUAAANNNNNNNNNNNNNNNNNNNNNNNNNNNNNNNNNNNNNNNNNNNNNNNNNNNNNNNNNNNNNNNNNNNNNNNNNNNNNNNNNNNNNNNNNNNNNNNNNNNNNNNNNNNNNNNNNNNNNNNNNNNNNNNNNNNNNNNNNNNNNNNNNNNNNNNNNNNNNNNNNNNNNNNNNNNNNNNNNNNNNNNNNNNNNNNNNNNNNNNNNNNNNNNNNNNNNNNNNNNNNNNNNNNNNNNNNNNNNNNNNNNNNNNNNNNNNNNNNNNNNNNNNNNNNNNNNNNNNNNNNNNNNNNNNNNNNNNNNNNNNNNNNNNNNNNNNNNNNNNNNNNNNNNNNNNNNNNNNNNNNNNNNNNNNNNNNNNNNNNNNNNNNNNNNNNNNNNNNNNNNNNNNNNNNNNNNNNNNNNNNNNNNNNNNNNNNNNNNNNNNNNNNNNNNNNNNNNNNNNNNNNNNNNNNNNNNNNNNNNNNNNNNNNNNNNNNNNNNNNNNNNNNNNNNNNNNNNNNNNNNNNNNNNNNNNNNNNNNNNNNNNNNNNNNNNNNNNNNNNNNNNNNNNNNNNNNNNNNNNNNNNNNNNNNNNNNNNNNNNNNNNNNNNNNNNNNNNNNNNNNNNNNNACGGGGACGGCGCAACGACGAGCGGCAGGCCGGGGGCGACGGCGCGAUCGAGACGGCGACGUGGUACGGGGCGGCGGCGACGAGCGGCGGGGGCGACGGCGGUGACGGCGACGAUUGGCGGUGAGGGCGACGGCGGUGACGGCAACGACGGGUGGCGGGGGCGGCGAGGGCGGCGGCGAUUUUGCGCGAAGGAGUUGGAGAAGAAGUGGUGGUCGAUGAAACUGAAUUUUUUAUAAGUGCCAUAUAUAUAGGAGGGGCCUUUAGUACCGGUUGGAGCCACCAACCGGUACUAAAGGCCAAUUUUUGCCAGGCCAAGGGGCGGAAAACUGCCCCUUUAGUACGGGUUCGCGGCUCCAACCGGUACUAAAGGCCCCCCUUUAGUACCGGUUGGAGCCACGACCCGGUACUAAAGGUAUGCGCUGGCGCAGGAGCGGUGCGGGCAAGUUUAGUCCCACCUCGCUAGCCGAGAGGCGCCCGCACCAGUUUAAAAGCCCCGGCGCGGCUGCUGUCUUGAACUCCUCUCUAUAGCAGGCUUUUGGGCCUAACUCUGGCGCGCUGCCCGUUGAGCCUGCUGGCCCUUCUGGGCCUGUAUUUGCAAACCCUAUGGUUGGCAGGCGCAGCGGGCAGCGCCCCAACAAUUUUUUAUAUAAUUUUCUUCUAUUUAUUUCCGAGUAAUUUUUUUGCUGUAUUUAGUUUCUUUGUGAAUAAAAAAGAAUUAUAUAGUUUUUUUUCUUUUCUGCAUUAUUUAUUUUCUGCUAUUCAUUUUGUAGUGAUUUUUAAUUUCACUGUCAUUUAGCUCUCUAAACAAAUCGGUAAAUGACUGAAAAACAACAAAUGAUGUCAGAACGUGUUGGAAAUUGAUGACGUCGCUUUGAAUGAUGCAUACUGAACGCAAAAAUAGGCUGGAGUUCAAAUAAGUUUAAAAAACAUUGAAGUGCCCGUGUAACAGAUGAGUUCUCGUCCGAAACCCUGAUACUCCGAAAGAGAUUGUCCAGUUUGUACACGAGGUGCGUCCAGUUUUCGCCGUGACCCUCUCUACUCUUUUGCACAUGCUAUGCGGGCGAAAUGAUGAUACCAUGCCAAGUUCCAACAUUUUCAGAGUUCAUUUUGUAGUAAUUUUCAAUUUCACCGUCAUUGAGCUCUCUAAACAAAUCGGUAAAUGACUGAAAAACAGCAAAUGAUGUCAGAACGUGUUGGAAAUUGAUGACGUCGCUUGGAAUGAUGCAUACUGAAUGCAAAAAUAGGCUGGAGUUCAAAUGACUGAAAACAACAAAUGAUGUCAGAACGUGUUGGAAAUUGAUGACGCCGCUUUGAAUGGUGUGUACGGAACGCAAAAAAGUCUGGAGUUGUAAUAAGUUUAAAAAAAUGAAGUGCCCAUGUAACAGAUGAGUUCUCGUCAGAAACCCUGAUACUUCGAAAGAGAUUGUCCAGUUUGUAUACGAAGUGCGUCCAGUUUUUGCCGUAACACAAGAAGUCCGGAGUUGUAAUAAGUUAUUAAAGAUAAAAAAGACCCUGAUACUUCGAAAGAGAUUGUCCAGUUUGUACACGAAGUACGUCCAGUUUUUGCCGUAACACAAGAAGUCCGGAGUUGUAAUAAGUUAUUAAAGAUAAAAAAGAGGCACAAUGCUCGUUAAUUAGCUUCAAGUCUUUCGGAAUAGUGCAAACUGCACUGCACAUAGCUCCGUGCAGUCUACACUAUUCCUCAAGGCUUAAAGCUAAGCAACAUGCAGAUGAGCAUUGCGCCUCUCCUUCAUCGUCUCUGCACUCAGAGCUUAUAAACCGCUCCUAGUGCCUCUCUCUUCGCGAGGUGGGACUAAAAAACAGCUUACUAAGAAACUAUAGUACCGGUUCAUGGCACGAACUGGUACUAAAGGUGCCCGUGGGGCCCCAGCCUGACCACAGCCUGACGCAACAUCAUUAGUACCGGUUCGUGACACGAACCGGUAUAAAAGGUUGCUCACGAACCGGUACUAAUGAUCUCCGUCCGCCUAGCCGUUGGAACCGACACUAAUGGACACAUUAGUGCCGGCUCAAAAUCAAACCGGCACUAAUAUGCUUCACAUUUGACCUUUUUUCUACUAGUGCCCCCCCCCGCGUGUAUCGCCAUUCCAGUUUUGAAAAGAACAAAAGAAACUGAUAAAAACUUCAAAAAUUAAAAUCCUUCGAGACGUAGUUAUGUUACUACAUCUACUAGUUACGAAAAUUUAAAAACUUAAAUUUGAACAUGUUUUGCAAAAAAGUGUUAUGAAAAAGUAAAACGGCUAUAACUUUUCCAUACAAUGUCGAAAAAACGUAUAAUAUAUCAAAAUAUUUAGCACGAAAAUCCAGAUCCGUUUUCGACGGCCGUAGGCUGUUUUGCAAAUUUUUAGAAUCCUCAAAUUUUGAAAGGAAAAAAAGUUAUCUUCAAAUUUUUUUUUUGAUUUUUUGGUCAAACUCUGGUCAAACUACUUAUUUAAGAAAUAUUAGUGUUACAAAAUUAUUGGUUUUAAGAAUAAUAGUUUCAAACUCAAACGCGAAACUGUGAUUUCAUGCUCAAGUUCAACUCCUAAGGGUUAAUACGAUUGACAGCUUACUAGUCAGGAAAACAACAAGUGCAGACUUGAAACGAUGAGGAAUAGAACUCGGAUGUUAAGCGUGCUCAGGCUGGAGUAGUGAGAGGAUGGGUGACCGGCCGGAAAGUUAGACGAUUUGGAAUGAUGAGGGAUGAUUAGAGAUUAAAGAUUAAAUUGAGCAGUGAUGAGGAGUGAUUAAAGAUUAAAUUCUCAAAUAAUUCAGAAAAUUGAAAAUCAGAAAAAAUUAAAAAAAUAUUCAAAUAUUUUUCUAUUUUUUUUUCAAAAAAAUUCCUUUAAUCCCCAACCGGGACUAAAGGUGGAGCUCAACAGACGUGGAGCCCCUUUACUCCCGGUUCGUAGGUGAACCGGGACUAAAGGUUUUGGGCUUUAGUCCCGACAACCGGGACUAAAGGCCCUCUGAAACCGGGACUAAAGACCCGUUUUCUACUAGUGCAUGGUCCCUCUUACCUUUUAUUUUCACAUUAGAGGUAAGAGUAUAUAAUAAAUUUGAGCCGUUGAUUUCAUUAAGUAGUCGGUCUGAGUAACUCUUACCUUCUUACCUCCCAUGUGAAAAAAUGAGCUACGUGAGAGGGACUAUGUUAAAAUUUCUCGUCGUCAAGGAUAUAAGAAGAAAAUGAACAAUGGUAAGAAUUACCAAGCAAGGAUCAGCUGUAUAUCGAUUAUAUAUAUAUAUAUAUAUAGACUAUUCGUCACCUUGGGUGAGAAAUAGUUAUUCUUCACCCCCCUCUAUUUUACCUUCAAUGCACCGUAAUUUUAUGUUCCGUAAGUUUUGUCUUAUUUCUGACACAAAAAGAGACCGUAAGAAAAUAUAUAAUCGCCGUAAAAAAUAUUUCAUGUUCUGUAAAAUUACAAACGUAAAAACAUAGUGUAAAAUACACAUAAACUGCAAAUUUUCUUGUCUUAUGACCUAUAUUUUUAUUUUCUUAUGCCAAAUUUUACAUAAUGAAUCAAUAUGAAUGUAACUAUAUAUCGCUCUCUUCUUCGCCUUUUUUUCCUGAAUGUGGGAUCCAUUCAAGUGCAUUGACAUGCCUUUUCUUGAUGCUAUGAUUGAGGCAUGUUCUCCCAUUCAGUUAGGCCGAUCAAUGUUUUUUAUUAUACUGUGAACUUUUUAUUAUGAUUAGGUAGUUGAGAAAGUGAUUUCAGAAAACAACGGCCGCGGCAAAGAGAACAACAACCUUAGAAGAAGGAAAAUAAAACUUUUUACAAUUCACUUGUUUAACCUUAGUUGAGAAGAGGAUUUCAGAAGGUGACUUUCUAUUCUUUUUAAGAGAAGGGUGAAUAUGAUUAGCUAGCCAGUUAGGUGAUCAACACAAGAUUAAUAUCAAUGAGAAGGUGAAGAACGAUUUCACUUGUUUUUAAUGAGCUUGUUGAUAACAGACAGGCAAGGCAGGUGAAAAGUGAGUGAGGUCUCUCUGGCUGGACAUCUCUCACUUUUCCUUCUGUGAGAGUGAGUGCUGAGGUCAACCGGACACAAGGCCAACUCUGCUAGUCGUCCUUCUACUCCUAUCACUUUUCUUUCCUGACAAAGACUUGCUCUGAACCCGUAAUUCAGAUUCACGGUGAUGACUAAUCCAUGAACAGGAAAGAAAAAACAUGAUUUAAACAUCCGAUGUUCAAAUUCUGAAUCCACCGAUCCACUAAUCCAGCAUAUUUACACGAAUCUAGAAUGACAUCAACUAGGAUUAACAGGAGCAAUAACUAUGAUUAGCCUUCACGAAGCUUCAUGGAGGAGGAUGUAGUCGUGUUUUCUUGCCGUGCCUGAAACUACGCUUUCCAUCAAUCAGAAAACAAGAGGUGGAGCGGGCAAAAGCGGAAAGGAAAACAAUGUAGAGCGGUCACACACACACAACAGUACUGUACAAUGCUAGUUGGUCGAUGACACUGACAAUUCAAUUGAUUUGCUGCAACCAUUCCAAAGGACAUAGUGGAUAACUUGAUAUACAUACACACACACACAACAUGUUUUGGUUCGCGAAGAUAAGAAGGAAAAACCACUUAUGAUUGUUUCCAAGCUCAAUCAAUUGUAUAUUUUUUUUGAUACAGUGUGAUAUAUAAAUAUCAAGAUGAUAUCAAUUACACCUGGCUUCUGCAACGACACUAUAUCAAGACCAAGUCGUGACAUCGAGGAUGCACACAAUCAAUCGUGUAUAUAUGGGUAUGUUCUCCUUAUGAUCAUGCAUGCAUGUUGCAUGGGCCAAGUGUAUCAGCAGUAUGGCUUUUGUCUGCUGCAUGAUGGAGACAGGUUUCCCGAUUCAGUUAGGCCGAUCUACGGAUUUCGCAGUUCAGCCAUACUUUGUCUGAAAUUCAUUUAUUCUCGUUUCGUGGAUGGCUCUUUUCUGCAGGGAUAAAAUGGACAAGGAUAAGAAGAAAGAAGACACUGCUAAACCAAAGUUACCAAGCAAAUAAACUGUAUAUAUGUCGCCCCCUUCGCCUUUUGUUCCUGAAUGCGUGAUCCAUCCAAGCUUGUUGACAUGGCUUUUGUUGAUGAAUGACUGAGACAGGUUUUCUCAUUCAUUAGGCUGCUCUAAGGAUAUCCGUAUUUGAACUAACUCAACGCUUUCUUUCAUGUCGAUUCCUUGCAUGGACUUUCUCAGCAAGAUGAAGUUAGUGAAACCCUUUCACUGGCAUUGAUCCUGCUGCCCUCGAGCUGUUCAUUGGCGCUGGCCGGUGCAAUGGUGGUGAGGGAAAGGAUGGGGAUUUGUCUUUAUGGUGAAUUGCUCUUGACUACUGCUACUUGUCUUCGAUGUUUCAAUUUGUAUUUUGUACUUGUGAUGAUCUUUAUCGCACAAGUCCAUUUAGGGCAUAAUCUCUUGCCGUCUUUGCAUUUUUUUCUCUUUUUGUUUUGGACGUGUUGGAUUGUGGACAUCUUGUUAUGUAGAUGUCGGAUUGCAGUCAGUGUGGUUGUACCAGCUUUGAUGGGAUGAUUGAAUGAAAUUCCAGCUAGCGAUUUUUUUCUUUUUUUGCAUCCAUUUUCCAUUUUUUUGCAUGCAUGCUUCUGAAAUGGAUCAUUUUGGAUAUUCUGUCAGGUUGCACUAGCCACAAGUUUAAUAGAGGAUUGAUCAUCAAAAGUUGUUUGUCUAGUUGUCCAAAAGAUCGUAUGUUUAUCACGAAAGCAUGGUGCUUGGUAUUUUAUUCUGAGGAAAAACUGACUCUCCGUUUUCACUUUACGUAUCAAAUCCUUAUCAAGGUUUUGUACUUUUUUGCGGUAGAGGUUUGGAACUUUCUACAGUUUGUGUAGAGUUCAGUAUCUGAACUUUGUACAAGAUUAGUAAAGCUUUACACAUCGAGUUUUUUUUUCUGGAACCAACUUUGUUGUGUUUUCUAAAGUGAUAAGACGAAGUGGAAUUGGUAGAGUGACACGACUCGUCAAAUUUGCUUUAAGGCAUCAAGAACUGUAAUCCAAAAACAAGAAGUUUAACCAUUUCACUUAAUUUUAAUGAGUUUACUGAUGUUUGAUGACAGACAUGCAGAGACGGUGAGAGCGAGGUCUUUUAUUUUCUAGAUCAUGGAAGAACAUAUAACUUUUCUCCUUUGUGUGAGUGAGUGGUACUAGUAACUGGUGAGGUCAACUAGCAGGCAAAUGUUCAAUGCUCUCUUUUCUGAUGAAGGUUGUUCUUAACUAACUCUGAAUUACAUGGAGGAUCGGCUGCCUGCCUUUGAUAAAUCAUGCAUCUGAAUUAUCCAAAUUCGAUCCAACCUGAAGAUUGAAUGUGAUGAAGUGGGGGAACAUAGGAGCUGUAAAUGUAAUUAGCUUGCACUGAUCAACUAGGUUAUUUGGGCAUCCGGUGUUGAACUAGCUAGCCAGAGCCGUAAGGAGAAUGAUGUGAAGAUGACACACACAUCCAAUCUCAAGUUUUCGGGUUUGUGCUCGUGUUGUAUAUUUUGCUUUCCAUCAAGAAAAAAUUGUGGUAUAGGAUAAUAGAAUGGAAAUAAAUAAAAGGAAUAGACACUUGCAACAUCUAAGACCAUACCCACCACACGAAUUGUGUGUGUUAUAGCUAGUUCAGGAGAUGACAGUACUGCCAGCUUCUCCUUUGUUCUAGGACAAGAUUUCAAUCCUCUGGUUUGAGGCAUCUUUGCUGCAACUGCUCAAAGGACAUAUAGACAAGGUGAAGAACUACAUAAAGUUGCAACGCAAAAUUAACUAUGCAUAUAUCUAUAUGUUCUCCUUUUCUUCCUGCAUGCAUGAUCCAAGUGUGCCGACAUGCCUUUUGUUGCUGCACCUGCAUGACCGAGAUUAUUUCCCAAUUAUGAUGUCUGAACAUGACUUUUCUCUUAUGCCAAAAUUCAGUUCAAACGAUCCAUGGGUUUCAUCAUUAUGCCAUACUUAUUUUUAAAUUAGUUCACCAAUAUAUACCAUGGAGCACUAGUGAGACCCUUUCUUUCCGGCCUACCAGUACCUUGCCUAGCCUUUCCGUUGAUUCAUUAAGAAGACUGGUCUCUUUUAUGCUGAAACUAGACGCAAAACCAUAGAACUUUCUUUUUCUUUUUCAAAAAGGAGGAAGACCCACGGCCUCUGCAUCAUGUGAUGCACACAGCCAUUUAGAACUAGAAACUGGUAAGUUACUUUCAGUUAACUAGCUAGUGGUUUCCGAGAAGUUCAAGAGGAAACUCAUGUCUUUCUUCGAGAAAUAAGUGAACUUGAGAAAAAUUGACCAACACGUUUAUAAAAGAACAGAGCAACCAUAAUUGCCGAUGUGGUUAGACAAUGGCAUGUAGUACUUGGAAUCAGACUCACACCAAUCAAAAGGGUCUCAAAUCUCUAAGCAUUAAGAUUUUUCAGAUAGUCCUAGCUUGGCUUGGUUUUAGUUCAAUCCAAAUUUAACAAUAGCGCUAAUGUACUUAUAUUAAUAUUAUUGCAGUACAUGAUAAUUAAUUAAUGCAUGAGGUUGUGGUUGUGACCAGGCAAGACCAACUUAUGAACUUGCAAGCAUGGCAUUCAGAUUGAUGUGCAGACAACGCCAACAUCAACAUUGUCUAGAUAAAGAUUAAUUUGUAUUUUAUUCCAUAUUUUAAACAGCUACUUUGGNNNNNNNNNNNNNNNNNNNNNNNNNNNNNNNNNNNNNNNNNNNNNNNNNNNNNNNNNNNNNNNNNNNNNNNNNNNNNNNNNNNNNNNNNNNNNNNNNNNNNNNNNNNNNNNNNNNNNNNNNNNNNNNNNNNNNNNNNNNNNNNNNNNNNNNNNNNNNNNNNNNNNNNNNNNNNNNNNNNNNNNNNNNNNNNNNNNNNNNNNNNNNNNNNNNNNNNNNNNNNNNNNNNNNNNNNNNNNNNNNNNNNNNNNNNNNNNNNNNNNNNNNNNNNNNNNNNNNNNNNNNNNNNNNNNNNNNNNNNNNNNNNNGCGACUAAUAAAAUUUUGACCUCUUUUACAAAAAAAGUGGGUUGUCUAGAUAUGCAACUAGAUGAACAAUAUAUAUGACAAUCUUAAGAAGUAACAAGUGCAAGAAAGAGUAAAACACAAGAUAUAAACUUGCAUAACCGAAAUAAUCACAAGUGGAGUCGUGGAGACUGGGAUGUGUUUUCGAAGUUCCCUGCUUUGAAGAGGUACGUAAAUAAUAGAUGGUGUGCUUUUGUUUGUGCUCCACAUGGUGGCAAUUUUAAAUUCAUAUGUUUGUCUCUUCAUUUAUAUAGAAAAAAUAGCAUGUAAAUUUUUAAUCCACAUUUCUUGCCAUCAUGGUACAGAUGCAAAAUUGCCAUGAACUUUUUCUUUUUUGCCAUCAAAAAUUACACAAACAAUAAUUCCCCCAACAACAACAAUUACCGCAACAACAAUUGCGCCAACAACAAAAGUUCCCCCAACUGCAACAAUUCCCCAAGCAACCACAACAACAAUUUCCCAUACCAUACCCACCCCAACAACCAUUCCCCCAGCAACAACAACCUUCCCCACACCAACAACCAACUGGGAGCGAUGUUAUAAGUAUCAGUGGCCGAUGAAAUGAAGAGAUGUAAUACUAGACGGGUGAAUCAUCGUUGUUAGUCAAUUGAGCAUUUAAUGUAACAAUGAUAAAUAAAGUGAUGUGCACCAUCAUGUGUAACCCCGACCUAUACUAGUUCAAACAUGGGGUAAAAGACAAAUAAGUUCUUUUCUAAAGCACAUUGCUGGCAAUUGUUACAUUCAUGCCAUAUUUCGAUUUUCAUCCCUAACUACAAUCUCAAUGUUAUGCGCUAUCUACUUAUUUAUGAAGUGUAGUAUUAUGAACAUAACAUAUUAACGUGUGUGAAACUUGGUUCAAAUUGAUGUACUAUUAACUCGGGAGUAAGGAUUAAUGACAAUUUAAUAUUUCAAUGGAGAGCCACAUGAGUUGUGCAACCUUCUUAUCUGACAUGGAUCUACAUCAAACUAGGUGUUAAUGUUCUCCACAAACUCCAUGUCAGAUUUCAUUGUUCAUUUAUAGUGAGAAUAAUUGAUUACUUAUGCACUUUUCGCCUUUGAUGUUCCACUCACAAAAUAAGUUUAACUACCAACUAUCUCCAAAAACAAUCUUAGCGGGACAAAAAGUAUCCUCUGACAAAUCACGACCCAUCAAACAAGGUUCAAAUUUGAAGGAAAAUGACCCCUUCAACUUGAGUCAAACAAAUAAUUUGCAUACAAUCAACCGAAAUCAUUAUGGGCUUCUUCAGCCCUCCACUCGAUACACACCUACGCAGGGAGUCCACCAUUGCCGCUACCGAACAACAUUUUUGGAGGCGCACAUUAUCACCCAUAAACACAAAAUAAAUCAAAACGCAAUACAAGCCUAAAAGCGGUCAGUUCCUAGGGCCAGAAAAAGCUUGUUGACCUGCAAUUGCACAUGGUUUAUUUUUCACCUAUUUAAGUAUGAGUAUAAAUCCCACAGGGAAUACAUGAAUUGGACUUUGUCCCUAAGAGACACUUAUGGUAAUGUGCCUGCAUAUUAGUUUUUGACACAAAGCAAAGUGAACGCCAAAGAUUAUAAUGACUUCUGAGUUUAGUGCGAACAAAAGUAAAUAAUGCAAAAGAAUUAAAACAGCGCAGCGGAACGAAUAAAGCAGGGAAACCGGUGGAGGAUUGAAGCAUUCUCAAGGACUCCAUAAUUCCCAUUGCAGUGUGUCUAAGGUAACAUAUGCCACUUCAUAAUUCUAAGCUAGAUACUUGAGUCACUCUUGACAUUUGUUAUUGGGCGUAUCCGGGUACAAAAUACGUUCUACUCGAGGUGUACUCCGUACCACGAAGGCCACCACAGAAGCUUCCCCACUCUAGUUCUCACUGCGGUAAUUAAGGGUUUCCCCGUGGAAGCGGCCUUAUCAAGGGUUCUCCGUUAUGCCCCUAUCAGUUGCAAAGGCGAGGUAAAGAGUCUUUUACACUCACCUUGAAUUACCUCAACAUCCUAACCUUUACAACCAUGGUAAUAUGCCUCGUGGCCUUGCGACAGAAAUGGUGAGUGGGGCACCUUCACAAAAUUCAUGAAGGCUAUUGAAAAAAACAUUCAACAGAGAAUAUCACAUCCUUAUUAACAUUUCAGCCUCCUAUACAUACCAUGGUUCAUCCAAAUCCCUGAGAACUGAGGAAACUACUCACACGUUGAGACAUGGAUGAAACAUCGGAUAAUACAUGUAUGGAUCGUACGAAUAGUGGAAAUAGUGGUGGUAAACAUGGUUUAAACACACGGAUAAUACAUGUAUGGAUCCACAAGGUUUCGGUAUUACAAUGGGAAGGAGAUGGAUGAUGCUGACGUCCCCUUGCACGAGCUGGUGGUGAUAGUGAUCUCCUCCUUUCCUUAAAUCUGCAAGCACAUUUAAAACAACAUCUUGGAGAGAACAGGAAAAAAGAAUUGUGCAGACGCGGUAAAAGCUAGCAAAUUUUACUGUGUAGGCGGGCUUGUGAUGGCUGUGGCAGUGUGGAUCUGACUACCGAGUUGUGACAAGUUGUGUGGGGCGAUGGUGGAGGUCCUCCCUCUUCUGAGCGUGAUAUCUGGCGACGGUGGGUUUCGACAGUCCCUCUCACGGGUGUGGAGGCGGGUCAAGGGGCGGUGAGUGUUGGCCGUGGUUUAGGCUGGCACUGGCGGAUCUGGGCAGGGGGAUUCAAUGGAGAGGCGGGGCUGGCAUUGGUGCGACUUCUCAGCGACUGGAGUUGCCGGCUGUUCGGAGCGCCCCCGCCCCUCUUGAUGGGGUGGCGCCCCCCUCGUGCAUAUGUCGGCAGCGGGUCGGUGAUGCAGACUAGCCGCCGGGCAAGGAGUUUGACAUGGUCGUCCUUGUCGGGGUUAGUUGCUCCCCACACAAGUUUUAGUGCUUAGUCGCCUAGGAUUAGGGUUUUUUGACUCUGGGUCGUUGUCGGUCAAGCCAAGGUGAAUGCUUGCAGCUCUGUUGGGGGAGGCACCUCCACACAUUGUAGUGUCGGUGAUGAUUGGUAGAUGUGGUGGUCAGGGCUAUGAUAUGCCGGCUGGUGGACCAGUGCCUCAGUUCACAGACUUGGCAUCUACGCUGGUCUCGACGAUGGUCGUCGGCAGUCACCUAGCGAGGUGACUGAUGCCGGGCUUUACUUGCUGCGAUUUGUGCAUUGUGAAGCGAGCGGGUCUAGGUGGUGCUCGGUGGUGAUGGUUGUGUUAGCAUUGCAUUCGUGCGCGGAUCAGUGCCGGUGAUCGCAAACAUGGCGUGGUGCGAGCUCGCCUGGCCAAGGGCUCGGUGCUGGCUCACCGGCGGUCCCCCUACUCCACCGACCAUUGGCUGGGGAUGCAGGUGUGGGUGCGUCCUAUGGUGGAGGUGCCCAACCAAACUCUUGGACUGAGUCUGGGCUAGGAGUAGAUGGAGUGUCGUCGCUCUUCCUACCAUGGUUGGCUACGUUGUCAUGUGAGCGGCGUAUGGUAUUUCGCAACAAGGAUGCCGGGUUGGCGGCCCCUGAUGGCGGGCCGCAUGAUUGCUCUUUGGCAGCCAUUAUUUCGUUGGUGGUGGCUCCCCUCCUGGGUUGUGGGGGCAACGGGAGGUGUUGCGGUUAGUAGCUCAGACGUGCCCUCUCUCUCGGAGGGGCAGCGUCCUGAUCAAGAUCUGGGGAUCUAACAUCAACGCGCUAGUCCUGAGGACCUCGUGGUGGCACAGGUGAGUUGUCGAGCAAAAGCUCCGUGCCUUGGCGUCGCCGCUGACGACACUCAUGGGUGCCACACUCUUCUUGAAGACGUCGUUGUGGUUCUUCUCUCCGUGUCAGGGCUCCGGGUGUAGAACUUUGUCUGGUGUGGACUCAGCAGGGGCGACGCUGUGCGGAGUUCUCCCACUUGGGGCCGUUGUCGUGGAGCUUAGGUGUGCUAGGUCGUAGCGUGAGGAUGUUUUGUUCUUCCGGUGCUUGUUGCUGGUAGCGUAGAAGCGUGCGUUUUGCAUGUGCCGGACAACUCAGGACCGACUUUGUAAGGUCUACGUGACCAUAUUGUAUCGUUUGGCCGUGUGCAUCUUUGGAUGUUGCUUUGUUUAUAAAGCGGGGCAAAAGCCUAUUUCGAGAACAACGAAAACAACAGCAACAACAAACAAAUCAACAACUUCAGAAUAGUUUAUCUUUUAAAAUUUCACUUGCUUAAUAAACUACAUGCAUAGGACUUUCUACAGUGUUUUAGAGAAGGACAACUACGAUUUGCUAGCUAGCUAGUUAGGUAUUUCAACACAACAUCAACAGGAAGGAGGAGAAGAACUGUUAACAGCCAGGCAGGCAGGUGGAGAGUGGAUGUGUGAGAGUGAGGUCUCUCUGGCUUUUUCCUGUAUGGUACCCCUACUUCCUUCGCUGACAAAGACCUGUUCUGAAUCUGUAAUACUGAUUCACAGUAAUGAUGGUGGAUCGACUAUAUCUUGACUAAUCCAUGUACAACGAAAAUUACUACGUACAUGAUUAAAAAUCCAAGGGUCAAAUCCUGAUCAAUCGAUCCGGCAAAUUCUGCACGAAUCUAGCAUGACAUCAUGUGUGAUUAACAAGAGUUUCAAUUAUAAUUAGCCUCCGAGAAGCAACAUGGAGGAGGAUGUAGUCGUGUUUUUGGCCUUGUUAGAAACUUCGCUUUCCAUCAAUCUGAAAACAAGUGGUAGAGGGCAAAAAAAUUAAAAAAAACAUGUGUAGAGGAUACCGCAACACAUAAAGCCACACACACAAAAACAGCAGUAUGCUAGCUGGUCCAUGACAUUGACAAAUCAAUUGAUUUGCUGCAACCAUAUGUAUGAAUAAUAUCGCCAAGGAUAAGAGAAGGAAAAAAUAUAAAUAUACCGAUAGGCUCUUCUUUUGUUCAUGGAUGCAUGUUGCAUGAGCCAAGUGUAUUGGCAGUAUGGCUUGUGUUUGCUGCAUGAUGGCGGCAGGUUCCCAUUCAGUUAGGCAUGCUAAGUCCUAAAUUCAUUUAUUCACGUAUCAGGUAGAAGUAGAACAAAUUUCAUUUCUUUUCUGUAGGUUCCUUGCUUAAAAGAAAAUAGAAAAAAAUACACUUCUAUAAUUACCAGAAAAAAUCAACUGUAUGUCGCUCAGCCUUCCCUUUUUGUUCCGUAUCAGUAUCAACAAUCAUAGUACUAAUAGCUUUCUAUACUGGCGGUAGUAAAUUCAAUAAAAGAAACCUGGAGACUAUCUGAACAAUUUGAAACAAUAUAUACAAAUUGAGAUCAACUAACGACAAAAAUCCAAAAGAAAUGUUCAUGUCUACGUGGAGUGAAUCGAUCAAGCCGUGCAAAGCCCUAACAAUUCGUUUUGUAUUAAUAACUCAUAUGACAAUACAACCGCUCCAUAUGAAAAUGUAAUAUGAUGAUUCAUGAAUGCUUAUCCAUCUUAUAAAUAUAUUGUGCAAAAAAUAUCGAGUUAGUUCAGAGAAAACGCUGUCUAGAACAAUCUUCACAUUAAUAGUGUGAUCUAUCUCAACGACUCACACAAGAUUACAUAGUUUGUUCCCUUAAGUAUGCCAAUCUGGAUACGCCUAACAAUAUGUAGAACAUGACAAACUAAAUCAGAACAAGGGACAAAAUCUAGAUCAAUGUUUGAAGUGUAAAGUGAAUACGAUGAGUCAUUUGUCGUUAUCAAGCAUUCCAUACACCUAGAUGAUAUGUGCAAGAACAAUCAACUAUGACGAAUAAUCCAAAAUCACGAUAGUAAGUAGUACCAUAAAACACGACAUACCAAAUUAUUGUAAAUGAUAAGCUUAAGAGCACUUUUUCAAGAAGCACGUGUAAAGAUUACAAACUUAGUUCCCUUAAGUUAUGCCAAUCUGGAUACACCUAACAACAUGUAGAACAUCACAAACUAAAUCGGAAAGACGGACAAAAUCUAGAUCAAUGUUUGAAGUGUAAAGUGAAUACGAUGAGUCAUUCAUCGUGAUCAAGCAUUCGAUACAGCCAGAUGAUAUGUGCAAGAACAAUCAACUAUGAUGAACAAUCCAAAAUCAUGCUAGGAAGUAGUGCCACCAAACACAACAUAUCAAAUUAUUAGGUCGAUAAUCGUAAGUGCACUUUUUCAAGAAAAGAGUGGGAAGAUGAAAACAAAAUAUGUCAUGCCUGCUAUAAAUACGACUACACCAUGUGGGUCUCUUCCAUCAUCUAACCUUCAAACACCUAAAGCAAAAACACCAAAGCCAAGUGAGCAAUAGUAAACACAAAUCAAACAUGAAGACCUUCAUCAUAUUUGUCCUCCUUGCUAUGGUGAUGAGCAUCGCCAGUGCCACUAGGCAACUAAGCCCUAGAAGCAAGGAGUUGCAAACACCACAAGAACAAUUCCCCCAACAGCAAUUUCCUCAACCACAACAAAUCCUCCAACAACAAUUCCCCCAACAACAACAAAUCCCCCAGCAACCGCAACAAUUCCCCCAACAACAAAUCCCGCAACAGCAAAUCCCGCAACAACAAAUCCCCCAACAACAACNNNNNNNNNNNNNNNNNNNNNNNNNNNNNNNNNNNNNNNNNNNNNNNNNNNNNNNNNNNNNNNNNNNNNNNNNNNNNNNNNNNNNNNNNNNNNNNNNNNNNNNNNNNNNNNNNNNNNNNNNNNNNNNNNNNNNNNNNNNNNNNNNNNNNNNNNNNNNNNNNNNNNNNNNNNNNNNNNNNNNNNNNNNNNNNNNNNNNNNNNNNNNNNNNNNNNNNNNNNNNNNNNNNNNNNNNNNNNNNNNNNNNNNNNNNNNNNNNNNNNNNNNNNNNNNNNNNNNNNNNNNNNNNNNNNNNNNNNNNNNNNNNNNNNNNNNNNNNNNNNNNNNNNNNNNNNNNNNNNNNNNNNNNNNNNNNNNNNNNNNNNNNNNNNNNNNNNNNNNNNNNNNNNNNNNNNNNNNNNNNNNNNNNNNNNNNNNNNNNNNNNNNNNNNNNNNNNNNNNNNNNNNNNNNNNNNNNNNNNNNNNNNNNNNNNNNNNNNNNNNNNNNNNNNNNNNNNNNNNNNNNNNNNNNNNNNNNNNNNNNNNNNNNNNNNNNNNNNNNNNNNNNNNNNNNNNNNNNNNNNNNNNNNNNNNNNNNNNNNNNNNNNNNNNNNNNNNNNNNNNNNNNNNNNNNNNNNNNNNNNNNNNNNNNNNNNNNNNNNNNNNNNNNNNNNNNNNNNNNNNNNNNNNNNNNNNNNNNNNNNNNNNNNNNNNNNNNNNNNNNNNNNNNNNNNNNNNNNNNNNNNNNNNNNNNNNNNNNNNNNNNNNNNNNNNNNNNNNNNNNNNNNNNNNNNNNNNNNNNNNNNNNNNNNNNNNNNNNNNNNNNNNNNNNNNNNNNNNNNNNNNNNNNNNNNNNNNNNNNNNNNNNNNNNNNNNNNNNNNNNNNNNNNNNNNNNNNNNNNNNNNNNNNNNNNNNNNNNNNNNNNNNNNNNNNNNNNNNNNNNNNNNNNNNNNNNNNNNNNNNNNNNNNNNNNNNNNNNNNNNNNNNNNNNNNNNNNNNNNNNNNNNNNNNNNNNNNNNNNNNNNNNNNNNNNNNNNNNNNNNNNNNNNNNNNNNNNNNNNNNNNNNNNNNNNNNNNNNNNNNNNNNNNNNNNNNNNNNNNNNNNNNNNNNNNNNNNNNNNNNNNNNNNNNNNNNNNNNNNNNNNNNNNNNNNNNNNNNNNNNNNNNNNNNNNNNNNNNNNNNNNNNNNNNNNNNNNNNNNNNNNNNNNNNNNNNNNNNNNNNNNNNNNNNNNNNNNNNNNNNNACAACAAUUCCCCCAACAACCACAACAACAAUUCCCCCAACAACAAUUUCCCAUACCAUACCCACCCCAACAACAAUCACAAGAAGCUUCCCCAUACCAACAAUACCACAACAACAACUAUCUGGGAGCGACGUUAUAAGUAUCAGUGGCCGAUGAAAUGAAGAGAUGUAAUACUAGACAGGUGAAUCAUCGUUGUUAGUCAAUGGAGCAUAAUGUAACGGGUAUAAAUAAAAUGAUGUGCACCAUCAUGUGUAACCCCGACCUGUACUAGUUCAAACAUGGGAAUAAAAGACAAAUAAGUUCUUUUCUGAAGCACAUUGCUGGCAAUUGUUAUAUUCAUGCCAUAUUUCGAUUUCCAUCGCUAACUACAAUCUCAAUGUUAUGGUCUAUCUACUUAUUUAUGAAGUGUAGUACUAUGAACAUAACAUAAUUAACAUGUCUGAAAAUUGGGUCAAAUUGAAGUACUAUUAAUUCAAGAGUAAGGAGUAAUUACAAUUUAACAUUUCAAUGGAGAGCUCUAAUUGUAGACUGCGUUGUUAAUUCCCCGAAGAGGAGAGGAUGAUGUAGUAUAGUAGAGAUAAGUAUUUCCCUCAGCUAAGAACCAAGGUUAUUAAUCCAGUAGGAGAACCACACAAAACCUCGUUAGCAGCACCUGCACACACAACAGCAAACACUUGCACCCAACGCAAAUAAGAGGGUUGUCAAUCCUCUUAGCGAUUAUUUGCAAGGAUUAGUUCUGACAGUGAUACAUAGAUAAAAUAAAUUACUAAAUAAAAUAAAAAUAAAUAAAUUGCNNNNNNNNNNNNNNNNNNNNNNNNNNNNNNNNNNNNNNNNNNNNNNNNNNNNNNNNNNNNNNNNNNNNNNNNNNNNNNNNNNNNNNNNNNNNNNNNNNNNNNNNNNNNNNNNNNNNNNNNNNNNNNNNNNNNNNNNNNNNNNNNNNNNNNNNNNNNNNNNNNNNNNNNCAGAGUUUUCACUAGAGGAUUCUCUCUUGAUCAUAGAGCAUAUGGUGGGUAAACACAUUACUGUUGGGCAAGCUAUUAUAUACUAAAAGGAAAAUAUUGGUCCAAAAUAGAGAAUAGGCUAGAAAAUCCGGCGUUAAUUAGAAAAUAUGAACCCUUGAUCCGUUUAAUUUUAAAAAUUAUAAAUCUAUGACCGUUCAAUAUACGUAACAAGGUAGGGCGUGGAUAACUUCCCGCGUAACGUGACACAUGUAAGAAACACAAACAUGGGUCCAGUUAAGGCAAACACGUAGAUGUGUUGAAGUGGGAAUGAAUAGAAUUGCUACGUCCGAAUAUGCAAGAGAUAUAAAAGAAGAAGAAAACUAAAGAACAUGUCGUGUUCAGAUUGGACUAAACGUAUGUGCGUAUACAACCACAACCACAAUCCGAAAGGUCCAGCCAUUAAUCCCGUGGGUCCAUCCAAAACAAAAGGUGGAUAUCCAUCUAAUUGCCCCACGUCCAUGGAACAUACUUAUUAGAGUCCACAAACAACAGCUGCUGGUCUCUUUUACAUGAUCCUCCUUGCACUGUUAGGACUUUGCCGUCGGACAUCCCAAAGUUCUUGUGAAGUUCACAUCUAAAAAUACUAUCAUAAUAAAAAAAAUCCAUUUCAUACUCCAGGAAAGAUAUCACCGUCCCAAAGUUUCAAUUGCAAUCUAAGUUUUGCCACAACUGGGUAUUUAAAGCUUAUUUUGCCAUAGCCAGGCAAUUUCAGCCACUAAGGUUUUUGUGGCAGAUCAAGCAUCUUCCCAUUGGAAACUCCCAACUGUAAAAAGACCAGCAAAUUAGCAAUCAUUGGCAAAUCAGCAAUCUUAUAGCGGCAGCAGCUCCCAUCAAUCAGGCAACUCAUCUUUCAAAAAUCAGAGACAAUAAGCAACCAUACACAUCAUGGACAUAUGAUAUUAACGAUAAUUACAUAUGUGAUUUCUGUGUUGAAUUUCGUACAACAUCACCAUGAAGAGAAGCGCAUCCACAUGGCAAGUAAUUUCCAAAAGCCGCCAAGAAGGUGAAAAGCAAUCAAAUAUGCAAUCCAACAAGUUAAUUAUUAAGCUAUAGACCAUGCAUGUUUCAGUGGUGCAUACAAGAUCAGUAGAACAAAUUCCUAGCCGUUACGACAUUCAUCAGGGAGGCGAGGACUGUGAAGCGAGGGGUUGCGAGCUGGAGGGAAUGGCGGCACACCCCGUGUCUCAGCCGAGAGAGGAGAGGCCGGGGAUAGAAUUAAGAGAGACACGAGAGAUGACAGAUGAUAGGCUAGGGAUCGUUGGGCGUUCUCACAUAUUGCGUGGAGGUGGUUAGCUAAAUGGGGCAGCACAAAGGCCCAGUCAACCGCAGGUGGCAGAGUUUUCUCCCAGUGCAGCAGCCCUUUAGGACAGUUGAGCCAAGAAAUAUAAUUACAAAAUUAGGGAUUCAUCCAAUAGUCAGAAAUGAUCUAUACAAGUGAUCUGAUAGUUACAAAUGUUGAAUGCUUGAGAGAGCUGGGAUAAGGCUAGGUUUUACUGUCCUAAAUGUAUUAGAUAUGUAGAAUCUGACAGUUAUUAAAGUUUAAUUGUCCUUCGAAACAAACUAUGGCUAAUCACCACUACGCUAAUUACUUUUUACAAUUGUUGAACAUGAAUGGGGGUUAGGGGGGCGUAACACUGCUGAUGAGGGUCCCAACCCCGAAAAAGGUGGAGGGUGCAUGAUCAAAUUAACAUCUAACACUAACAUGCAAUACCUUUUAAGUUCUUAUAUUGAUUCAAUCGCAAAAGGGAGAAAUGAAACAAAAGUAGGCAGCGGGACCUGGAAGUCAACAGAGGAAACAGAAGGGUAUGCUCAUCGUGUGGAAUCGUUUGUGGGGGCGAGCUGAGUAAACAGAGGAAGGUGAUCGAAUGACGUCUCAGGUUUAUUUGUUUACUGAACAGACAGACAUGUGUAAGUUUUUUUUCCCUUUGAGGGGAAAGACGUGUGUAACUAGGGAGAGAUGAUUUUGCACGUUCUGUAUUUUUUUCCACCAGAAAACAGAUACUACUUUAACAAAUAAAUCCUACACUAAAUAUUUUAUAUGCUGCAAAUUACAGGCCACAUACGCAUGAGCCUAAAUUAUAGGCGACUAUUUCAUAGGGUGAAAGUAAACAAAAUAGAAAAUCUUAUAGGCGACAUAAGCAUGAACCUAAAUUAUAUAUUUUAUAUGCUGCAAAUUAUUUUAAAAACAUGUGAAAAUAUAGUGCAUGAUCAUCAGACCAAAAACUCUAGCCUGUACAAAACACUCAUAUUUAGACGUAUAUUUCAUAUGGAGCUGCCAAUUCAUAUCAAUCCGGCACUACAACAGUAACACUAUCGUGCAGCCGCUUAAGUCAAAUCUAAGGUUAAAGCUAAUCAACACAAAAUAUCCAAUGUAAAAGGAAUUACUUAUACUAAAAAAUAUAAAAUAUACCUAAGAGUGCGAACAAUGACGAAUAUUUACUAUAAGAGUGCUAGCCCUCGCAUUUGCGAGGGCCACCUUGCUAGUUGAUAAAAAACAAAUAAUUAUGAUGGAUUCAUGGCAAUGAUCAUGUAUAUAGGCAUCACGUUCGAGACAAGUAGACCGACUCCCGUCUGCAUCUACUACUAUUACUCCACCCAUCGACCACUAUCCAGCAUGCAUCCAGAGUAUUAGGUAUAAAACAGAGUGACGCCUUAAGUACGAUGACAUGAUGUAGAUAAAGUAAAUUCAAGAAAUAUGAUUAAACCCCAUCUUUUUAUCCUUAAUUGUCAGCCCAUUGGCUGUUAUUUUCCCCGAUCUGACCGUCCGCGACGCUCCUGUUGUUCGCAACGCUACCGCUACGACUGCGGGAGCAUGUCAUUUUCGUUAUACAUGUAACCCAAAAAUAUCUCUAACAUUAAUGACAACAAUACAAAUACGUGUUAUGUCCGUUUUUGUCACUGGGAUUGAGCAAUGCAAGAUUGAAUCCAUCACAAAGCACCUCUCCCCAUUGCAAGAUAAACCAAUCUAGUUGGCCAAACCAAAUCGAUAGAUCAGGGAGAAAUAUAAAGCUAAAAUAAUCACGCAUAAAAGAGCUCAGAGAAGACUCAAAUAUUUCUCAUGAAUCAUAUGAUCAUAAACUCACGAUUCAUUGGAUCCCAACAAACACACCGGAAAAGAAGAUUACAUCGGAUAGAACUCCAAGAACAUCGGGGAUAACUUUGUAUUGAAUAUCAAAGAGAGAGAAGAAGCCAUUUAGCUAUUGGCUAUGGACCCAUAGGUGUGUGGUAAAAUACUCACACAUCAUCGGAAGGACAGCAUUGUUUAUGUGGAAGCCCUUCGUGAUCGAUUCCCCCUCCGGCAGAGUACUGGAAAAGGCCUCCAGACGGGAUCGCGGAAGAACAGAGGCUUGCGGCGGCGAAAAAGUUUUGUCAUCUAUCUCUCUGGUGGUUAUGGAAUAUUUGUGAAUUUAUAGUGGAAGAAUUAGGUCAGGAGGUGCCACGAGGGGGCCAUAAGCCUAGGGGCGCGGUGAUACGUCCAUUUUGCAUCAUGUUUUAUUACGGUUAUUUAUUAAGUUUUGAGCCAAUAUAACACUUCAUGGAGUAUUUCUAAUGCCUUUUCUCUCUUAAUCUGCAAGGUUUACACAAAGAGGGAGAAUACCGGCAGCUGGAUUUCAGGGCCUGAAAAAGCUACAUCAGAGAUCCCUAUUCUGCACAUCUCCAAAUGGGCUGAAAAUUCACGAAGAUUUAUUUUAGAAUAUAAAAAAAAUACUGGGCCAAAGAUCCACGGGAGGAGGCCACCCAGGUGCCCACACAACAAUAGGGCGCGCCCCACCCCUGGGGCGCGCCCUGAUGCUGUAUGAGGCCCCUGGCCCACUUCAGCCCCCCUCCUUCUGGUAUAUAAGUCAUUUUACCAUAAAAUAUUUAUGGGGAGACUUUCAGGACGAGGCGCCGCCGCCACGAGGCGGAACUAGAGCAGGAGAAAUUUGGCUCUCCGGCGGGCAGAUUCCGCCGGGGAUACUUCCCUCCGGGAGCUGGAAAUCAAAGCUUACGCCAUCACUAACAACCCUCUCAUCGUGGGAGGGCCAAUCUUCAUCAUCAUAAACCACAACACCAUCUCAUCUCUAUCCCUAGUUCAUAUCUUGUAUUCGAUCUCUGUGUCAAAACAUUAGAUUGGUACUUGUGUUUGACUAGUAGUGUUGAUUACUUAUCGUAGUUGAUGCUAGUGGAUUUGUUUGGUGAAUUACCAAAUGUUCUGAUCGUGCAUCCAAAUUAUAUCCUCUCUGAUCAUGAACAUGAUGAUGAUGUGUGAGUAGUUACUUUUAUUCUUGAGGACAUGGGAGAAGUCUUGUCAUUAGUAAUCAUGUGAUUCCACUGGUAGAAAACUGGGCUUUGGUCACAGGGCAAUAUUCACAUUAGUCCCGGUGCAGUCACGAACGGGGACUAAUGUGAGCAUUGGUCCCGGUUCGUGCGGCCAGGGGCCUGCCGGGCCUCGUGGGGGCAUUGGUCCCGGUUCGUCCGGCCCCUUUGGUCCCGGUUGGUGGGACAAACCGGGACCAAUGGGCCACGCUCCUGGCCCACCACCCUUUAGUCCCGGUUCAUACCACAAACCGGGACUAAAGGGCUGGUCCUAGUUGCGGCCAGUGUUUAGUCCCUCCUCGCCAACCGAAGGGCGCUCACACCAGUUUAUAAGCCCGUCCCUCUCUGCCUUGUUGAGCUUCUCUUAAAGUGAAAAUAGAUGCCCUUAUACAGGGAAUUUGACCUAAAUUCACAGUAAAUUUCAUAGAAAUUUGUUAUGAAUUUAGGUUUAAUUUUCUCUAUAAGCGCAUCUAUGUUCAUUUUUUAUAUUUAUAAAAUAAAUAAACAUUAAUAAAAUAAAUAAAACUAAAUAAACCUUAAUAAAAUAAAAUAAAAUAAACUAUAGUAACUACAAUAAAUAAACCUUAAUAAAUUAAGUAAAAAUAGCAGCAGUAAAAUAAAUAAAAAUAGCAGCAGUAAAAUAAAUAAAAAUAAAAUAAUUAAAGUAAAAUACAUAAGUAAUUAUAAAUAAAAUAAAUAAGUUUUUUGUUGUAAGUAGAACAAAACAAAACAAAUAAAGCAAAAGAGAAAAAAAACAGAGGAACAAAAUUAUGCCACCUACUGGGCCACCACGGCCUGAAUACGACUAGAAACCCAUCCAUGGGCCAGGAUUCANNNNNNNNNNNNNNNNNNNNNNNNNNNNNNNNNNNNNNNNNNNNNNNNNNNNNNNNNNNNNNNNNNNNNNNNNNNNNNNNNNNNNNNNNNNNNNNNNNNNNNNNNNNNNNNNNNNNNNNNNNNNNNNNNNNNNNNNNNNNNNNNNNNNNNNNNAAAAAAUUAUGCCACCUACUGGGCCACCACGGCCUGAAUACGACUAGAAACCCAUCCAUGGGCCAGGAUUCAGGCCCGCAGAAGGCCCAGUAGGCCCCACAGGCAAAGAGAACAGUUAGGCCCGAAAGCCUGCAGUUGAGAGGAGUUCGAGAGGGUGGGCGCAGCAGCGCUUAUAAACCACUCUCGAGCUCUCUCAACUAGCGAGGUGGGACUAAACUUUUGACGCGGGGCAGCACAAGGCCUUUGGUCCCGGUUGGUGCCACCAACCGGGACUAAAGGAGGCAUUGGUCCCGGUUCGUGGCACCAACCGGGACAAAGGCCUUUAGUCCCGGUUGGUGCCACGAACCGGGACCACCGAGUUCCCUAUAUACCCCAUCGCCACAGCAGAGCACUCCAGAGUGCUCUGUUUUUUCUGGCCGCGAGGGGAGGGCAUUUGGGUGCUCUAGCUCACCUCCUAUGCACAUGAGGUGUUCGAUGAAAUGUCUGAGCCACACUAGUUAAUCUUUGUCCUCUCGAAACUCGACCUCCGAGCUCCAUUUUCCCCGAGAUUUGUCUAGGUUUAGCGGUCCGUCACGUCCCGUCCCCGUCUUCACCGCCGUCGAUCGCCCGCGCCGAUCUCGUCGCCAGCACCACCGUGGUGAGCCUCUUGUUCUUAUCUUCUUUCUGAAAGGAAAAAAAUUCUUACUUUAGAUAGUUACUUGUCUAAUUUUGUUACUUUUAUUAUUCCUUCUUAUUACAUAGUGCGAUGGUUUUGGUAUCCGCCCCCGUCGGCCCUCAUCCUGUCUAUGAUUCGGAUGUGGUAUAUAUUAUCUUUUUAUAACUAUUUGGUUCAUUUACUGUUUAUGACAAAUAUACCGACCAACGUGACAUAGAUUUUAUUUAUCUAGGAGGUGGUUGAACCGGAAAUUCUAACCGACCCUAUUGUUGAGAGGUUAAAUUUAGUUGAAGAAGAAAACAAUUAUUUGAAGGAAAAAAUAAAAAAAAUUGAGGAGGAGAAGAUGAUAUUGGAGUGGCAUGUUGCGGAUGUCGUCGAUGAUCACAAGAUCAAGAUGGAUGCAAUGCGCUUAAAGAUUAGAAAGAUUAGAAAAUAUGCCAUUCAUACUGAGGCUUGGUAUCAUUAUGCCAUUGGAUCAAUUGUUACCUUGGUUGCGAUUAUGAUCGCAUUUGUUUUCGCAUUGAAAUGUUUUACAUAGUUUCAAUGUAUGGUUUAAUUAAUUAGAUGCUCUGGAGAGCUAUAUAUAUGUUGUUAGAUGAGAACUAUGUAUGUACUUUGGUUUUAAUGUGAUGAUGAACUUCUAUUAAUUUGGUCACUUAAUUAUCUAUUCAUGAUGUUCUGUAAUGGUUUUUGACACACUUAAUUAUAUAUAAUGCACGCAGAUGAACCGGCAAUGGAUGUACGAUGACAGACACACCUCCGAGUACAUUAAGGGCGUGCAUGAUUUUCUCGAAGUGGCUGAGGCAAACAAGCAGAAUGGUUUUAUGUGUUGUCCAUGCCCUAUAUGUGGGAAUACGAAGUCUUACUCUGACCGGAAAAUCCUUCACACCCACCUGCUUUACAAGGGUUUCAUGCCACACUAUAAUGUUUGGACGAGGCACGGAGAAAUAGGGCUUACGAUGGAAGACGGUGAAGAAGAAGAGGAUGAUGACAACUAUGUGCCCCCUGAAUACGGUGAUGCUGCAACGGGGGAAGCUGCUGAAGAUCAAGAGGAACCAGACGAUGUGCCCAAUGAUGCUGCAAGGGGGGAAGCUGCUGAAGAUCAAGAGGAACCAGUGCCCGAUGAUGAUGAUCUCCGCCGGGUGAUAGUCGAUGCAAGGACGCAAUGCAAAAGUCAAAAGGAGAAGCUGAAGAUCGAUCGCAUGUUAGAGGAUCACAAAAAAGGGUUGUACCCCAAUUGCGAAGAUGGCAACACAAAGCUCGGUACCGUACUGGAAUUGCUGCAGUGGAAGGCAGAGAAUGUUGUGCCUGACAAAGGGUUUGAGAAGCUAUUGAAAAUAUUGAAGAAGAAGCUUCCAAAGGAUAACGAAUUGCCCGACAGUACAUACGCAGCAAAGAAGGUCGUAUGCCCUCUAGGAUUGGAGGUGCAGAAGAUACAUGCAUGCCCUAAUGACUGCAUCCUCUACCGCGGUGCGUACAAGGAUCUGAACGCAUGCCCGGUAUGCGGUGCAUUGCGAUAUAAGAUCAGACGAGAUGACUCUGGUGAUGUUGACGGCGAGCCCCCCAGGAAGAGGGUUCCUGCGAAGGUGAUGUGGUAUGCUUCUAUAAUACCACGGUUGAAAUGUCUGUUCAGAAACGAAGAGCAUGCCAAGUUGAUGCGAUGGCACAGUGGGGACCGUAAGAAAGACGGGAAGUUGAGAGCACCCGCCGACGGGUCGCAGUGGAGAAAAAUCGAGAGAAAGUACUGGGCUGAGUUUGCAGCUGACCCAAGGAACGUAUGGUUUGGUUUAAGCGCGGAUGGCAUUAAUCCUUUCGGGGAGCAGAGCAGCAAUCACAGCACCUGGCCCAUGACUCUAUGUAUGUAUAACGUUCCUCCUUGGAUGUGCAUGAAGCAGAAGUUCAUUAUGAUGCCAGUUCUCAUCCAAGGCCCUAAGCAACCCGGCAACGACAUUGAUGUGUACCUAAGGCCAUUAGUUGAAGAACUUUUACAGCUGUGGAAUGGAAACGGUGUACGUACGUGGGAUGAGCACAAAAAGGAGGAAUUUAACCUGCACGCGUUGCUGUUUGUAACCAUCAACGAUUGGCCCGCUCUCAGUAACCUUUCAGGACAGACAAACAAGGGAUAGCACGCAUGCACGCACUGUUUAGAUGACACUGAAAGUAUAUACCUGGACAAAAGCAGGAAGAAUGUGUACCUGGGCCACCGUCGAUUUCUUCCGACAAACCAUCAAUGUCGAAAGAAAGGCAAGCAUUUCAAAGGCGAGGCAGAUCAGCGGAAGAAGCCCGCCAUGCGUACCGGUGAUCACGUACUUGCUAUGGUCAAUGAUUUACACGUAAUCUUUUGAAAGGGUCCCGGCGGACUAGCUGUUCCGAAUGACGCUGAGGGACACGCACCCAUCUGGAAGAAGAAAUCUAUAUUUUGGGACCUACCCUGCUGGAAAGAGCUAGAGGUCCGCUCUUCAAUCGACGUGAUGCACGUGACGAAGAACCUUUGCGUGAACCUGCUAGGCUUCUUGGGCGUGUAUGGGAAGACAAAAGAUACACCUGAGGCACGGGAGGACCUGCAAUGUUUGCACGAAAAAGACGGCAUGCCUCCGAAGCAGUAUGAAGGUCCUGCCAGCUACGCUCUUACGAAAGAAGAGAAAGAAAUCUUCUUUGAAUGCCUGCUCAGUAUGAAGGUCCCGACUGGCUUCUCGUCGAAUAUAAAGGGAAUAAUAAAUAUGCCAGAGAAAAAGUUCCAGAACCUAAAGUCUCAUGACUACCACGUGAUUAUGACGCAACUGCUUCCGGUUGCAUUGAGGGGGCUUCUACCAGAAAACGUCCGAUUAGCCAUUGUGAAGCUAUGUGCAUUCCUCAAUGCAAUCUCUCAGAAGGUGAUCGAUCCAGAAAUCAUACCAAUGCUAAGGAGUGAUGUGGCGCAAUGUCUUGUCAGUUUCGAGCUGGUGUUCCCGCCAUCCUUCUUCAAUAUCAUGACGCACGUCCUAGUUCAUCUAGUCGACGAGAUUGUCAUUCUGGGGCCCGUAUUUCUACACAAUAUGUUCCCCUUUGAGAGGUUCACGGGAGUCCUAAAGAAAUAUGUCUGUAACCGCGCUAGGCCAGAAGGAAGCAUCUCCAUGGGCCAUCAAACAGAGGAUGUCAUUGGGUUUUGUGUUGACUUCAUUCCUGGCCUUAGGAAGAUAGGUCUCCCUAAAUCGCGGUAUGAGGGGAGACUGACUGGAAAAGGCACGCUUGGAGGGGACUCAAUAAUAUGCAGGGACGGAUAUUGUUGGUCUCAAGCACACUACACAGUUCUACAGAACUCUACCUUGGUGACCCCGUAUGUCGAUGAACACAAGAACAGUCUGCGCUCCAAACACCCGGAGCAGUGUGACGACUGGAUUACAUGUGAACACAUCAGGACUUUCAGCAGUUGGUUGGAAACACGUCUCAUAGGUGACACCACUGUUUGUGUUGAGUUGUACUCAUUGUCCAGGGGACCAUCUUCGACUGUAUUGACUUACAAAGGAUACGAGAUAAAUGGGAAUACAUUUUACACGAUCGCCCAAGAUCAAAAGAGCACCAACCAAAACAGCGGUGUCCGCUUUGAUGCAGCAACCGAGAGGGGAAAGGACACAUAUUAUGGUUACAUAAUGGACAUAUGGGAACUUGACUACGGACAUGAUUUUAAGGUCCCUUUGUUUAAGUGCAAAUGGGUCAAUCUGUCAGGAGGUGGGGUACAGGUAGACCCACAGUACGGAAUGACAACAGUGGAUCUGAACAAUCUUGGGUACACUGAUGAACCGUUCGUCCUAGCCAAUGAUGUGGCACGGGUUAUCUAUGUGAAGGACAUGUCUACCAGACCGAGGAAAAGAAAAGAUAAGGAAGCGAAUACAUCAUACGAUGAGCCAAAGCGCCACAUAGUUCUUUCAGGAAAAAGGGACAUUGUGGGAGUGGAGGGCAAGACAGACAUGUCUGAAGAUUAUGAAAAGUUUCAUGAAAUUCCUCCCUUCAAAGUCAAGGCUGACCCAAGCAUCCUGAUAAACGAUGAAGAUUAUCCAUGGUUAUGGCGCAAUAAGCCAAUGACACAAGCGAAGAAAAAGUGAAGACUUUCUCCCGCAACUAUUAUGAUGAUACCAUGCCAACUUUGUAAUAGACGAGUAUGAUACCAUUGUCCGUUUUGUACAAGAAGUGCAUCUAGUUUUUUGCCGUAACCCUCUCAACUUUCUUGCACAUGCUGUGUGGAUGAAAUGAUGAUACCAUGCCAACUUUCAAUCUUUUCAGAGUUCAUUUGAAAUGCUUUUCAAUUAGUAAAUGCAUGAAAAAUAACAGGCCAAAAAUUAAAAAUUAUGCCACCUACUGGGCCACCACGGCCUGAAUACGAUUAGAAACCCAUCCAUGGGCCAGGAUUCAGGCCCGCAGAAGGCCCAGUAGGCCCACAGGCAUGUACAGAGAGGUUAGGCCCGUAAGCCUGCUUUAGAGAGGAGCUCGACAGCUCAGGCGCACCGCACCUUAUAAAUAGGUGCGGCUCUCUCUUAGCUAGCGAGGUGGGACUAAACUCACCACCACGCCGCUGUGCAAGGCCAUUGGUCCCGGUUGGUGGCACGAACCGGGACCAAUUCCACCCUUUGGUCCCUGUUGGUGCCACGAACCGGUACUAAUGAGGCUGUGGCCCCACGAGCACCUUUAGUACCUGUUCGUGGCACGAACCGGUACUAGAGUUUCUUACUAAGCAGUUUUUUAGUCCCACCUCGCUAGCUGAGAGGCACUAGGAGCGGUUUAUAAGCCCUGAGUGCAGAGACAAUGAAGAAGAGGCGCAAUGCUCACGUUGCUUAGCUUCAAGCCUUGAGGAAUAAGGUAGACUGCAUCGAGCUAUGUGCAGUGCAGUCUACACUAUUCCAAAAGGCUUGAAGCAAAUCAACGAGCAUUGCGCCUCUUUUUUAUUUUUAAUAACUUAUUACAACUCCGGACUUCUUGUGUUCCGACAAAAUAAAAUGAACUUUAAUAAAAUUUAUGAAACUAAAAUUAACAAAGUAUUUUACGUUCAAAACAUUAUAAGAAACCUCUAUUAUUAUUGAAACUAAAAUCAUAUAAAAUUGAUGCAACUAAAAUUAUUGAAGUAUUUUCUGUUCAAAAUCAUUAAAAGCAAAAAGAAUUUUCAUAAAGAACUUUUUUUGAUCGAAACUUUAAUAGCAAAAAGAAUUAUCAUAAAGUAAAAUAAAUAAGUAAUUAGAAACAAAAUAAAAUAAAAUAAAUAAGUUUUUUGUUGUAAGUAGAAACAAAACAAAAUAAAUAUAGCAAAAAAGAAAACAAAAAAACUAAAUACAGCAAAAAGAAUUUUCAUAAAGAACUAAUGGCACUAAUAGAAAGUNNNNNNNNNNNNNNNNNNNNNNNNNNNNNNNNNNNNNNNNNNNNNNNNNNNNNNNNNNNNNNNNNNNNNNNNNNNNNNNNNNNNNNNNNNNNNNNNNNNNNNNNNNNNNNNNNNNNNNNNNNNNNNNNNNNNNNNNNNNNNNNNNNNNNNNNNNNNNNNNNNNNNNNNNNNNNNNNNNNNNNNNNNNNNNNNNNNNNNNNNNNNNNNNNNNNNNNNNNNNNNNNNNNNNNNNNNNNNNNNNNNNNNNNNNNNNNNNNNNNNNNNNNNNNNNNNNNNNNNNNNNNNNNNNNNNNNNNNNNNNNNNNNNNNNNNNNNNNNNNNNNNNNNNNNNNNNNNNNNNNNNNNNNNNNNNNNNNNNNNNNNNNNNNNNNNNNNNNNNNNNNNNNNNNNNNNNNNNNNNNNNNNNNNNNNNNNNNNNNNNNNNNNNNNNNNNNNNNNNNNNNNNNNNNNNNNNNNNNNNNNNNNNNNNNNNNNNNNNNNNNNNNNNNNNNNNNNNNNNNNNNNNNNNNNNNNNNNNNNNNNNNNNNNNNNNNNNNNNNNNNNNNNNNNNNNNNNNNNNNNNNNNNNNNNNNNNNNNNNNNNNNNNNNNNNNNNNNNNNNNNNNNNNNNNNNNNNNNNNNNNNNNNNNNNNNNNNNNNNNNNNNNNNNNNNNNNNNNNNNNNNNNNNNNNNNNNNNNNNNNNNNNNNNNNNNNNNNNNNNNNNNNNNNNNNNNNNNNNNNNNNNNNNNNNNNNNNNNNNNNNNNNNNNNNNNNNNNNNNNNNNNNNNNNNNNNNNNNNNNNNNNNNNNNNNNNNNNNNNNNNNNNNNNNNNNNNNNNNNNNNNNNNNNNNNNNNNNNNNNNNNNNNNNNNNNNNNNNNNNNNNNNNNNNNNNNNNNNNNNNNNNNNNNNNNNNNNNNNNNNNNNNNNNNNNNNNNNNNNNNNNNNNNNNNNNNNNNNNNNNNNNNNNNNNNNNNNNNNNNNNNNNNNNNNNNNNNNNNNNNNNNNNNNNNGCCGCCCCUGCCUCGACGCCGCCCCUCCUCCCCGUUCGGUCUGGCUCCGGCGACCCCCUUUCCUCCCUGUCCCCUCGAUCCUCUUCAUAUAAUUUGUUCAUAUAUUUUUUUUCAUAUAAUUUUUUUCAUAUGCAUAUGUUGAUUAUAUGGAUGGAUGGAUGAUGUAUAUGUUCAUUAUAUGGAUGGAUGGAUGAUGUAUGCUUUUUUUCAUAUAAUUUUUAGGCAGAUUUUUAGAAUUUUUUGUGUAUGUAUGUUAUGUUUAUAUGUAUGUAUGUAUGUAUGUUCAUAUGUAUGUAUGUUUAUAUGCAAAGCAUAUGCAAAGAAAAUGUAUGAAUGGUCAUAUGCAAAGAAAAAAUGUAUGUAUGGUCAUAUGCAAAGAAAAUGUAUGUAUGUAUGUUCAUAUGAAAGAAAAAUGUAUGGAUGUAUGUUCAUAUGCAUAUGCAAAGAAAAUGUAUGUUCAUAUAUAUGAUGAUAUGUUCAUAUAAAAAGGAAAAUAAGAAGAGGAAGAAAGGAGAAGAAGAGGAGAGGAAGAAGAGGAGAAAUAAAUAAGAAGAGGAAAAAAGAAGAAAAAGAAGAGGAGAAGAAGAAAGGAAUAGAAGAGAAGAAGAAAAAAUAGAAAAAAUUCUAUUUUUUCUUCUUCUCUCCUCUAUUCCUUUCUUCUUCUCCUCUUUUUUUUCUUCUUUUUUUUCUUCGAUCUUCUCCUCUAUUCCUUUUCUUCUUCUCCUCUUUUUNNNNNNNNNNNNNNNNNNNNNNNNNNNNNNNNNNNNNNNNNNNNNNNNNNNNNNNNNNNNNNNNNNNNNNNNNNNNNNNNNNNNNNNNNNNNNNNNNNNNNNNNNNNNNNNNNNNNNNNNNNNNNNNNNNNNNNNNNNNNNNNNNNNNNNNNNAUAUACCCCUCUCCCGAUAACUUCAACACGAGGGGGGGUCGAUAUACCCCCUCCCCGCCGAUAAUAUUAUUUUCCCAUGCACGUAUGUCGUCGUUGUCGAUAUAACCCCCUCCCGAUAACUUCAACACGUGGGGGGGGGUCGAUAUACCCCCUCCCCGAUAACAUUAUUUUCCCAUGUAUGUAUGUCGUCGUUGUCGAUAUAUAUAACUCCCUCCCAGAUAACUUCGACAUGAUGGACGGUCGAUAUUUAUACUCCCUCUCGACCGUGAUAACUUAUACCACGGGAGCACCCCCUAGCCCUCUCGCUCGACCAAAACUCUCGAGGACACCCAAACCCUAGAAAAAACUAUGUCGGUCUCCUACCCCCUCCCGCCGCGCCCCUACCCUUGAAGCGUUGCCUAGGCCACCCCAAACCCGGAAUAAGCUAGGUCUACGUUUGCACUAAUAUAUCCACCUGCUGUCAUGUUUGUGUAAUAAUUGCCAUGUUGUAAUAUUUGCAGAAACAAUGGAGCACGGACGAGAUGAGCAAGCAGAAGAGGUGUUGGGGGACAUAAUCUUAGCCGGAGGUGAUAUCUUGUCGUAUCUUAACGACAAUGAUGGUCUGGAAGAACAGGGUGAAGAAGCAGGCUACGGUGAUUGAAGAGUGGAGGAGGAAAGACAUGAUUAUGAUGGCUCCGGUGACCCAAUGCUGGUGCAAGAAGGAGCCCGUGGUGACGGCUCCGGUGACCGAACAGAGUCCGGCCAGGUAAAUAUAUUAGUUAAGCCUGUGCUGACUAGCUAAUUGAUGCAUUCAUUGUUUUGGUAUGUACAUAUAUUAAUUAACACUCGUCUUUCUUCUUUUUUCUAGCCCUCCGGAUCGAGCACAACUGCGGUAAAGAGACGAGGCCCGAAGAGAAAGUUGCGCUCGGAUGAAAGGUUUGAGAUCACAGCAAUCGCGCGCGACGGCCAACCGAUUGAACCCAUCCGGACAAAGGAUGCAUUUGCUGCUCAGUGCGGGAUUCUAGUUAGGGACAAGAUCCCGAUCAGCAUCCACCAAUGGUAUAAGCCUAAGAAGGAAGACCCUGAGGUGUCUUAUGUCAAUGAUAUGCAGAAAGAUGAUCUUUGGACUGAUCUGAAGGCAAAUUUCACCCUACCGCCAGAGGAGGAUUCGGAGAAGCCAGUUAUAGAGCAAUUAAUCAAGUCUCAUGCUCUUAAGAAGAUGGCAGACCUAUUCAGGAGGUGGAAGAAUGAGCUGAAAACGUUUGUCGACAAACAAGAGACACCAGAAUUCAUCGGCCGGUAUGAGAAGAUCAGAGAUCACUGGCCCGCAUUUGUGGCCCACAAGACAUCGGAAAAGAGUAAGAAGAUGUCAGCGACAAACAAGAAGAAUGCUGCGAAGAAGAAGCUUCACCAUCGCACGGGGUCAGGUGGCUACCUCAAAGCCCGACCUAAGUGGGCAAAGGCUGAGAAUGAUCUGCUUGAAAAAGGGAUCGAACCACAGACAAUGAACUGGACAGACUGUUGCCGGACUUGGUUCUUCGGGGCUGGCGGAACCUUGGACCCUGUAUCAGGGAGGUGUGUUUGGACGAACGAGCUUUUGAGAAUACUAGUCAAGAAGAUUCGGCAAUAUAUCGAUGCAGCGCAGGAAGGGACGUUCGUUCCAGACAGAGAGAACAACGAGCUCACAAUGGCCCUCGGGAAUCCUGAGCACCCUAGACGGACACGAGGCAUGCCAGGCUCCGUUCCGUGGAAGGCUGGUUUUCCGGACGCAGGCGGUUACAAAAGCCAGGAGAGGAGGAAAAAAGUGGAGCAGAUCCAAAUUCAGAAGCUGCACGAAAGGGUUCAAGCGCUAGAGGAACGAGACGGCAAUCGACAUGCCGAAACUGCCCCCGAAGCUACACCGCCAUCUCAGCGGAGAAGCAGCAUGGCUUCCACCGAGCUGCUUCAGCUGGAGCAUGCGGCUCCUGCUAGCUACCCCGUGGAUGCUAUCACGGAGUCUCAACAUUGCCACCUUAUGGCGGAAUGGCAGAACUUCAAAGUCAAGGCAGCGGUUGGCUCUGUUUUACCUCCUGAACCCGGCGCAACCUACCACUGCCGGCCGAUUCCAGAAGGAUAUGCUAGGGUGAUGGUUGAUGAAAUAACGGAGGGAUUUGAGGAGCUCCAGCUUGACCACCCUACCGGUGAAGGGGAGACUUGGCUGGGUUCUGCUCUGAAGACUCCAUGCCUAUGGCGGAAGGAGCUCAUCAAGCUUCCGAACUCGACGGCUCCGGCGAGUAAGGGCACUCCGCCUCCUCCUCCGCCUCCUCCUCCGGCGAGUGAUCAGGGCACUCAGCCUCCUUCUCCGGCGCGUGACGGCACUCCGCCUCCUUCUCCGCCAGCGCCGGCGCCCCAGAGCAGCCAGCCUCCUCCUUCUCCGCCUCGUCAGCAAGGGCGGAAGAGACCCGCCACCGCUGCGGCUGCUCCGGCGCGUCGUAGUCCUUCUCCUCCGCCUCGUAAGCAAGGAAAGAAGACAGUCGCAGCCGCUCCGUCUGCUCUGUCGGCGUCUAGCAGUACAGCUGCCAGAGGCGGGAGGCAAUACAGAUUCGGUCCUUCUCUGAAGACUCCAGAGAAGUUACCAUACGAUAGGACCGAGGAGGAAACCAGGAAGAUCGUGCGAGCCGAAGUGACAAACUUCUUUGAAGGGGUGAAUGCAAAGAAACAUCCACCUCCGGAGGAGAAGGUAGAUCCGGUGAAAGUAAAGCGCACUCUGGCUGCCUUGACAAAACCACCAAAGUCUCCGCCGAGAGGCCACUAUGAGCGCAUUCUUGCAAAGACAUAUGCCGAAGCGGAGCGGUCGGGAAGUACUGUUAGUGAUAAAAGGUUAAAAGAACGACGAGCUGGCAAAAAAAUUGCCCAGCUCGGCGAACAAGCGAACCAAUCGUGCCCCCCGCUCAAGGUGUCAAAAGACAUCGUCGCUAAUGAUCCGAGUAUGGUGCCCGGUUAUAGCAAUCUUGGAGAUUACCUGCCCGACGAUGUACAUUAUGAAAUCAUGGAGGUGGACGAACACAAAUACCAUUACGGGAAGCCUCUCGUCAAAGAUGAAAGAUCUCUAACAACGAUGAUGCGAAGACUACAUGAUUGGUACAUGAAAACCUGCAGAGAGUCUGAUGGGAUGGAUAAUUUGACGCUGAGAGUUAAACCGGAGCAUGACCUCAUUGGAAUUGAUCUGCUGAAUGUUCCAUUUGAGGAUUUCUUCCAGUUUUACAAUCAAAAGGCCCUCAAUAAAACAACGAUCACUUGCUACUGUCUGUAAGUAGUACUACUUCUGUCAUUAAGUCUCUCUAUAUAGGUCAGCUCUUUCAUUGCAUGUAUUUAUACUUAUCCUCACUAUAUUAUGCAGAUUGAAGAUCGCCGAAUUGAAGAAAAGACAAAUCGGUGAUAUUGGGUUCAUUAACACAAAUCUCAUAUAUGCAUAUACGGUUGAAAAACAUCCAAAGAAGCCGAGGCCAACUUGCUACAAUCGUUGGUAUUAAAUCAAAACAAAGAUAUAAUACUCUUUCCUUACAACUUCAAGUGAGUGUUACUGUCUUGUGCAUAUUCGGUUUCCCUUAUUAGUCCAGGUUAUGGUAAUGUAAUUGAUGACUUAUGCAUGCAUGCGCAGCUUCCACUAUAUUCUCCUAGAGAUUAAGCUUGAGCAGGGAGUAGUAACCGUCUUAGACUCGAGACGAAAAGAUCCCUAGGACUAUGAGAACAUGACUCAAAUGCUCGAGAAGUAAGUUAAAUCGAUCAUUAUCCACCAUAUCAGCAACUUUGUUCAUUUCAUAAUAUCAAGUAAUUGUUUUCUUUGUCUGGCAGGGUUUGGAGAAAAUUCACCUCAAAAGCUCCGGGACUGCCGAAGAAGCUGCAAUUUAAUCACCCGAAAGUAAGUACUAUAGUAGCAUGUUCCGCGCAUCUCCUAGUGAUUCAAGCGCUAGUUUCUUCAAUACCAUUUAGCAUGCUUGCUUAUCAAUUUGAUUGACCUCUAUUUCUUGUAAAGUGGUUGUGGCAGGAAACCGGGAAUAAUUACUGUGGAUACUACGUUUGCGAGUCCAUCCGCUACACGACCUGUGAGCGGGGCUACACUGAAGAACAAUAUGAAGUGCGUAAGCAAUAAUAUUCACAAUUUUAUUUUAUUACCAUCAUUUGUGUUGAGUUUCAUUUAUUCAUAUAUAUAUAUAUAUAUAUAUAUAUGUAUUGACCCCCUUCUUCAAAUUAGAUGUUUCGGAAGCGGGAUGAACUCCUAGCACCAGAUCGUAUGCGAGGAAUUCAAGAGGAAUUGGCGGCAUUCUUCCUUGACCACGUGAUCGCUGAAAACGGAGAAUACUAUGUGGACCUUGUGUUCCUACAAUUUAAUUAGGAGAUUGUAUUGUAAGAGAUAAUUAUUGUAUAUAUGUAGCCGGUAGUGUCGGAUAGAUAUACGAGAACUUGUUGUUCGACCAAUAUCUCGGAGAAGGAGAGGUGGUCGAUAUCACUUCUCUCUGUAUGCAUAUGUUCAUGACGAUCUUCUGUUUCCUUCAUUUGAUUACUAGCUAGCGUGUCUACUCCUCUCCAUACGUAUAUAGUAUGUAGCGUCGACCAAGCACGGAGAUAAGAGAGGACACUUCUCUCUAUUAAUUAGCUAGCUAACACAAUAUAUGAAACACCUAAAUUAACCCCCCAAAACCCCUAAACCACCCCCUUUCAAAAAAAACAAAAACCUCAGCUCCUGCCAGCUGCUGACGCGUGGAUGCCUAUUGGUCCCGGUUGGUGACACCAACCGGGACAAAAGGCCCUGCCUAUUGGUCCCGGUUGGUGCCGGCCCCCUGCCUGGGCUGGCAGCAGCGGCCACGUGGAGGACCUUCUGUCCCGGUUCGUGUAAGAACCGGGACUAAAGGGGGGAGGCAUUAGUAACGACCCUUUAGUCCCGGUUCGAGAACCGGGACAAAAGGCCCUUACAAACCGGGGUAAAAGCCCCUUUUCCUACUAGUGUUCCGGUAUUCGUUCAAUAUUUUGAUGAUAUGUAUGUUGUGAUUCUCUUAGUGGUGUCAUGUGAACGUCGACUACAUGACACUUCACCAUUGAUGGGCCUAAGGGAACUCAUUGUGGAGUAGUAAUUAGAUGAUGGGUUGCUAGAGUGACAGAAGCUUAAACCCCAGUUUAUGCACUAUUCCGUAAGGGGCUGAUUUGGAUCCACUAGUUUAAUGCUAUGGUUAGACUUUGUCUUAAUUCUUUUUUCUUAGUUGCGGAUAUCGGUGUCAAAACCGACAGAUCUCGGGUAGGGGGUCCCAAGUUGUGGGUCUAGGAUCAAUAGGUAACGGUGACGAUGAACACGGUGUUUUACCCAGGUUCGGGCCCUCUUGAUGGACAAUUUUUUUUAAAAAAAAAAUUUAGAAAUAUUUUUUUCAAUUUUUUUUUCAUUUUUUCUUAAUCUCGGGUCACUAUGGCUUAAUCUCGAGUCAAUAUGAUUAAUCUCAAGUCAAAUCGCACUAAGUGGUCAAACUUCCCGGAAGGUCACCCAUCCUCACACUACUCCAGCCCGAGCACGCUUAACUUCACAGUUCUAUCCAACCCCAGCACCACCUCACUCAACAGGCACUUGUUGAUAUAUCUACCAUAUCAAUCCUAUUAAACCUUGUUGAUGUCUAGGACUUUGUUCAUGUUCAUGAGUAUGAUAAAAUUUUGAAAAAUAUUUCAAACUUCCCGGUCAUAUCACGUAUCAUUUUUUGAAAAAAAAUUCCAAGAAAAAAUUCAACACCAAUUUUUUUUCUGUUACUAGUGGCGCACCUAGCAAACGGUGCGCCACUAGUAAGUUUGAAAUUUUUUGAAUUUUUUUGCCUCUAGAUCUUGAAAGCCCCGUAACUUUUUUUCUGUUAGGUUUUUGAGGAUUUUGAAAAUGUUUAACGGGGUUCCCCCGAUUAAAUUCGGAUGUAACUUUUCGAGUAGAUGAUUUUUCAUACAAAAAACUUUUUAAUCCGAGUUCGUAUGCAAAAGUUAUGCCCAUUUUACAAAUUCCAGAGAGAUUUUGCAAAUAAAGUUGAAAUUCAUAUUUGUAAAUUUUCCCAACAACUAGACCACAUAUCACAUGGGAAACUUAUUUUCUUUUAUUUUUUUAACAUUUCCAUUAUUUUCUUUUAUUUUUUUAAAACUGAAAAGGCGGUCCAUGAGGGGGUGCAUUCGGUGGAAUUUUUGGGUCAAGUUAGUAAUGGCGCACCGUGGGAGUGGUGCGCCAUUACUAGUUCAACUAGUAAUGGCGCAACACUCCCAUGGUGCGCCAUUACUAGUUUUGAAAAAAAAUAAAAAAAAUUUGAAAAAAAAUUUGAAUUUUUUUUACUAGUGGCGCACCGUGGAUGUGGUGCGCCAUUACUAGUUUAACUAGUAAUGGCGCACUAUCCCCUGGUGCGCCAUUACUAGUUUUGGAAAAAAAAUAAAAAAAUUUGAAAAAAAAAUUACUAGUGGCGCACCGUGGAUGUGGUGCGCCAUUACUAGUUUAACUAGUAAUGGCGCACUAUCCCCUGGUGCGCCAUUACUAGUUUUGAAAAAAAAUAAAAAAAAUGUUACUAGUGGCGCACAGUGGAUGUGGUGCGCCAUUAGUAUUUGGACACUAAUGGUGCGCCAUUAGUAUAUAGUAGUGGUGCACCACAUGUCUGGUGCGCCAUUAGUGUCCAUAUGAUCUAUAGCCCUUUUCCUAGUAGUGUUAGGGGUAUGAUCAGUAAUGUCAUAAUGAUGAUAAUAAUCUAUCGACUAGCCUGGCCUCGGCUUAUAUAAUGUACCAGAGGCCUAUGAUAACAAGACUCCUAGUUGGCUAUGUUGGUGGAGAGGAGUCCUUGUCUUGAUCAUCAAGUCUUGUGGAAUCUUCCCUGUAUAUGUCAUCGGUUGUCCGAACUGGCCCAUUAGUGAGGUCCUCGGCCCGACCCACUGGUCGGGAGACAACGUGGUGAGUACCCCCUAGUUCAGGACACCGUCAGCGGAUGCUUGCGAGAGGGGGUAAUCAUAAGUGGGAGGCUUGUUCAAGUAAGAACAACACCCAAGCACCGGUCCACCCACAUAUCAAAUCAUCAAAGUAGCGAAAGCGAACCGAAUGAACAUGAUGAAAGUGACUAGAUGAAAUUCCCGUGUGUCCUCAAGAACGCUUUUCUCAUUAUAAGUACUAGUUCUGGCCUGUCCUUUGCACUAAAAAGGAUUGGGAUAUCUUGCUGCACUUUAUUUACAUUUGUCACUUGCUACUCGUUACCAAUUAUCUUGCUAUCAGACUACUCGCUACCGCUUGUUUCAGUGUUUGCAAAAAUAUCGUUAUUGAAAACCGCAAGUCAUUUCCUUCUGCUGCUCGUUGGGUUCGACACUCUUACUUAUCGAAAGGACUAUGAUUGAUCCCCUAUACUUGUGUGUCAUCACGGGGCCACCCACCUGGGGUGCUCCCUCCCUAGCUUAUCACUCCCUCGAGACUCCUCGGGUCUUCCCCGAAGCUUCCAGGGUCUCUUUUGGUCCAGAAAACUUAAUCCAAUGUUUUUCUGUGUUUGUACCUUUUUUAUAAUGAUAUUAUAAAAUGAUAAAAACAAGCAAAAAAAUAACAACUGGCACUAGGCACUACGUUAAUAGGUUAGUCCCAAAAAAUGAUACAAAAAUAGCACAAAGUUGCAUAUAAAACAUCAAAGAUUGCUAAUAUAAUAGCACGAAACAAUAAAACAUUACAGAUAGGAGGCGUAUCAAGCAUCCCCAAGCUUAAUUCUUGCUCUUCCUCGAGUAGGUAAAUGAUAAAAACAAAAAAUUUGAUGUGGAAUGCUACCUAACAUGUUUCAUCAUGUAAUCUCUCUUACGGUAUGAAUAAUAAGAUCCGAAUGAUUCAAAGCAAUAGUCUAUAAUUUGAUAUAAAGACAUCAAUACUCAGGCAUACUAACAAACAAUCAUGCCUUUCAAAAUAACGAUGCUAACCCAAGUUAUCCCUACAAAAUCAUAUAAUCCUAUCAUGCUCCAUCUUCUUAACACAAAGUAUUUAUGAUGCACUACCCCAAUGACAAUCCAGGCAAUUGGUUCAUACUUCUUAACGUGCUUCAGCUUUUUCAACCCCCACGCAAUACAUGACGGCAAGCCAAGGACAUAACACUAUGGAUGGAAUAGAACAUGAUGAUAGAGAUCAAUAAGGGGAAAUCAAAAAUAAGAAGAUGGUCUCACAUCAAUGCGGCUAACAAACGGGCUAUAGAGAUGCCCAUCAAUUGAUGUCAAUGCAAGGAGUAGGGAUUGCCAUGCAACGAAUGCACUAAGAAGGCACCCAAGGUAAUAUCCAAGGAGACUCAAGCGUCGAAGCCUGGGGAUGCCCCGGAAGGCAUCCCCUCUUUCUUCUAAUGACUAUCGGUAACGCACUUGAGGCUACAUUUUUAUUCAUCACAUGAUAUGAGUUUUUCUUGGAGCGUCUUGUAUGAUAUGAGUCUUUGCUUUGUUUAUUUUUAGUAUAUCACAAUCAUCACCUCUGAACGCAUUUGCUUGAGAUAGCUUCAUGUCAUCAUGAUUUGCUUGAAUUGCCCUUUGUGCUUCACUUAAAUUUGUUGAGCUAGGUGGUUGCUCUAGUGCUUCAUUUAUAUCUUUUUUUAACACGGUGGUGCUUUUGUUUUGAAGAAACUUGUUCUCAUGCUUCACUUAUAUCUUUUUGAGAAUGCUAGAAAUUUUAUAAAAAUAUUAGUCUCAUGCUUCACUUAUAUCUUUUUGAGAGUUUGAAAUUAGUUAUGGUAAAAUGUACAGCUAUAAGCUUGGUCUCCAUAUGAUGAAUAUUCAAGAAGGAUAAUGAUAACUAGUAUAAAAAAUUUAUGGGACUUCAAAAACUUGAUUCUUUGCAACAAUUUUGAGAUAUGUAGAUGAUAAUACGUGAGUUAUGUUCAUGAAUAAUUAUACUCUAGUAUGAAUAUUGAUGUUAAGGUUUAUGAUUCCCUAUGCAAGCACGUAAAGUCAAUAGUUAUGCAAUGAAGUUACAUCCUACUUGUGGUGCAUUAUUCGGUGUUGGUUAUGUUUUCUGUAUGCAUGUGCAUCAUUACAAUUUCUUAGUUGGUCGCUUCUCAACCAUUUUGCUAGCCUCCAUUCGUACUAAGCGGGAAUACUGCUUGUGCAUCCAUUACCUUAAACUUGUUUUGCCAAUUGUGUCCAUCAUACCUACAUAUAUACGGUAUUUCAUUGCCGUCCCAAGUAAAUUUGCAUGUGCCAUCUCUAAUAAUUUUCAAAAUAAACUUCUCUUUUGUGUGCCUGUAUUGCUCAUGAAGUGAUAAGGGGUGGACGAUGAAUUCCGUGUUGUAUAUGUCAUUUUCAUGAUGAGUGUUUAUUCACUUGUCAUUGCACGAGAGUGUGGCGGUAAUAAAAGGGAUGCCCAGUCCCAAAAAUAAAUUGAAUUUCCUGGAAUAUGUUGUUAUGGAGGGCACCCGUGAAUACGGCUAGACAUGGAUUGUGAAAGGAAAGGUGGAAAAACUAACUCCUUCGGAUGUGAAUGGAAAAAAGGGACAAAAGUCUCAAAACCAUGGAACGAUGACAGGGAGCAAAAAAUUUCUUUUCAGUUUGGGAGCCGCCUAUGAUGUAUAUAACGUGGAAGGUAAGGAAAGCCUUGAGUCGCUGUCGUUGACGAGAAAACCAGGCCUCCCAAAAUAAAUUUUUUAUCUCUUUUUAAAACUUGAGGUCUGGCACCACUGUAAAUCAAUGCUUCCCUCUGCGAAGGUCGUUCUAUUUAUUUUUAUGUUGAGUCUCAUCCUUCUCAUUAAAAACCAACUAGGGGGUCAUGUGAUCAUGUGUGUGCAUGGAGUAUGAUUGACACUCGACUGUGUUUCAUAAAUCGAUCAAUGGUUGAGCAUAAUGGGCUAGGGAUAAUUUUCUUUAGCAUUGUUAUUUUGAAAGGCAUGGUUGCGUGUUAGCAUUGGAGGGGGUAUAUAUAGCCACAUCAUUGGUCCCGGUUCGUGGCUGGAACCGGGACUAAAGGCCACCCUUCUGUCCUGGUUCUAGGCACGAACCGGGACCAAUGGCUGUGGGCUAGGAGCGAGGACCAUUGGUCCCAUUCGUGCCUAGAACCGGGACAAAUGGGUCCACACGAACCGGGACAAAUGCCUCCCGAGGCCCGGCCGGCCCCCUGGGCGCACGAACCGGGACGUAUGACCCCCAUGGGUCCCGGUUCGUGACUGAACCGGGACUAAUGGGCUGGCCAGGCCCCAACCAAAGCCCUGUUUUCUACUAGUGAGGGGCGAUGCUCUGCGGAGUUCUCCCUCUUGGGGGCGUUGUCGUGGAGCUUAGGUGUGCUAGGUCGUAGCGUGAGCAUGUUUUGUUCUUCUGGUACUUGUUGUUGGUAGCGUAGAAGCAUGCGUUUUGCAUGUGCCGGAUAUCUCAGGAUCGACUUUGUAAGGGCUACCAAACCAUAUUGUAUCAUUUGACCAUGUACAUCUUUGGAUAUUGCUUUGUUUAUAAAGCGGGGAAAAGCCUAUUUCGAGAACAACGAAAACAACAACAACAACAGCAAACAGAUCAACAACUUCAGAAUAGUUUUUCUUUUAAAAUUUCACUUGCUUAAUUAACUACAUGCAUAGGACUUUCUACAGUGUUUUAGAGAACAACAACUACGAUUUGCCUGCUAGCUAGCUAGUUAGGUAUUUCAACACAACAUCAACAGCAAGGAGAAGGAGAAGAACUGUUAACAACCAGGCAGGCAGGUGGAGAGUGAGUGUGUGAGAGUGAGGUCUCUCUGGCUCUUUCCUGUAUGGCUACUCCUACUUCCUUCGCUGACAAAGUCCUGUUCUGAAUCCGUAAUACUGAUUCACAGUAAUGAUGGUGGAUCGACUAUACCUUGACUAAUCCAUGUACAACAAAAAUUACUACGUACAUGAUUAAAAAUCCAAGGGUCAAAUCCUGAUCAAUCGAUCUGGCAAAUUCUGCAUGAAUCUAGCAUGACAUCAAGUGUGAUUAACAGGAGUUUCAAUUAUAAUUAGCCUCCGAGAAGCUACAUGGAGGAGGAUGUAGUCGUGUUUUGUGGCCUUGUCAGAAACUUCGCUUUCCUUCAAUCUGAAAACAAGUGGUAGAGGGUAAAAGAAUGAAAAAAAACAUGUGUAGAGGAUAAGCAACACAUAAAGGCCACACACACAAAAACAGGGGUAUGCUAGCUGGUCCAUGACAUUGACAAGUCAAUUGAUUUGCUGCAACCAUAUAUAUGAAGUGUAGUAUUAUGAACAUGUGUGUGAAACUUGGUUCAAAUUGAUGUACUAUUAACUCGGGAGUAAGGAUUAAUGACAAUUUAAUAUUUCAAUGGAGAGCCACAUGAGUUGUGCAACCUUCUUAUCUGACAUGGAUCUACAUCAAACUAGGUGUUAAUGUUCUCCACAAACUCCAUGUCAGAUUUCAUUGUUCAUUUAUAGUGAGAAUAAUUGAUUACUUAUGCACUUUUCGCCUUUGAUGUUCCACUCACAAAAUAAGUUUAACUACCAACUAUCUCCAAAAACAAUCUUAGCGGGACAAAAAGUAUCCUCUGACAAAUCACGACCCAUCAAACAAGGUUCAAAUUUGAAGGAAAAUGACCCCUUCAACUUGAGUCAAACAAAUAAUUUGCAUACAAUCAACCGAAAUCAUUAUGGGCUUCUUCAGCCCUCCACUCGAUACACACCUACGCAGGGAGUCCACCAUUGUCGCUACCGAACAACAUUUUUGGAGGCGCACAUUAUCACCCAUAAACACAAAAUAAAUCAAAACGCAAUACAAGCCUAAAAGCGGUCAGUUCCUAGGGCCAGAAAAAGCUUGUUGACCUGCAAUUGCACAUGGUUUAUUUUUCACCUAUUUAAGUAUGAGUAUAAAUCCCACAGGGAAUACAUGAAUUGGACUUUGUCCCUAAGAGACACUUAUGGUAAUGUGCCUGCAUAUUAGUUUUCGACACAAAGCAAAGUGAACGCCAAAGAUUAUAAUGACUUUUGAGUUUAGUGCGAACAAAAGUAAAUAAUGCAAAAGAAUUAAAAGAGUGCAGCGGAACGAAUAAAGCAGGGAAACCGGUGGAGGAUUGAAGCAUUCUCAAGGACUCCAUAAUUCCCAUUGCAGUGUGUCUAAGGUAACAUAUGCCACUUCAUAAUUCUAAGCUAGAUACUUGAGUCACUCUUGAAAUUUGUUAUUGGGCGUAUCUGGGUACAAAAUACGUUCUACUCGAGGUGUACUCCGUACCACGAAGGCCACCACGGAAGCUUCCCCACUCUGGUUCUCACUGCGGUAAUUAAGGGUUUCCCCGUGGAAGCGGCCUUAUCAAGGGUUCUCCGUUAUGCCCCUAUCAGUUGCAAAGGCGAGGUAGAGAGUCUUUUACACUCACCUUGAAUUACCUCAACAUCCUAACCUUUACAACCAUGGUAAUAUGCCUCGUGUCCUUGCGACAGAAAUGGUGAGUGGGGCACCUUCACAAAAUUCAUGAAGGCUAUUGAAAAAACAUUCAACAGAGAAUAUCACAUCCUUAUUAACAUUUCAGCCUCCUAUACAUACCAUGGUUCAUCCAUAUCCCUGAGAACUGAGGAAACUACUCACACGUUGAGACAUGGAUGAAACAUCGGAUAAUACAUGUAUGGAUCGUACGAAUAGUGGAUAUAGCGGUGGUAAACAUGGUUUAAACACACGGAUAAUACAUGUAUGGAUCCACAAGGUUUUGGUAUUACAAUGGGAAGGAGAUGGAUGAUGCUGACGUCCCCUUGCACGAGCUGGUGGUGAUAGUGAUCUCCUCCUUUCCUUAAAUCUGCAAGCACAUUUAAAACAACAUCUUGGAGAGAACAGGAAAAAAGAAUUGUGCAGACGCGGUAAAAGCUAGCAAAUUUUACUGUGUAGGCGGGCUUGUGAUGGCUGUGGCAGUGUGGAUCUGACUACCGAGUUGUGACAAGCUGUGUGGGGCGAUGGUGGCGGUCCUCCCUCUUCUGAGCGUGAUAGCUGGCGACGGUGGGUUUCGACAGUCCCUCUCACGGGUGUGGAGGCGGGUCAAGGGGCGGUGAGUGUUGGCCGUGGUUUAGGCUGGCACUGGCGGAUCUGGGCAGGGGGAUUCAAUGGAGAGGCGGGGCUGGCAUUGGUGCGACUUCUCAGCGAGUAGAGUUGCCGGCUGUUCGGAGCGCCCCCACACAAGUUUUAGUGCUUAGUCGCCUUGGAUUAGGGUUUUUUGACUCUGGGUCGUUGUCGGUCAAGCCAAGGUGAAUGCUUGCAGCUCGGUUGGGGGAGGCACCUCCACACAUUGUAGUGUCGGUGAUGAUUGGUAGAUGUGGUGGUCAGGGCUAUGAUAUGCCGGCUGGUGGACCAGUGCCACAGUUCGCAGACUUGGCAUCUACGCACUGAUGCCAGGCUUUACUUGCUGCGAUUUGUGCAUUGUGAAGCGAGCGGGUCUAGGUGGUGCUCAGUGGUGAUGGUUGUGUUAGCAUUGCAUUCGUGCGCGGAUCAGUGCCGGUGAUCGCAAACAUGGCGUGGUGCGAGCUCGCCUGGCCAAGGGCUCGGUGCUGGCUCGCCGGCGGUCCCCCUACUCCACCGACCAUUGGCUGGGGAUGCAGGUGUGGGUGCGUCCUACGGUGGAGGUGCCCAACCAAACUCUUGGACCGAGUCUGGGCUAGGAGUAGAUGGAGUGUUGUCGCUCUUCCUACCAUGGUUGGCUACGUUGUCAUGUGAGCGGCGUAUGGUAUUUCGCGACAAGGAUGCCGGGUUGGCGGCCCCUGAUGGCGGGCCGCAUGAUUGCUCUUUGGCAGGCAUUAUUUCGUUGGUGGUGGCUCCCCUCCUGGGUUGUGGGGGCAACGGGAGGUGUUGCGGUUAGUAGCUCAGACGUGCCCUCUCUCUAGGAGGGGCAGUGUCCUGAUCAAGAUCUGGGGAUCUAACAUCAACGCGCUAGUCCUGAGGACCUCGUGGUGGCACAGGUGAGUUCUCGAGCAAAAGCUCCGUGCCUUGGCGUCGCCGCCAACGACACUCAUGGGUGCCGCACUCUUCUUGAAGACGUCGUUGUGGUUCUUCUCUCCGUGUCAGGGCUCCGGGUGUAGACCUUUGUCUGGUGUGGACUCAGCAGGGGCGACGCUGUGCAGAGUUCUCCCUCUUGGGGCCGUUGUCGUGGAGCUUAGGUGUGCUAGGUCGUAGCGUGAGGAUGUUUUGUUCUUCCGGUGCUUGUUGCCGGUAGCGUAGAAGCGUGCGUUUUGCAUGUGCCGAACAACUCAGGACCGACUUUGUAAGGUCUACGUGACCAUAUUGUAUCAUUUGGCCGUGUGCAUCUUUGGAUGUUGCUUUGUUUAUAAAGCGGGGCAAAAGCCUAUUUCGACAACAACGAAAACAACAGCAACAACAAACAAAUCAACAACUUCAGAAUAGUUUAUCUUUUAAAAUUUCACUUGCUUAAUUAACAACAUGCAUAGGACUUUCUAAAGUGUUUUAGAGAAGGACAACUACGAUUUGCUAGCUAGCUAGUUAGGUAUUUCAACACACCAUUAACAGCAAGGAGAAGGAGAAGAACUGUUAACUGCCAGGCAGGCAGGUGGAGAGUGGGUGUGUGAGAGUAAGUCUCUCUGGCUUUUUCCUGUAUGGCUACUCCUACUUCCAUCGCUGACAAAGACCUGUUCUGAAUCUGUAAUACUGAUUCACAGUAAUGAUGGUGGAUCGACUAUAUCUUGACUAAUCCAUGUACAACGAAAAUUACUACGUACAUGAUUAAAAAUCCAAGGGUCAAAUCCUGCUCAAUCGAUCCGGCAAAUUCUGCACGAAUCUAGCAUGACAUCAUGUGUGAUUAACAGGAGUUUCAAUUAUAAUUAGCCUCCGAGAAGCUACAUGGAGGAGGAUGUUGUCGUGUUUUUGGCCUUGUCAGAAACUUCGCUUUCCAUCAAUCUGAAAACAAGUGGUAGAGGGCAAAAAAAAAUAAAAAAACAUGUGUAGAGGAUACCGCAACACAUAAAGCCACACACACAAAAACAGCAGUAUGCUAGCUGGUCCAUGACAUUGACAAAUCAAUUGAUUUGCUGCAACCAUAUGUACGAAUAAUAUCGCCAAGGAUAAGAGAAGGAGAAAAAAAUAUAAAUAUACCGAUAGGCUCUUCUUUUGUUCAUGGAUGCAUGUUGCAUGAGCCAAGUGUAUUGGCAGUAUGGCUUGUGUUUGCUGCAUGAUGGCGGCAGGUUCCCAUUCAGUUAGGCAUGCUAAGUCCUAAAUUCAUUUAUUCACGUAUCGGGUAGAAGGAGAACAAAUUUCAUUUCUUUUCUGUAGGUUCCUUGCUUAAAAGAAAAUAGAAAAAAAGACACUUCUAUAAUUACCAGAAAAAAUCAACUGUAUGUCGCUCAGUCUUCCCUUUUUGUUCGGUAUCAGUACCAACAAUCAUAGUACUAAUAGCUUUCUAUACUGGCGGUAGUAAAUUCAAUAAAAGAAACCUGGAGACUAUCUGAACAAUUUGAAACAAUAUGUACAAACUGAGAUCAACUAACGACAGAAAUCCAAAAGAAAUGUUCAUGUCUACGUGGAGUGAAUCGAUCAAGCCGUGCAAAGCCCUAACAAUUCGUUUUGUAUUAAUAACUCAUAUGACAAUACAACCGCUCCAUAUGAAAAGGUAAUAUGAUGAUUCAUGAAUGCUUAUCCAUCUUAUAAAUAUAUUGUGCAAAAAAUAUCGAGUUAGUUCAGAGAAAACGAUGUCUAGAACAAUCUUCACAUUAAUAGUGUGAUCUAUCUCAAUGACUCACACAAGAUUACAUAGUUUGUUCCCUUAAGUAUGGCAAUCUGGAUACGCCUAACAAUAUGUAGAACAUGACAAACUAAAUCAGAACAAGGGACAAAAUCCAGAUCAAUGUUUGAAGUGUAAAGUGAAUACGAUGAGUCAUUUGUCGUUAUCAAGCAUUCCAUACACCUAGAUGAUAUGUGCAAGAACAAUCAACUAUGACGAACAAUCCAAAAUCAUGAUAGUAAGUAGUACCAUAAAACACGACAUACCAAAUUAUUGUAAAUGAUAAGCUUAAGAGCACUUUUUCAAGAAGCACGUGUGAAGAUUACAAACUUAGUUCCCUUAAGUUAUGCCAAUCUGGAUACACCUAACAACAUGUAGAACAUGACAAACUAAAUCGGAAAGACGGACAAAAUCUAGAUCAAUGUUUGAAGUGUAAAGUGAAUACGAUGAGUCAUUCGUCAUGAUCAAGCAUUCGAUACAGCCAGAUGAUAUGUGCAAGAACAAUCAACUAUGAUGAACAAUCGAAAAUCAUGCUAGGAAGUAGUGCCACCAAACACAACAUACCAAAUUAUUAGGUCGAUAGUCUUAAGUGCACUUUUUCAAGAAAGGAGUGGGAAGAUGAAAACAAAAUAUGUCAUGCCUGCUAUAAUUACGACUACACCAUGUGGGUCUCUUCCAUCAUCUAACCUUCAAGAACCUAGAGCAAAAACACCAAAGCCAAGUGAGCAAUAGUAAACACAAAUCAAACAUGAAGACCUUCAUCAUAUUUGUCCUCCUUGCUAUGGUGAUGAGCAUCGCCAGUGCCACUAGGCAACUAAGCCCUAGAGGCAAGGAGUUGCAAACACCACAAGAACAAUUCCCCCAACAGCAAUUCCCUCAACCACAACAAAUCCUCCAACAACAAUUCCCCCAACAACAACAAAUCCCCCAGCAACCGCAACAAUUCCCCCAACAGCAAAUCCCACAACAGCAAAUCCCGCAACAACAAUUCCCCCAACCACNNNNNNNNNNNNNNNNNNNNNNNNNNNNNNNNNNNNNNNNNNNNNNNNNNNNNNNNNNNNNNNNNNNNNNNNNNNNNNNNNNNNNNNNNNNNNNNNNNNNNNNNNNNNNNNNNNNNNNNNNNNNNNNNNNNNNNNNNNNNNNNNNNNNNNNNNNNNNNNNNNNNNNNNNNNNNNNNNNNNNNNNNNNNNNNNNNNNNNNNNNNNNNNNNNNNNNNNNNNNNNNNNNNNNNNNNNNNNNNNNNNNNNNNNNNNNNNNNNNNNNNNNNNNNNNNNNNNNNNNNNNNNNNNNNNNNNNNNNNNNNNNNNNNNNNNNNNNNNNNNNNNNNNNNNNNNNNNNNNNNNNNNNNNNNNNNNNNNNNNNNNNNNNNNNNNNNNNNNNNNNNNNNNNNNNNNNNNNNNNNNNNNNNNNNNNNNNNNNNNNNNNNNNNNNNNNNNNNNNNNNNNNNNNNNNNNNNNNNNNNNNNNNNNNNNNNNNNNNNNNNNNNNNNNNNNNNNNNNNNNNNNNNNNNNNNNNNNNNNNNNNNNNNNNNNNNNNNNNNNNNNNNNNNNNNNNNNNNNNNNNNNNNNNNNNNNNNNNNNNNNNNNNNNNNNNNNNNNNNNNNNNNNNNNNNNNNNNNAACAACAAUUCCCCCAACAACAAUUCCCCCAGCAACCACAACAACAAUUCCCCCAACAACAAUUUCCCAUACCAUACCCACCCCAACAACAAUCACAAGAAGCUUCCCCAUACCAACAAUACCACAACAACACCUAUCUGGGAACGACGUUAUAAGUAUCAGUGGCCGAUGAAAUAAAGAGAUGUACUACUAGACAGGUGAAUCAUCGUUGUUAGUCAAUGGAGCAUAAUGUAACGGGUAUAAAUAAAAUGAUGUGCACCAUCAUGUGUAACCCCGACAUGUACUAGUUCAAACAUGGGAAUAAAAGACAAAUAAGUUCUUUUCUGAAGCACAUUGCUGGCAAUCGUUAUAUUCAUGCCAUAUUUCGAUUUCCAUCGGUAACUCCAAUCUCAAUGUUAUGGUCUAUCUACUUAUUUAUGAAGUGUAGUAUUAUGAACAUAACAUAAUUAACAUGUCUGAAAAUUGGCUCAAAUUGAAGUACUACUAAUUCAAGAGUAAGGAGUAAUUACAAUUUAACAUUUCAAUGGAGAGCUCUAAUUGUAGACUGCGUUGUUAAUUCCCCGAAGAGGAAAGGAUGAUGUAGUAUAGUAGAGAUAAGUGUUUCCCUCAGCUAAGAACCAAGGUUAUCAAUCCAGUAGGAGAACCGCACAAAACCUCGUUAGCAGCACCUGCACACACAAAAGCAAACACUUGCACCGAACGCAAAUAAGAGGGUUGUCAAUCCUCUUAGCGAUUAUUUGCAAGGAUUAGUUCUGACAGUGAUACAUAGAUAAAAUAAAUUACUAAAUAAAAUAAAAAUAAAUAAAUUGCAGCAAUGUAUUUUUGUGCUUUUAUAUAUGAUAAAAGUAGACCCGGGGGGGGCAUAGUUUUCACUAGAGGAUUCUCUCUUGAUCAUAAAACAUAUGGUGGGUAAACACAUUACUGUUGGGCAAGCUAUUAUAUACUAAAAGGAAAAUACUGGUCCAAAAUAGAGAAUAGGCUAGAAAAUCUGGCGUUAAUUAGAAAAUAUGAACCCUUGAUCCGUUUAAUUUUAAAAAUUAUAAAUCUAUGACCGUUCAAUAUACGUAACAAGGUCGGGCGUGGAUAACUUCCCGCGUAACGUGACACAUGUAAGAAACACAAACAUGAGUCCAGUUAAGGCAAACACGUAGAUGUGUUGAAGUGGGAAUGAAUAGAAUUGCUACGUCCGAAUAUGCAAGAGAUAGAAAAGAUGAAGAAAACUAAAGAACAUGUCGUGUUCAGAUUGGACUAAACGUAUGUGCGUAUACAACCACAACCACAAUCCGAAAGAUCCAGCCAUUAAUCCCGUGGGUCCAUCCAAAACAAAAGGUGGAUAUCCAUCUAAUUGCCCCACGUCCAUGGAACAUACUUAUUAGAGUCCACAAACAGUAGCCGCUGGUCUCUUUUACGUGAUCCUCCUUGCACUGUUAGGACUUUGCCGUCGGACAUCCUUAAGUUCUUGUGAAGUUCACAUCUAAAAAUACUAUCAUAGUAAAAAAAUCCAUUUCAUACUCCAAGAAAGAUAUCACCAUCCCAAAGUUUCAAUUGCAAUCUAAGUUUUGCCACAACUGGGUAUUUAAAACUUAUUUUACCACAGCUCGGCAAUUUCAGCCACUAAGGUUUUUGUGGCAGAUGAAGCAUCUUCCCAUUGGAAACUCCCAACUGUAAAAAGACUAGCAAAUUAGCAAUCAUUGGCAAAUCAGCAAUCUUAUAGCGGCAGCAGCUCCCAUCAAUCAGGUAACUCAUCUUCCAAAAAUCAGAGACAAUAAGCAACCAUACACAUCAUGCACAUAUGAUAUUAACAUAAUUACAUAUGUGAUUUCUGUGUUGAAUUUCGUACAACAUUACCAUGAAGAGAAGCGCAUCCACAUGGCAAGUAAUUUCCAAAAGCCGCCAAAAAGGUGAAAAGCAAUCAAAUAUGCAAUCCAACAAGUUAAUUAUUAAGCUAUAGACCAUGCAUGUUUCAGUGGUGCAUACAAGAUCAGUAGAACAAAUUCCUAGCCGUUACGACAUUCAUCAGGGAGGCGAGGACUAUGAAGCGACGGGUUGCGAGCUGGAGGGAAUGGCGGCGCACCCCGUGUCUCAGCCGAGAGAGGAGAGGCCGGGGAUAGAAUUAAGAGAGACACGAGUGAUGUCAGAUGAUAGGCUAGGGAUCGUUGGGCGUUCUCACAUAUUGCGUGGAGGAGGUUAGCUAAAUGGGCCAGCACAAAGGCCCAGUCAACCGCAGGUGGCAGAGUUUUCUCCCAGUGCAGCAGCCCUUUAGGACAGUUGAGCCAAGAAAUAUAGUUACAAAAUUAGGAAUUCAUCCAACAGUCAGAAAUGAUCUAUACAAGUGAUCUGAUAGUUACAAAUGUUGAAUGCUUGAGAGAGCUGGGAUAAGGCUAAGUUUUACUGUCCUAAAUGUAUUAGAUAUGUAGAAUCUGACAGUUAUUAAAGUUUAAUUGUCCUUCAGAAAAAACUAUGGCUAAUCACCACUACGCUAAUUACUUUUUACAAUUGUUGUACAUGAAUGGGGGUUAGGCAAGCGUAACACUGCUGAUGAGGGUCCCAAACCCGAUAAAGGUGGAGGGUGCAUAAUCAAAUUAACAUCUAACACUAACAUGCAAUACCUUUUAAGUUCAUAUAUUGAUUCAAUCGCAAAAGGGAAAAAUGAAACAAAAGUAGGCAGCGGGACCUGGAAGUCAACAGAGGAAACAGAAGGGUAUGCUCAUCGUGUGGAAUCGUUUGUGGGGGGCGAGCUGAGUAAACAGAGGAAGGUGAUCGAACGACGUCUCAGGUUUAUUUGUUUACUGAACAGACAGACAUGUGUAAGUUUUUUUUCCCUUUGAGGGGAAAGACGUGUGUAACUAGGGAGGGAUGAUUUUGCACGUUCUGUAUUUUUUUCCACCAGAAAACAGAUACUACUUUAACAAAUAAAUCCUACACUAAAUAUUUUAUAUGCUGCAAAUUAUAGGCCACAUACGCAUGAGCCUAAAUUAUAGGCGACUAUUUCAUAGGGUGAAAGUAAACAAAAUAGAAAAUCUUAUAGGCGACAUGAGCAUGAACCUAAAUUAUAUAUUUUAUAUGCUGCAAAUUAUUUUAAAAACAUGUGAAAAUAUAGUGCAUGAUCAUCAGACCAAAAACUCUAGCCUGUACAAAACACUCAUAUUUAGACGUAUAUUUCAUAUGGAGCUGCCAAUUCAUAUCAAUCCGGCACUACAACAGUAACACUAUCGUGCAGCCGCUUAAGUCAAAUCUAAAGUUAAAGCUAAUCAACACAAAAUAUCCAAUGUAAAAGGAAUUACUUAUACUAAAAAUAUAAAAUAUACCUAAGAGUGCGAAAGAUGACGAAUAUUUACUAUAAGAGUGCUAGCCCUCGCAUUUGCGAGGGCCACCUUGCUAGUUGAUAAAAAACAAAUAAUUAUGAUGGAUUCAUGGCAAUGAUCAUGUAUAUAGGCAUCACGUUCGAGACAAGUAGACCGACUCCCGUCUGCAUCUACUACUAUUACUCCACCCAUCGACCGCUAUCCAGCAUGCAUCCAGAGUAUUAGGUAUAAAACAGAGUGACGCCUUAAGUACGAUGACAUGAUAUAGAUAAAGUAAAUUCAAGAAAUAUGAUUAAACCCCAUCUUUUUAUCCUUAAUUGUCAGCCCAUUGGCUGUUAUUUUCCCCGAUCUGACCAUCCGUGACGCUCCUGUUGUUCGCAACGCUACCGCUACGACUGCGGGAGCAUGUCAUUUUCGUUAUACAUGUAACCCAAAAAUAUCUCUAACAUUAAUGACAACAAUACAAAUACGUGUUAUGUCCCUUUUUGUCACUGGGAUUGAGCAAUGCAAGAUUGAAUCCAUCACAAAGCACCUCUCCCCAUUGCAAGAUAAACCAAUCUAGUUGGCCAAACCAAAUCGAUAGAUCAGGGAGAAAUAUAAAGCUAAAAUAAUCACGCAUAAAAGAGCUCAGAGAAGACUCAAAUAUUUCUCAUGAAUCAUAUGAUCAUAAACUCACGAUUCAUUGGAUCCCAACAAACACACCGGAAAAGAAGAUUACAUCGGAUAGAAAUCCAAGAACAUCGGGGAUAACUUUGUAUUGAAUAUCAAAGAGAGAGAAGAAGCCAUUUAGCUACUGGCUAUGGACCCAUAGGUGUGUGGUAAAAUACUCACACAUCAUCGGAAGGGCAGCAUGGUUUAUGUGGAAGCCCUUCGUGAUCGAUUCCCCCUCCGGCAGAGUACUGGAAAAGGCCUCCCGACGGGAUCGCGGAAAAACAGAGGCUUGCGGCGGAGAAAAAGUUUUCUCAUCUAUCUCUCUGGUGGUUAUGGAAUAUUUGUGAUUUAUAGUGGAAGAAUUAGGUCAGGAGGUGCCACGAGGGGGCCAUAAGCCUAGGGGCGCGGUGAUACGUCCAUUUUGCAUCAUGUUUUAUUACAGUUAUUUAUUAAGUUUUGAGCUAAUAUAACACUUCAUGGAGUAUUUCUAAUGCAUUUUCUCUCUUAAUAUGCAAGGUUUACACAAAGAGGGAGAAUACCGGCAGCUGGAUUUCAGGGCCUGAAAAAGCUACAUCAGAGAUCCCUAUUCUGCACAUCUCCAAAUGGGCUGAAAAUUCACGAAGAUUUAUUUUAGAAUAUAAAAAAAUACUGGGCCAAAGAUCCACGGGAGGAGGCCACCCAGGUGCCCACACAGCAAUAGGGCGCGCCCCACCCCUAGGGCGCGCCCUGAUGCUGUAUGAGGCCCCUGGCCCAAUUCAGGCCCCCUCCUUCUGGUAUAUAAGUCAUUUUACCAUAAAAUAUUUAUGGGGAGACUUUCAGGACGAGGCGCCGCUGCCACGAGGCGGAACUAGAGCAGGAGAAAUUUGGCUCUCCGGCGUGCAGAUUCCGCCGGGGAUACUUCCCUCCGGGUGGUGGAAAUCGAAGCUUACGUCAUCACUAACAACCCUCUCAUCGUGGGAGGACCAAUCUUCAUCAUCAUAAACCACAACACCAUCUCAUCUCUAUCCCUAGUUCAUAUCUUGUAUUCGAUCUCUGUGUCAAAACAUUAGAUUGGUACUUGUGUUUGACUAGUAGUGUUGAUUACUUAUCGUAGUUGAUGCUAGUGGAUUUGUUUGGUGAAUUACCAAAUGUUCUGAUCGUGCAUCCAAAUUAUAUUCUCUCUGAUCAUGAACAUGAUGAUGAUGUGUGAGUAGUUACUUUUAUUCUUGAGGACAUGGGAGAAGUCUUGUCAUUAGUAAUCAUGUGAUUCCGGUAUUCGUUCAAUAUUUUGAUGAUAUGUAUGUUGUGAUUCUCUUAGUGGUGUCAUAUGAACGUCGACUACAUGACACUUCACCAUUGAUGGGCCUAAGGGAACUCAUUGUGGAGUAGUAAUUAGAUGAUGGGUUGCUAGAGUGACAGAAGCUUAAACCCCAGUUUAUGCACUAUUCCGUAAGGGGCUGAUUUGGAUCCACUAGUUUAAUGCUAUGGUUAGACUUUGUCUUAAUUCUUUUUUCUUAGUUGCGGAUGUCGGUGUCAAAACCGACAGAUCUCGGGUAGGGGGUCCCAAGCUGUGGGUCUAGGAUCAAUAGGUAACAGUGACGAUGAACACGGUGUUUUACCCAGGUUCGGGCCCUCUGGAUGGAGGUAAAACCCUAUGUCCUGCUCUUGUUUGUAUUGAUGAAGUAUCAAGGUACAGAGUUGAUCUACCUCGAGAUCAUAUGUUCUGGUCUAAACCCUAGGGGUAUGAUCAGUAAUGUCAUAAUGAUGAUAAUAAUCUAUCGACUAGCCUGGCCUCGGCUUAUAUAAUGUACCAGAGGCCUAGGAUAACAAGACACCUAGUUAGCUAUGUUGGUGGAGAGGAGUCCUUGUCUUGGUCACCAAGUCUUGUGGAAUCUUUCCUGUAUAUGUCAUCGGUUGUCCGAACUGGCCCAUUAGUGAGGUCCUCGGUCCGACCCACUGGUCGGGAGACAACGUGGUGAGUACCCCCUAGUCCAGGACACCGUCAGCGGAUGCUUGCGAGAGGGGGUAAUCAUAAGUGGGAGGCUUGUUCAAGUAAGAACAGCACCCAAGCACCGGUCCACCCACAUAUCAAAUCAUCAAAGUAGCGAAAGCGAAUCGAAUGAACAUGAUGAAAGUGACUAGAUGAAAUUCCCGUGUGUCCUCAAGAACGCUUUUCUCAUUAUAAGUACUAGUUCUGGCCUGUCCUUUGCACUAAAAAGGAUUGGGAUAUCUUGCUGCACUUUAUUUACAUUUGUCACUUGCUACUCGUUACCAAUUAUCUUGCUAUCAGACUACUCGCUACCGCUUGUUUCAGUGUUUGCAAAAAUAUCGUUAUUGAAAACCGCAAGUCAUUUCCUUUUUCUUCUCGUUGGGUUCGACACUCUUACUUAUCGAAAGGACUAUGAUUGAUCCCCUAUACUUGUGGGUCAUCACGCGGCCACCCACCUGGGGCGCUCCGUCCCUAGCUUAUCACUCCCUCGAGACUCCUCGGGUCUUCCCCGAAGCUUCCAGGGUCUCUUUUGGUCCAGAAAACUUAAUCCAAUGUUUUUCUGUGUUUGUACCUUUUUUAUAAUGAUAUUAUAAAAUGAUAAAAACAAGCAAAAAAUAACAACUGGCACUAGGCACUACGUUAAUAGGUUAGUCCCAAAAAAUGAUACAAAAAUAGCAAAAAGUUGCAUAUAAAACAUCCAAGAAUGAUAAUAUAAUGGCACGAAACAAUAAAACAUUACAGAUAGGAGGCGUAUCAAGCAUCCCCAAGCUUAUUUCUUGCUCGUCCUCGAGUAGGUAAAUGAUAAAAACAAAAUUUUUGAUGUGGAAUGCUACCUAACAUGUUUCAUCAUGUAAUCUCUCUUACGGUAUGAAUAAUAAGAUCCGAAUGAUUCAAAGCAAUAGUCUAUAAUUUGAUAUAAAGACAUCAAUACUCAGGCAUACUAACAAACAAUCAUGCCUUUCAAAAUAACGAUGCUAACCCAAGUUAUCCCUACAAAAUCAUAUAAUCCUAUCAUGCUCCAUCUUCUUAACACAAAGUAUUUAUGAUGCACUACCCCAAUGACAAUCCAGGCAAUUGGUUCAUACUUCUUAACGUGCUUCAGCUUCAACCCCCGCGCAAUACAUGAUGGCAAGCCAAGGACAUAACACUAUGGAUGGAAUAGAACAUGAUGAUAGAGAUCAAUAAGGGGAAAUCCAAAAUAAGAAGAUAGUCUCACAUCAAUGCGGCUAACAAACGGGCUAUAGAGAUGCCCAAAAAUUGAUGUCAAUGCAAGGAGUAGGGAUUCCCAUGCAACGGAUGCACUAAGAAGGCACCCAAGGUAAUAUCCAAGGAGACUCCAGCGUCGAAGCUUGGGGAUGCCCCGGAAGGCAUCCCCUCUUAAUUCUAAUGACUAUCAGUAACGCACUUGAGGCAACAUUUUUACUCAUCACAUGAUAUGAGUUUUUCUUGGAGCGUCUUGUAUGAUAUGAGUCUUUGCUUUGUUUAUUUUUAGUUUAUCACAAUCAUCACCUCUGAACGCAUUUGCUUGAGAUAGCUUCACGUCAUCAUGAUUUACUUGAAUUGCCCUUUGUGCUUCACUUAAAUUUGUUGAGCUAGGUGGUUGCUCUAGUGCUUCAUUUAUAUCUUUUUUAACACGGUGGUGCUUUUGUUUUGAAGAAACUUGUUCUCAUGCUUCACUUAUAUCUUUUUGAGAAUGCUAGAAAUUUUAUAAAAAUAUUAGUCUCAUGCUUCACUUAUAUCUUUUUGAGAGUUCGAAAUUAGUUAUGGUAAAAUGUACAAGCUAUAAGCUUGGUCUCCAUAUGAUGAAUAUUCAAGAAGGAUAAUGAUAACUAGUAUAAAAAAUUUAUGGGACAUGAAUAACUUGAUUCUUUGCAACAAUUUUGAGAUAUGUAGAUGAUAAUACGUGAGUUAUGUUCAUGAAUAAUUAUACUCUAGUAUGAAUAUUGAUGUUAAGGUUUAUGAUUCCCUAUGCAAGCACGUAAAGUCAAUAGUUAUGCAAUGAAGUUACAUCCUACUUGUGGUGCAUUAUUCGGUGUUGGUUAUGUUUUAUGUAUGCAUGUGCAUCAUUACAGUUUCUUAGUUGGUCGCUUCUCAACCAUUUUGCUAGCCUCCAUUCGUACUAAGCGGGAAUACUGCUUGUGCAUCCAUUACCUUAAACUUGUUUUGCCAAUUGUGUCCAUCAUACCUACAUAUAUACGGUAUUUCAUUGCCGUCCCAAGUAAAUUUGCAUGUGCCAUCUCUAAUAAUUUUCAAAAUAAACUUCUCUUUUGUGUGCCUGUGUUGCUCAUGAAGUGAUAAGGGGUGGACGAUGAAUUUCGUGUUGUAUAUGUCAUUUUCAUGAUGAGUGUUUAUUCACUUGUCAUUGCACGAGAGUGUGGCGGUAAUAAAAGGGAUGCCCAGUCCCAAAAAUAAAUUGAAUUUCCUGGAAUGUGUUGUUAUGGAGGGCACCCGUGAAUACGGCUAGACAUGGAUUGUGAAAGGAAAGGUGGAAAAACUAACUCCUUCGGAUGUGAAUGGAAAAAAGGGACAAAAGUCUCAAAACCAUGGAACGAUGACAGGGAGCAAACAAUUUCUUUUCAGUUUGGGAGCCGCCUUUGAUGUAUAUAACUUGGAUGGUAUCGAAAGCCUUGAGUCGUUGUCGUUGACGAGAAAAGCAGGCCUCCCAAAAUAAUUUUUUAUCUCUUUUUAAAACUUGAGGUCUGGCACCACUGUAAAUCAAUGCUUCCCUCUGCGAAGGUCGUUCUAUUUAUUUUUAUGUUGAGUCUCAUCCUUCUCAUUAAAAAACCAACUAGGGGGUCAUGUGAUCAUGUGUGCGCAUGGAGUAUGAUUGACAUUCGACUGUGUUUCAUAAAUGGAUCAAUGGUUGAGCAUAAUGGGCUAGGGAUAAUUUUCUUUAGCAUUGUUAUUUUGAAAGGCAUGGUUGCGUGUUAGCAUUGGAGGGGGUAUAUAUAGCCACCUCAUCGGUCCCGGUUUGUGGCUGGAACCGGGACUAAAGGCCACCCUUCUGUCCUGGUUCUAGGCACGAACCGGGACCAAUGGCUGUGGGCUAGGAACGAGGACCAUUGGUCCCAUUCGUGCCUAGAACCGGGACAAAUGGGUACACACGAACCGGGACAAAUGCCUGCCGAGGACCGGCCGGCCCCCUGGGCGCACGAACCGGGACGUAUGACCCCCAUGGGUCCCGGUUCGUGACUGAACCGGGACUAAUGGGCUGGCCAGGCCCCAACCAAAGCCCUGUUUUCUACUAGUGAGGGGCGACGCUCUGCGGAGUUCUCCCUCUUGGGGGCGUUGUCGUGGAGCUUAGGUGUGCUAGGUCGUAGCGUGAGCAUGUUUUGUUCUUCUGGUACUUGUUGCUGGUAGCAUAGAAGCAUGCGUUUUGCAUGUGCCGGAUAUCUCAGGAUCGACUUUGUAAGGGCUACCAAACCAUAUUGUAUCGUUUGACCAUGUACAGCUUUGGAUGUUGCUUUGUUUAUAAAGCAGGGCAAAAUCCUAUUUCGAGAAUAAAGAAAACAACAGCAACAGCAAACAGGUCAACAACUUCAGAAUAGUUUUUCUUUUAAAAUUUCACUUGCUUAAUUAACUACAUGCAUAGGACUUUCUACAGUGUUUUAGAGAAGGACAACUAUGAUUUGCUAGCUAGUUAGGUAUUUCAACAGAACAUUAACAGCAAGGAGAAGGAGAAGAACUGUUAACAACCAGGCAGGCAGGUGGAGAGUGAGUGUGUGAGAGUGAGGUCUCUCUGGCUUUUUCCUGUAUGGCUACUCCUACUUCCUUCGCUGACAAAGACCUGUUCUGAAUCCGUAAUACUGAUUCAUAGUAAUGAUGGUGGAUCGACUAUACCUUGACUUAUCCAUGUACAACAAAAAUUACUACGUACAUGAUUAAAAAUCCAAGGGUCAAAUCCUGAUCAAUUGAUCCAGCAAAUUCUUCAUGAAUCUAGCAUGACAUCAAGUGUGAUUAAUAGGAGUUUCAAUUAUAAUUAGCCUCCGAGAAGCUACAUGGAGGAGGAUGUAGUCGUGUUUUGUGGCCUUGUCAGAAACUUCGCUUUCCAUCAAUCUGAAAACAAGUGGUAGAGGGCAAAAGAAUGAAAAAAAACAUGUGUAGAGGAUACGCAACACAUAAAGGCCACACACACAAAAACAGCGGUAUGGUAGCUGGUCCAUGACAUUGACAAGUCAAUUGAUUUGCUGCAACCAUAUAUAUGUACGAAUAAUAUCGCCAAGGAUAAGAGAAGGAAAAAAUAUAAAUAUACCGAUAGGCUCUUAUUUAGUUCCUGGAUGCAUGUUGCAUGAGCCAAGUGUAUCGGCAGUAUGGCUUGUGUUUGCUGCAUGAUGGCGGCAGGUUCCCAUUCAGUUAGGCAUGCUAAGUCCUAAAUUCAUUUAUUCACGUAUCGGGUAGAAGGAGAACAAAUUUCAUUUCUUUUCUGUAGGUUCCUUGCUUAAAAGAAAAUAGAAAAUAUACACUUAUAUAAUUACGAGAAAAAAUCAACUGUAUGUCGCUCAGUCUUCCCUUUUUGUUCCGUAUCAGUAUCAACAAUCAUAGUACUAAUAGCUUUCUAUACUGGCGCUAGUAAAUUCAAUAAAAGAAACAUGGAGACUAUCUGAACAAUUUGAAACAAUAUAGACAAACUGAGAUCAACUAACAACAGAAAUCCAAAAGAAAUGUUCAUGUCUACGUGGAGUGAAUCGAUCAAGCCGUGCAAAGCCCUAACAAUUUGUUUUGUAUUAAUAACUCAUAUGAUAAUACAACUCCUCCAUAUGAAAAGGUAAUAUGAUGAUUCAUGAAUGCUUAUCCAUCUUAUAAAUAUAUUGUGCACAAAAUAUCGAGUUAGUUCAGAGAAAACGGUGUCUAGAACAAUCUUCACAUUAAUAGUGUGAUCUAUCUCAAUGACUCACACAAGAUUACAAAGUUUGUUCCCUUAAGUAUGCCAAUCUGGAUACGCCUAACAAUAUGUAGAACAUGACAAACUAAAUCAGAACAAGGGACAAAAUCUAGAUCAAUGUUUGAAGUGUAAAGUGAAUACGAUGAGUCAUUUGUCGUUAUCAAGCAUUCCAUACACCUAGAUGAUAUGUGCAAGAACAAUCAACUAUGACGAACAAUCCAAAAUCACGAUAGUAAGUAGUACCAUAAUACACAACAUACCAAAUUAUUGUAAAUGAUAAGCUUAAGAGCACUUUUUCAAGAAGCAAGUGUGAAGAUUACAAACUUAGUUCCCUUAAGUUAUGCCAAUCUGGAUACACCUAACAACAUGUAGAACAUCACAAACUAAAUCGAAAGACGGACAAAAUCUAGAUCAAUGUUUGAAGUGUAAAGUGAAUACGAUGAGUCAUUAGUCGUGAUCAAGCAUUCGAUACAGCCAGAUGAUAUUUGCAAGAACACAACAUACCAAAUUAUUAGGUCGAUAAUCUUAAGUGCACUUUUUCAAGAAAAGAGUGGGAAGAUGAAAACAAAAUAUGUCAUGCCUGCUAUAAAUACGACUACACCAUGUGGGUCUCUUCCAUCAUCUAACCUUCAAGCACCUAGAGUAAAAACACCAAAGCCAAGUGAGCAAUAGUAAACACAAAUCAAACAUGAAGACCUUCAUCAUAUUUGUCCUCCUUGCUAUGGUGAUGAGCAUCGCCAGUGCCACUAGGCAACUAAGCCCUAGAGGCAAGGAGUUGCAAACACCACAAGAACAAUUCCCCCAACAGCAAUUCCCUCAACCACAACAAAUCCUCCAACAACAAUUCCCCCAACGACAACAAAUCCCCCAGCAACCGCAACAAUUCCCCCAACAGCAAUUCCCGCAACAGCAAAUCCCACAACAGCAAAUCCCGCAACAACAAUUCCCCCAACCACANNNNNNNNNNNNNNNNNNNNNNNNNNNNNNNNNNNNNNNNNNNNNNNNNNNNNNNNNNNNNNNNNNNNNNNNNNNNNNNNNNNNNNNNNNNNNNNNNNNNNNNNNNNNNNNNNNNNNNNNNNNNNNNNNNNNNNNNNNNNNNNNNNNNNNNNNNNNNNNNNNNNNNNNNNNNNNNNNNNNNNNNNNNNNNNNNNNNNNNNNNNNNNNNNNNNNNNNNNNNNNNNNNNNNNNNNNNNNNNNNNNNNNNNNNNNNNNNNNNNNNNNNNNNNNNNNNNNNNNNNNNNNNNNNNNNNNNNNNNNNNNNNNNNNNNNNNNNNNNNNNNNNNNNNNNNNNNNNNNNNNNNNNNNNNNNNNNNNNNNNNNNNNNNNNNNNNNNNNNNNNNNNNNNNNNNNNNNNNNNNNNNNNNNNNNNNNNNNNNNNNNNNNNNNNNNNNNNNNNNNNNNNNNNNNNNNNNNNNNNNNNNNNNNNNNNNNNNNNNNNNUUCCCCCAACAACAACAAUUCCCGCAACAACAAUUCCCCCAGCAACCACAACAACAAUUCCCAAAACAACAAUUUCCCAUACCAUACCCACCCCAACAACAAUCGCAAGAAGCUUCCCCAUACCAACAAUACCACAACAACAACUAUCUGGGAGCGACAUUAUAAGUAUCAGUGGCCGAUGAAAUGAAGAGAUGUAAUACUAGACAGGUGAAUCAUCGUUGUUAGUCAAUGGAGCAUAAUGUAACGGGUAUAAAUAAAAUGAUGUGCACCAUCAUGUGUAACCCAGACCUGUACUAGUUCAAACAUGGGAAUAAAAGACAAAUAAAUUCUUUUCUGAAGCACAUUGCUGGCAAUUGUUAUAUUCAUGCCAUAUUUCGAUUUCCAUCGCUAACUACAAUCUCAAUGUUAUGGUCUAUCUACUUAUUUAUGAAGUGUAGUAUUAUGAACAUAACAUAAUUAACAUGUCUGAAAAUUGGCUCAAAUUGAAGUACUAUUAAUUCAGGAGUAAGGAGUAAUUACAAUUUAACAUUUCAAUGGAGAGCUCUAAUUGUAGACUGUGUUGUUAAUUCUCCGAAGAGGAGAGGAUGAUGUAGUAUAGUAGAGAUAAGUAUUUCCAUCAGCUAAGAACCAAGGUUAUCAAUCCAGUAGGAGAACCACACAAAACCUCGUUAGCAGCACCUGCACACACAAAAGCAAACACUUGCACCCAACGCAAAUAAGAGGGUUGUCAAUCCUCUUAGCGAUUAUUUGCAAGGAUUAGUUCUGACAGUGAUACAUAGAUAAAAUAAAAUACUAAAUAAAAUAAAAAUAAAUAAAUUGCAGCAAUGUAUUUUUGUGCUUUUAUAUAUGAUAAAAGUAGACCGGGGGGGCAUAGUUUUCACUGGAGGAUUCUCUCUUGAUCAUAGAACAUAUGGUGGGUAAACACAUUACUGUUGGGCAAGCUAUUAUAUACUAAAAGGAAAAUACUGGUCCAAAAUAGAGAAUAGGCUAGAAAAUCCGGCAUUAAUUGGAAAAUAUGAACCCUUGAUCCGUUUAAUUUUAAAAAAUAUAAAUGUAUGACCGUUCAAUAUAGUUAACAAGGUAGGGCGUGGAUAACUUCCCGCGUAACGUGACACAUGUAAGAAACACAAACAUGGGUCCAGUUAAGGGAAACACAUAGAUGUGUUGAAGUGGGAAUGAAUAGAAUUGCUACGUCCGAAUAUGCAAGAGAUAGAAAAGAAGAAGAAAACUAAAGAACAUGUCGUGUUCAGAUUGGACUAAACGUAUGUGCGUAUACAACCACAACCACAAUCGGAAAGAUCCAGCCAUUAAUCCCGUGGGUCCAUCCAAAACAAAAGGAGGAUAUGCAUGUAAUUGCCCCACGUCCAUGGAACAUACUUAUUAGAGUCCACAAACAGCAGCCGCUUGUCUCUUUUACGUGAUCCUCCUUGCACUGUUAGGACUUUGCCGUCGGACAUCCCAAAGUUCUGGUGAAGUUCACAUCUAAAUAUACUAUCGUAGUAAAAAAAUCCAUUUCAUACUCCAGGAAAGAUAUCACCGUCCCAAAGUUUCAAUUGCAAUCUAAGUUUUGCCACAACUGGGUAUUUAAAACUUAUUUUGCCACAGCUCGGCAGUUUCAGCCACUAAGGUUUUUGUGGCAGAUCAAGCAUCUUCCCAUUGGAAACUCCCAACUGUAAAAAGACAAGCAAAAUAGCAAUCAUUGGCAAAUCAGCAAUCUUAUAGCGGCAGCAGCUCCCAUCAAUCAGGUAACUCAUCUUUCAAAAAUCAGAGACAAUAAGCAACCAUACACAUCAUGCACAUAUGAUAUUAACGAUAAUUACAUAUGUGAUUUCUGUGUCGAAUUUCGUACAACAUUACCAUGAAGAGAAGUGCAUCCACAUGGCAAGUAAUUUCCAAAAGCCGCCAAGAAGGUGAAAAGCAAUCAAAUAAGCAAUCCAACAAGUUAAUCAUUAAGCUAUAGACCAUGCAUGUUUCAGUGGUGCAUACAAGAUCAGUAGCACAAAUUCCUAGCCGUUACGACAUUCAUCAGGGAGGCGAGGACUGUGAAGCAAGGGGUUGCGAGCUGGAGGGAUUGGCGGCGCACCCCGUGUCUCAGCCGAGAGAGGAGAGGCCGGGGAUAGAAUUAAGAGAGACAGGAGAGAUGACGACAGAUGAUAGGCUAGGGAUCGUUGGGCGUUCUCACAUAUUGCGUGGAGGAGGUUAGCUAAAUGGGCCAGCACAAAGGCCCAGUCAACCGCAGGUGGCAGAGUUUUCUCCCAGUGCAGCAGCCCUUUAGGACAGUAGAGCCAAGAAAUAUAAUUACAAAAUUAGGGAUUCAUCCAACAGUCAGAAAUGAUCUAUACAAGUGAUCUGAUAGUUACAAAUGUUGAAUGCUUGAGAGAGCUGGGAUAAGUCUAGGUUUUACUGUCCUAAAUGUAUUAGAUAUGUGGAAUCUGACAGUUAUUAAAGUUUAAUUGUCCUUCAGAAAAAACUAUGGCUAAUCACCACUACGCUAAUUACUUUUUACAAUUGUUGUACAUGAAUGGGGGUUAGGGAGGCAUAACACUAAUCAAAUUAACAUCUAACACUAACAUGCAAUACCUUUUAAGUUCUUAUAUUGAUUCAAUCGCAAAAGGGAAAAAUGAAACAAAAGUAGGCAGCGGGACCUGGAAGUCAACAGAGGAAACAUAAGGGUAUGCUCAUCGUGUGGAAUCGUUUGUGGGGGGCGAGCUGAGUAAACAGAGGAAGGUGAUCGAACGACGUCUCGUGUUUAUUUGUUUACUGAACAGACAGACAUGUGUAAGUUUUUUUCCCUUUGAGGGGAAAGACGUGUGUAACUAGGGAGAGAUGAUUUUGCACGUUCUGUAUUUUUUUCCACCAGAAAACAGAUACUACUUUAACAAAUAAAUCCUACACUAAAUAUUUUAUAUGCUUUAAAUUAUAGGCCACAUACGCAUGAGCCUAAAUUAUAGGCGACUAUUUCAUAGGGUGAAAGUAAACAAAAUAGAAAAUCUUAUAGGCGACAUAAGCAUGAACCUAAAUUAUAUAUUUUAUAUGCUGGAAACUAUUUUAAAAACAUCUGAAAAUAUAGUGCAUGAUCAUCAGACCAAAAACUCUAGCCUGUACAAAACACUCAUAUUUAGACCGUAUAUUUCAUAUGGAGCUGCCAAUUCAUAUCAAUCCGGCACUACAACAGUAACACUAUCGUGCAGCCGCUUAAGUCAAAUCUAAGGUUAAAGCUAAUCAACACAAAAUAUCCAAUGUAAAAGGAAUUACUUAUACUAAAAAAUAUAAAAUAUAUCUAAGAGUGCGAACAAUGACAAAUAUUUACUAUAGGAGUGCCAGCCCUCGCAUUUGCGAGGGCCACCUUGCUAGUUGAUAAAAAACAAAUAAUUAUGACGGAUUCAUGGCAAUGAUCAUGUAUAUAGGCAUCACGUUCGAGACAAGUAGACCGACUCCCGUCUACAUCUACUACUAUUACUCCACCCAUCGACCGCUAUCCAACAUGCAUCCAGAGUAUUAGGUAGAAAACAGAGUAACGCCUUAAGUACGAUGACAUGAUGUAGAUAAAGUAAAUUCAAGCAAAAUCUGAUUAAACUCAUUAAUUGUCAGCCCAUCGGCUGUUAUUUUCCCCGGUCUGACCGUCCGCGACGCUCCUAUUGUUCGCAACGCUACCGCUACGACUGCGGGAGCAUGUUAGAGAUAUAUUUUCAUUAUACAUGUAACCCAAAAAUAUUUCUAACGUUAAUGACAACAAUACAAAUACGUGUGAUGUCCCUUUUUGUCACUGGGAUUGAGCAACGUAAGAUUGAGUCCAUCAUAAAGCACUUCUCCCCAUUGCAAGAUAAACCAAUCUCGUUGGCCAAACCAAAUCGAUAGAUCAGGGAGAAAUAUAAAGCUAAAAUAAUCACGCAUAAAAGAGCUCAGAGAAGACUCAAAUAUUUCUCAUGAAUCAUAUGAUCAUAAACUCAUGAUUCAUUGGAUCCCAACAAACACACCGGAAAAGAUGAUUACAUCGGAUAGAACUCCAAGAACAUCGGGGAUAACAUUGUAUUGAAUAUCAAAGAGAGAGAAGAAGCCAUUAAACUACCGUUUAUGGACCCAUUGGUCUGUGGUAAAAUACUCACACAUCAUCGGAAGGCAGCAUGGUUUAUGUGGAAGCCCUUCGUGAUUGAUUCCCCCUCCGGCAGAGUAAUGGAAAAGGCCUCCAGAUGGGAUCGCGGAAGAACAGAGGCUUGCGGCUGCGGAAAAGUUUUGUCAUCUAUCUCUCUGGUGGUUAUGGAAUAUUUGUGAAUUUAUAGUGGAAGAAUUAGGUCAGGAGGUGCCACGAGGGGGCCAUAAGCCUAGGGGCGCAGUGAUACGUCCAUUUUGCAUCAUGUUUUAUUACUGUUAUUUAUUAAGUUUUGAGCCAAUAUAACACUUCAUGAAGUAUUUCUAAUGCCUUUUCUCUCUUAAUAUGCAAGGUUUACACAAAGAGGGAGAAUACCGGCAGCUGGAUUUCAGGGCCUGAAAAAGCUACAUCAGAGAUCCCUAUUCUGCACAUCUCCAAACGGGCUGAAAAUUCACGAAGAUUUAUUUUAGAAUAUAAAAAAAAUACUGGGCCAAAGAUCCACGGGAGGAGGCCACCCAGGUGCCCACAUAGCAAUAGGGCGCGCCCUGAUGCUGUAUGAGGCCCCUGGCCCACUUCAGGCCCCCUCCUUCUGGUAUAUAAGUCAUUUUACCAUAAAAUAUUUAUGGGGAGACUUUAAGGACGAGGCGCCGCCGCCACGAGGCGGAACUAGAGCAGGAGCAAUUUGGCUCUCCGGCGGGCAGAUUCCGCCGGGGACACUUCCCUCCGGGAGGUGGAAAUCGAAGCUUACGUCAUCACCAACAACCCUCUCAUCGUGGGAGGACCAAUCUUCAUCAUCAUAAACCACAACACCAUCUCAUCUCUAUCCCUAGUUCAUAUCUUGUAUUCGAUCUCUGUGUCAAAACAUUAGAUUGGUACUUGUGUUUGACUAGUAGUGUUGAUUACUUAUCGUAGUUGAUGCUAGUGGAUUUGUUUGGUGAAUUACCAAAUGUUCUGAUCGUGCGUCCAAAUUAUAUCCUCUCUGAUCAUGAACAUGAUGAUGAUGUGUGAGUAGUUACUUUUAUUCUUGAGGACAUGGGAGAAGUCUUAUCAUUAGUAAUCAUGUGAUUCCGGUAUUCGUUCGAUAUUUUGAUGAUAUGUAUGUUGUGAUUCUCUUAGUGGUGUCAUGUGAACGUCGACUACAUGACACUUCACCAUUGAUGGGCCUAAGGGAACUCAUUGUGGAGUAGUAAUUAGAUGAUGGGUUGCUAGAGUGACAGAAGCUUAAACCCUAGUUUAUGCGCUAUUCCGUAAGGGGCUGAUUUGGAUCCACUAGUUUAAUGCUAUGGUUAGACUUUGUCUUAAUUCUUUUUUCUUAGGUGCGGAUGUCGGUGUCAAAACCGGCAGAUCUCGGGUAGGGGGUCCCAAGCUGUGGGUGUAGGAUCAAUAGGUAACAGUGACGAUGAACACGGUGUUUUACCCAGGUUCGGGCCCUCUUGAUGGAGGUAAAACCCUACGUCAUGCUCUUGUUUAUAUUGAUGAAGUAUCAAGGUACAGAGUUGAUCUACCUCGAGAUCAUAUGUUGUGGUCUAAACCCUAGGGGUAUGAUCAGUAAUGUCAUAAUGAUGAUAAUAAUCUAUCGACUAGCCUGGCCUCGGCUUAUAUAAUGUACUAGAGGCCUAGGAUAACAAGAGUCCUAGUUGGCUAUGUUGGUGGAGAGGAGUCCUUGUCUUGAUCACCAAGUCUUGUGGAAUCUUCCCUUUAUAUGUCAUCGGUUGGCCGAACUGGCCCAUUAGUGAGUUCCUCGGCCCGACCCACUGGUCGGGAGACAACGUGGUGAGUACCCCCUAGUCCAGGACACCGUCAGCGGAUGCUUGCGAGAGGGGGUAAUCAUAAGUGGGAGGCUUGUUCAAGUAAGAACAGCACCCAAGCACCGGUCCACCCACAUAUCAAAUCUUCAAAGUAGCGAAAGCAAAUCGAAUGAACAUGAUGAAAGUGACUAGAUGAAAUUCCCGUGUGUCCUCAAGAACGCUUUUCUCAUUAUAAGUACUAGUUCUGGCCUGUCCUUUGCACUAAAAAGGAUUGGGCUAUCUUGCUGCACUUUAUUUACAUUUUUCACUUGCUACUCGUUACCAAUUAUCUUGCUAUCAAACUACUCGCUACCGCUUGUUUCACUGUUUGCAAAAAUAUCGUUAUUGAAAACCGCAAGUCAUUUCCUUCUGCUCCUCGUUGGGUUCGACACUCUUACUUAUCAAAAGGACUACGAUUGAUCCCCUAUACUUGUGGGUCAUCACGCGGCCACCCACUUGGGGCGCUCCUUCAGUAGCUUAUCACUCCCUCGAGACUCCUCGGGUCUUCCCCGAAGCUUCCAGGGUCUCUUUUGGUCCAGAAAACUUAAUCCAAUGUUUUUCUGUGUUUGUACCUUUUUUAUAAUGAUUUUCUAAAAUGAUAAAAACAAGCAAAAAUAACAACUGGCACUAGGCACUACGUUAAUAGGUUAGUCCCAAAAAAGAUACAAAAAUAGCACAAAGUUGCAUAUAAAACAUCCAAGAUUGACAAUAUAAUAGCACGAAACAAUAAAACAUUACAGAUAGGAGGCGUAUCAAGCAUUCCCAAGCUUAAUUCUUGCUCGUCCUCGAGUAGGUAAAUGAUAAAAACAAAUAUUUUGAUGUGGAAUGCUACCUAACAUGUUUCAUCAUGUAAUCUCUCUUACGGUAUGAAUAAUAAGAUCCGAAUGAUUCAAAGCAAUAGUCUAUAAUUUGCUAUAAAGACAUCAAUACUCAGGCAUACUAACAAACAAUCAUGCCUUUCAAAAUAACGAUGCUAACCCAAGUUAUCCCUACAAAAUCAUAUAAUCCUAUCAUGCUCCAUCUUCUUAACACAAAAGUAUUUAUGAUGCACUACCCCAAUGACAAUCCAGGCAAUUGGUUCAUACUUCUUAACGUGCUUCAACUUUUUCAACCCCCACGCAAUACAUGACGGUAAGCCAAGGACAUAACACUAUGGAUGGAAUAGAACAUGAUGAUAGAGAUCAAUAAGGGGAAAUCAAAAAUAAGAAGAUAGUCUCACAUCAAUGCGGCUAACCAACGGGCUAUAGAGAUGCCCAUCAAUUGAUGUCAAUGCAAGGAGUAGGGAUUGCCAUGCAACGGUGUUGGGAAUCGUAGCAUAAUUUAAAAAAUUUCCUACGCUCACCAAGAUCCAUCUAUGGAGUAUACUAGCAACGAGGGGAAAGGAGUGCAUCUACAUACCCUUGUAGAUCGCGAGCAGAAGCGUUCCAAUGAACGUGGAUGACGGAGUCGUACUCGCCGUGAUUCAAAUCACCGAUGACCGAGUGCCGAACGGACGGCACCUCCGCGUUCAACACACGUACGGUGCAGCAACGUCUCCUCCUUCUUGAUCCAGCAAGGGGAAGGAGAGGUUGAUGGAGAUCCAGCAGCACGACGGCGUGGUGGUGGACGUAGCGGGUCUCGGCAGGGCUUCGCCGAGCUUCUGCGAGAGGGAGAGCUGUAGCAGGGGAGCAGGGAGGCGCCCAAGGCUGUAAUACUACUGCCCUCCCUCCCCCCCCCCUUUUAUAUAGGCCCCCUGGGAGGGGGGCGCCGGCCAGGAUCCCAUCUGGAUGGGGGGGCGGCGGCCAGGGGGGAUACUUGCCCCCCAAGGCAAGUGGGGCGCCCCCCCCCCCACCCUAGGGUUUCCAACCCUAGGCGCAGGGGGGAGGCCCAUGGGGGGCCUCCCAGCCCCAUAAGGGCUGGUUGCCCUCCCACUUCAGCCCAUGGGGCCUCCGGGAUAGGUGGCCCCACCCGGUGGACCCCCGGGACCCUUCCGGUGGUCCCGGUACAAUACCGAUAACCCCCGAAACUUUCCCGGUGGCCGAAACUUGACUUCCUAUAUAUAAUUCUUCACCUCCGGACCAUUCCGGAACCUCUUGUGAUGUCCGGGAUCUCAUCCAGGACUCUGAACAACUUUCGGGUUUCCGCAUACUCAUAUCUCUACAACCCUAGCGUCACCGAACCUUAAGUGUGUAGACCCUACGGGUUCGGGAGACAUGCAGACAUGACCGAGACACCUCUCCGGUCAAUAACCAACAGCGGGAUCUGGAUACCCAUGUUGGCUCCCACAUGUUCCACGAUGAUCUCAUCGGAUGAACCACGAUGUCGAGGAUUCAAUCAAUCCCGUAUACAAUUCCCUUUGUCAAUCGGUAUGUUACUUGCCCGAGAUUCGAUCGUCGGUAUCCCAAUACCUUGUUCAAUCUCGUUACCGGCAAGUCUCUUUACUCGUACCGCAAUGCAUGAUCCUGUGACUAACGCCUUAGUCACAUUGAGCUCAUUAUGAUGAUGCAUUACCGAGUGGGCCCAGAGAUACCUCUCUGUCACACGGAGUGACAAAUCCCAGUCUCGAUCCGUGCCAACCCAACAGACACUUUUGGAGAUACCCGUAGUGCACCUUUAUAGUCACCCAGUUACGUUGUGACGUUUGGCACACCCAAAGCACUCCUACGGUAUCCGGGAGUUGCACGAUCUCAUGGUCUAAGGAAAAGAUACUUGACAUUGGAAAAGCUCUAGCAAACGAAACUACACGAUCUUUUAUGCUAUGCUUAGGAUUGGGUCUUGUCCAUCACAUCAUUCUCCUAAUGAUGUGAUCCCGUUAUCAACGACAUCCAAUGUCCAUAGUCAGGAAACCAUGACUAUCUGUUGAUCAACGAGCUAGUCAACUAGAGGCUUACUAGGGACACGUUGUGGUCUAUGUAUUCACACAUGUAUUACGAUUUCCGGAUAACACAAUUAUAGCAUGAACAAUAGACAAUUAUCAUGAACAAAGAAAUAUAAUAAUAACCAUUUAUUAUUGCCUCUAGGGCAUAUUUCCAACAGUCUCCCACUUGCACUAGAGUCAAUAAUCUAGUUACAUUGUGAUGAAUCGAACACCCAUUGCGUCCUGGUGUUGAUCAUGUUUUGCCCUAGGGAGAGGUUUAGUCAAUGGAUCUGCUACAUUCAGGUCCGUAUGUACUUUACAAAUAUCUAUGUCUCCAUUUUGAACACUUUCACGAAUGGAGUUGAAGCGACGCUUGAUAUGCCUGGUCUUCCUGUGAAACCUAGGCUCCUUCGCAAGGGCAAUAGCUCCAGUGUUGUCACAGAAGAGAGUCAUCGGGCCCGACGCAUUGGGAAUCACCCCUAGGUCGGUAAUGAACUGCUUCAUCCAGACUGCUUCCUGUGCUGCCUCCGAGGCUGCCAUGUACUCCGCUUCACAUGUAGAUCCCGCCACGACGCUUUGCUUGCAACUGCACCAGCUUACUGCUCCUCCAUUCAAAAUAUACACGUAUCCGGUUUGUGACUUCGAGUCAUCUAGAUCUGUGUCGAAGCUAGAGUCGACGUAACCCUUUACGACGAGCUCUUCGUCACCUCCAUAAAGGAGAAACAUAUCCUUAGUCCUCUUCAGGUACUUCAGGAUAUUCUUGACCGCUGUCCAGUGUUCCAUGCCGGGAUUACUUUGGUACCUUCCUACCAAACUUACGGCAAGGUUUACAUCAGGUCUGGUACACAGCAUGGCAUACAUAAUAGACCCUAUGGCCGAGGCAUAGGGGAUGACACUCAUCUUUUCUCUAUCUUCUGCCGUGGUCGGCAUUGAGCCGUGCUCAACUGCACACCUUGCAAUACAGGCAAGAACCCCUUCUUGGACUGAUCCAUAUUGAACUUCUUCAAUAUCUUGUCAAGGUAUGUACUCUGUGAAAGACCAAUGAGGCGUCUUGAUCUAUCUCUAUAGAUCUUGAUGCCUAAUAUAUAAGCAGCUUCUCCAAGGUCCUUCAUUGAAAAACACUUAUUCAAAUAGGCCUUUAUACUUUCCAAGAAUUCUAUAUCAUUUCCCAUCAAAAGUAUGUCAUCCACAUAUAAUAUGAGAAAUGCUACAGAGCUCCCACUCACUUUCUUGUAAACACAGGCUUCUCCAUAAGUCUGUGUAAACCCAAACGCUUUGAUCAUCUCAUCAAAGCGAAUGUUCCAACUCCGAGAUGCUUGCACCAGCCCAUAGAUUGAGCGUUGGAGCUUGCAUACUUUGUUAGCAUUCUUAGGAUCGACAAAACCUUCCGGCUGCAUCAUAUACAACUCUUCCUUAAGGAAGCCGUUAAGGAAUGCCGUUUUGACGUCCAUCUGCCAUAUCUCAUAAUCAUAGUAUGCGGCAAUUGCUAACAUGAUUCGGACGGACUUCAGCUUCGCUACGGGUGAUAAAGUCUCAUCGUAGUCAACCCCUUGAACUUGUCGAUAACCCUUAGCGACAAGUCGAGCCUUAUAGAUGGUCACAUUACCAUCCGCGUCUGUCUUCUUCUUAAAGAUCCAUUUGUUUUCUAUGGCUCGCCGAUCAUCGGGCAAGUCAGUCAAAGUCCAUACUUCGUUUUCAUACAUGGAUCCUAUCUCGGAUUUCAUGGCUUCUAGCCAUUUGUCGGAAUCCGGGCCCGCCAUCGCUUCUUCAUAGUUCGAAGGUUCACCGUUGUCUAAUAACAUGAUUUCCAAGACAGGGUUGCCGUACCACUCUGGUGCGGAACGUGUCCUUCUGGACCUACGAAGUUCAGUGGCAACUUGAUCCGAAGCUUCAUGAUCAUCAUCAUUAACUUCUUCCCCAGUCGGUGUAGGCACCACAGGAACAUCUUCCCGCGCUGCGCUACUUCCCGGUGCGGAAGGGGUGACUAUCACCUCAUCAAGUUCCACUUUCCUCCCACUCAAUUCUUUCGAGAGAAACUCCUUCUCCAGAAAGAACCCGUUCUUGGCAACGAAUAUCUUGCCUUCGGAUCUGAGGUAGAAGGUACCCAAUGGUUUCCUUAGGGUAUCCUAUGAAGACGCAUUUCUCCGACUUGGGUUCGAGCUUUUCAGGUUGAAGUUUCUUGACAUAAGCAUCGCAUCCCCAAACUUUUAGAAAUGACAGCUUAGGUUUCUUCCCAAACCAUAAUUCAUACGGUGUCGUCUCAACGGAUUUCGACGGAGCCCUAUUUAAAGUGAAUGCGGCAGUCUCUAAAGCAUAGCCCCAAAAUGAGAGCCGUAAAUCGGUAAGAGACAUCAUAGAUCGCACCAUAUCCAAUAGAGUGCGAUCACGACGUUCGGACACACCGUUUCGCUGAGGUGUUCCAGGCGGCGUGAGUUUGAAACUAUUCCACAUUUCCUUAAGUGUGCACCAAACUCAUGACUUAAAUAUUCUCCACCACGAUCUGAUCGUAAGAAUUUUAUUUUUCUGUCACGUUGAUUCUCAACCUCACUCUGAAAUUCCUUGAACUUUUCAAAGGUUUCAGACUUGUGUUUCAUUAGGUAGACAUACCCAUAUCUACUUAAGUCAUCAGUGAGAGUGAGAACAUAACGAUAUCCUCCGCGAGCCUCAACACUCAUUGGACCGCACACAUCGGUAUGUAUGAUUUCCAAUAAGUUGGUUGCUCGCUCCAUUGUUCCGGAGAACGGAGUCUUGGUCAUCUUACCCAUGAGGCAUGGUUCGCACGUGUCAAAUGAUUCGUAAUCAAGAGACUCCAAAAGUCCAUCUGCAUGGAGCUUCUUCAUGCGCUUGACACCAAUGUGACCAAGGUGGCAGUGCCACAAGUAUGUGGGACUAUCGUUAUCAACUUUACAUCUUUUGGUAUUCACACUAUGAAUAUGUGUAACAUCACGUUCGAGAUUCAUCAAGAAUAAACCAUUAACCAGCGGGGCAUGACCAUAAAACAUAUCUCUCAUAUAAAUAGAACAACCAUUAUUCUCGGAUUUAAAUGAGUAGCCAUCUCGAAUUAAACAAGAUCCAGAUACAAUGUUCAUGCUCAAAGCUGGCACUAAAUAACAAUUAUUGAGGUUUAAAACUAAUCCCGUAGGUAGAUGCAGAGGUAGCGUGCCGACGGCGAUCACAUCGACCUUGGAACCAUUCCCGACGCGCAUCGUCACCUCGUCCUUCGCCAGUCUCCGUUUGUUCCGUAGUUCCUGUUUUGAGUUACAAAUAUGAGCAACCGCACUGGUAUCAAAUACCCAGGAGCUACUACGAGUACUGGUAAGGUACACAUCAAUUACAUGUAUAUCACAUAUACCUUUGGCAUUGCCGGCCUUCUUGUCCGCUAAGUAUUUGGGGCAGUUCCGCUUCCAGUGACCACUUCCCUUGCAAUAAAAGCACUCAGUUUCAGGCUUGGGUCCAUUCUUUGACUUCUUCCCAGUAACUGGCUUACCGGGCGCGGCAACUCCCUUGCCGUCCUUCUUGAAGUUCUUCUUACCCUUGCCCUUCUUGAACUUAGUGGUUUUAUUCACCAUCAACACUUGAUGUUCUUUUCUGAUCUCCACCUCCGCUGAUUUCAGCAUUGAAUAUACCUUAGGAAUGGUCUUUUCCAUCCCUUGCAUAUUGAAGUUCAUCACAAAGCUCUUGUAGCUUGGUGGAAGCGACUGGAGGAUUCUGUCAAUGACCGCGUCAUCUGGGAGAUUGACUCCCAGCUGAGACAAGCGGUUAUGCAACCCAGACAUUCUGAGUAUGUGCUCACUAACAGAACUAUUCUCCUCCAUUUUACAGCUGAAGAACUUGUCGGAGACUUCAUAUCUCUCGACCCGGGCAUGAGCUUGGAAAACCAUUUUCAGCUCCUCGAACAUCUCAUAUGCUCCAUGUUUCUCAAAACGCUUUUGGAGCCCCGGUUCUAAACUGUAAAGCAUGCCGCACUGAACGAGGGAGUAAUCAUCAGCACGUGAUUGCCAAGCGUUCAUAACGUCUUGGUUCUCUGGGAUUGGUGCUUCACCUAGCGGUGCUUCUAAGACAUAAUCUUUCUUGGCUGCUAUGAGGAUGAUCCUCAGGUUCCGGACCCAGUCCGUAUAGUUGCUGCCAUCAUCUUUUAGCUUGGUUUUCUCUAGGAACGCGUUGAAAUUGAGGACAACGUGGGCCAUUUGAUCUACAAGACAUAGUGUAAAGCUUUUAGACUAAGUUCAUGAUAAUUAAGUUCAUAUAAUCAAAUUAUUCAAUGAACUCCCACUCAGAUAGACAUCCCUCUAGUCAUCUAAGUGAAAACAUGAUCCGAGUUAACUAGGCCGUGUCCGAUCAUCACGUGAGACGGACUAGUCAAGAUCGGUGAACAUCUCCAUGUUGAUCGUAUCUUCUAUACGACUCAUGCUCGACCUUUCGGUCCUCCGUGUUCCGAGGCCAUGUCUGUACAUGCUAGGCUCGUCAAGUCAACCUAAGUGUAUUGCGUGUGUUCCGAGGCCAUGUCUGUACAUGCUAGGCUCGUCAACACCCGUUGUAUGCGAACGUUAGAAUCUAUCACGCCCGAUCAUAACGUGGUGCUUCGAAACAACGAACCUUCGCAACGGUGCACAGUUAGGGGGAACACUUUCUUGAAAUUAUCAUAAGGGAUCAUCUUACUUACUACCGUCGUUCUAAGCAAAUAAGAUGCAAAAACAUGAUAAACAUCACAUGCAAUCAAAUAGUGACAUGAUAUGGCCAAUAUCAUUAUGCUCCUUUGAUCUCCAUCUUCGGGGCACCAUGAUCAUCUUCGUCACCAGCAUGACACCAUGAUCUCCAUCAUCAUGAUCUCCAUCACUGUGUCUUCAUGAAGUCGUCCCGCCAACGAUUACUUCUACUUCUAUGGCUAACGCGUUUAGCAACAAAGUAAAGUAAUUUACAUGGCGUUAUUCAAUGACACGCAGGUCAUACAAAAUAAUAAAGACAACUCCUAUGGCUCCUGCCGGUUGUCAUACUCAUCGACAUGCAAGUCGUGAUUCCUAUUACAAGAAUAUGAUCAAUCUCAUACAUCACAUAUAUCAUUCAUCACAUCUUCUGGCCAUAUCACAUCACAUAGCACUUGCUGCAAAAACAAGUUAGACGUCCUUUAAUUGUUGUUGCAAGUUUUUACGUGGUUUGUAGGUUUCUAGCAAGAACGUUUCUUACCUACGUAUGACCACAACGUGAUUUGCCAAUUUCUAUUUACCCUUCAUAAGGACCCUUCUCAUCGAAUCCGUUCCGACUAAAGUAGGAGAGACAGACACCCGCUAGCCACCUUAUGCAACUAGUGCAUGUCAGUCGGUGGAACCUGUCUCACGUAAGCGUACGUGUAAGGUCGGUCCGGACCGCUUCAUCCUACAAUACCGCAGAAACAAGAUACGACUAGUAGCGGCAAGAAGAAUUGGCAACAUCAACGCCCACAACUGCUUUGUGUUCUACUCGUGCAUAGUAACUACACGCAUAGGCCUGGCUCAUGAUGCCACUGUUGGGAAUCGUAGCAUAAUUUAAAAAUUUUCCUACGCUCACCAAGAUCCAUCUAUGGAGUAUACUAGCAACGAGGGGAAAGGAGUGCAUCUGCAUACCCUUGUAGAUCGCGAGCGGAAGCGUUCCAAUGAACGUGGAUGACGGAGUCGUACUCGCCGUGAUUCAAAUCACCGAUGACCGAGUGCCGAACGGACGGCACCUCCGCGUUCAACACACGUACGGUGCAGCGACGUCUCCUCCUUCUUGAUCCAGCAAGGGGAAGGAGAGGUUGAUGGAGAUCCAGCAGCACGACGGCGUGGUGGUGGACGUAGCGGGUCUCGGCAGGGCUUCGCCGAGCUUCUGCGAGAGGGAGAGGUGUAGCAGGGGAGCAGGGAGGCGCCCAAGGCUGUAAUACUACUGCCCUCCCUCCCCCCCCCUUUUAUAUAGGCCCCCUGGGAGGGGGGCGCCGGCCAGGAUCCCAUCUGGAUGGGGGGGUGGCGGCCAGGGGGGAUACUUGCCCCCCAAGGCAAGUGGGGCGCCCCCCCCCCCACCCUAGGGUUUCCAACCCUAGGCGCAGGGGGGAGGCCCAUGGGGGGCCUCCCAGCCCCAUAAGGGCUGGUUGCCCUCCCACUUCAGCCCAUGGGGCCUCCGGGAUAGGUGGCCCCACCCGGUGGACCCCCGGGACCCUUCCGGUGGUCCCGGUACAAUACCGAUAACCCCCGAAACUUUCCCGGUGGCCGAAACUUGACUUCCUAUAUAUAAUUCUUCACCUCCGGACCAUUCCGGAACCUCUCGUGACGUCCGGGAUCUGAUCCGGGACUCCGAACAACUUUCGGGUUUCUGCAUACUCAUAUCUCUACAACCCUAGCGUCACCGAACCUUAAGUGUGUAGACCCUACGGGUUCGGGAGACAUGCAGACAUGACCGAGACGCCUCUCCGGUCAAUAACCAACAACGGGAUCUGGAUACCCAUGUUGGCUCCCACAUGUUCCACGAUGAUCUCAUCGGAUGAACCACGAUGUCGAGGAUUCAAUCAAUCCCGUAUACAAUUCCCUUUGUCAGUCGGUAUGUUACUUGCCCGAGAUUCGAUCGUCGGUAUCCCAAUACCUUGUUCAAUCUCGUUACCGGCAAGUCUCUUUACUUGUACCGCAAUGCAUGAUCCCGUGACUAACGCCUUAGUCACAUUGAGCUCAUUAUGAUGAUGCAUUACCGAGUGGGCCCAGAGAUACCUCUCCGUCACACGGAGUGACAAAUCCCAGUCUCGAUCCGUGCCAACCCAACAGACACUUUCGGAGAUACCCGUAGUGCACCUUUAUAGUCACCCAGUUACGUUGUGACGUUUGGCACACCCAAAGCACUCCUACGGUAUCCGGGAGUUGCACGAUCUCAUGGUCUAAGGAAAAGAUACUUGACAUUGGAAAAGCUCUAGCAAACGAAACUACACGAUCUUUUAUGCUAUGCUUAGGAUUGGGUCUUGUCCAUCACAUCAUUCUCCUAAUGAUGUGAUCCCGUUAUCAACGACAUCCAAUGUCCAUAGUUAGGAAACCAUGACUAUCUGUUGAUCAACGAGCUAGUCAACUAGAGGCUUACUAGGGACACGUUGUGGUCUAUGUAUUCACACAUGUAUUACGAUUUCCGGAUAACACAAUUAUAGCAUGAACAAUAGACAAUUAUCAUGAACAAAGAAAUAUAAUAAUAACCAUUUAUUAUUGCCUCUAGGGCAUAUUUCCAACAAACGGAUGCACUAAGAAGGCACCCCAAGGUAAUAUCCAAGGAGACUCAAGCGUCGAAGCUUGGGGAUGCCCCGGAAGGCAUCCCCUCUUUCUUCUAAUGACUAUUGGUAACGCACUUGAGGCUGUAUUUUUAUUCAUCACAUGAUAUGAGUUUUGCUUGGAGCGUCUUGUAUGAUAUGUGUCUUUGCUUUGUUUAUUUUUAGUUUAUCAAAAUCAUCACCUCUGAACACAUUUGCUUGAGAUAGCUUCACGUCAUCAUGAUUUGCUUGAAUUGCCCUUUGUGCUUCACUUAAAUUUGUUGAGCUAGGUGGUUGCUCUAGUGCUUCAUUUAUAUCUUUUUUAACACGGUGGUGCUUUUUUUUUGAAGAAACUUGUUCUCAUGCUUCACUUAUAUCUUUUUGAGAAUGCUAGAAAUUUUAUAGAAAUAUUAGUCUCAUGCUUCACUUAUAUCUUUUUGAGAGUUUGAAAAUACUUAUGGUAAAAUGUACAAGCUAUAAGCUUGGUCUCCAUAUGAUGAAUAUUCAAGAAGCAUAAUGAUAACUAGUAUAAAAAUUUAUGGGACAUGAAAAAUUUGAUUCUUUGCAACAAUUUUGAGAUAUGUAGAUGAUGAUAUGUGAGUUAUGUUCAUGAAUAAUUAUGCUCUAGUAUGAAUAUUGAUGUUAAGGUUUAUGAUUCCCUAUGAAAGCACGUAAAGUCAAUAGUUAUGCAAUGAAGUACAUCCUACUUGUGGUGCAUUAUUCGGUGUUAGUUAUGUUUAAUGUAUGCAUGUGCAUCAUUACAGUUUCUUAGUUGGUCGCUUCUCAACCAUUUUGCUAGCCUCCAUUUGUACUAAGCGGGAAUACUACUUGUGCAUCCAUUACCUUAAACUUGUUUUGUCAAUUGUGUCCAUCAUACCUACCUAUAUACGGUAUUUCAUUGCCGUCCCAAGUAAAUAUGCAUGUGCCAUCUCUAAUAAUUUUUAAAAUAAACUUCUCUUUUGUGUGCCUGUAUUGCUCAUGAAGUGAUAAGGGGUGGACGAUGAAUUCCGUGUUGUAUAUGUCAUUCUCAUGAUGAGUGUUUAUUCACUUGUCAUUGCACGAGAGUGUGGCGGUAAUAAAAGGGAUGCCCAGUCCCAAAAAUAAAUUGAAUUUCCUAGAAUGUGUUGUUAUGGAGGGCACCCGUGAAUACGGCUAGACAUGGAUUGUGAAAGGAAAGGUGGGAAAACAAACUCCUUCGAAUGUGAAUGGAAAAAAGGGACAAAAGUCUCAAAACCAUGGAACGAUGACGGGGAGCAAAAAAUUUCUUUUCAGUUUGGGAACCGCCUAUGAUGUAUAUAACAUGGAAGGUAUCGAAAGCCUUGAGUCGUUGUCGUUGACAAGAAAAGCAGGCCUCCCAAAAUAAAAUUUUUAUCUCUUUUUAAAACUUGAGGUUUGGCACCACUGUAAAUCAAUGCUUCCCUCUGUGAAGGUCGUUCUAUUUAUUUUUAUGUUGAGUCUCAUCCUUCUCAUUAAAACACCAACUAGAGGGUCAUGUGAUCAUGUGUGUGAAUGGAGUAUGAUUGACAUUCGACUGUGUUUUAUAAAUGGAUCAAUGAUUGAGCAUAAUGGGCUAGGGAUAAUUUUCUUUAGCAUUGUUAUUUUAAAAGGCAUGGUUGCGUGUUAGCAUUACUUGAGUAUUUAUGUCUUCAUGUCAAACUAUAGAUUACUAGUCAUCAACCCGUGCAUCUCCAUGGCCUAGCUACUAUAGGGAUCCAUAAUUAUUAUGAAAAGUGUAUUAGCUUGUGAAAUAUUGUAGUUUAAAUUUGAAAUAUCGCACAAUGCUAAGUUUUUCAUAUUAAUAAGAAAAUCAAUUAUAUUCCUUCAACUAAUGUUUAUUAAUAGGUUUAUGUUCCUCUAUGGUGUUCCAAUGCACGACAAUUUAUGCAUACUUUUCUACUUGUCUUGCAAUUGCGUGAUUUCACAUAUAAAAUUAAUGACCAUGUUAACGGUGAUAUAUGUGAUCCACCGGGGGAAUUUAAUAGGCUUAUUUUCCUUAACAUGUGGCUUGAGGACUCCUUAUUUGUACGUUUCUAUUUUCUUACUUAAAGCAGACGGGUACAUAGUUUAUGUUUUUGUGCGAAUUGGGAUGUGUAAUCCUUUUUUAUAUGGAAAUUCAGAAUGUAUCUAUCGAGCAUGAAAUCAAACGAUGUAGUAUCUCAUAAUACUCGGGAAAAAUGUUUAGCUGUAAACAUUUAAAUUUAAUGGAUCUGGUUGUGAAAUGCCACUAUUUUGAAAUACUCGACGCUCUGCUUUUCGAACCCUAGUGAAAAAACCAUUAAUAUUCCAACCCCUAAAAAAGCAAUCAUAUUCCUUUAAUUAUAUUUCAUAACUGGAUUAAGUUUAUUUUGUUAUGUGUGACCAUUUAUGCAGAUUUCUUUCUUCUUUAAAAAUUAGGUGGUUUCAUGUAAUAAAUCAAUGACCUUUCUUUUGUGAUAAUAUUUGGGAGCCACAUGGAGAGAUUCAUGUAUGCUUGUGUUUGAAUUAUUUUAUUUUGACUGGAUCUUGUUUUUGUAUGUGAGUAUUCAAAUUGAUUUUUCAAUUAUUAGGCGUGUCCGUAUUUGUACGUGUCAUUUUUUUUCCAUGUGACGCCGCCCUUUAAUAAUUUCUAGACUCCUUAUUUCGUCGUAAUUUUUGGACUCCUUAUUUGUACGUGUCCGUUUUUUCUUUCCUCAAGAGUACAUGCACAUGGUGUUUGUUUUUUGGGAAUUAGGAUAUACACACUUUUGUAGUGUGAGGAGAAUAUAUUUUAUUUUGUACGUGUAUUUUUUUUUCUUUUUUUAGGAAGGAGGAGGCACGUGCUUUUUAAAGUUGGACCAUAGCUCUCUUUUAUAGCAUAAGGAGUUCUUUUUUUGCACGUGACGCAGCCCUUUAAUAAUAAGAAAUGUCUCAUUUUUGUACGUGUGGGUUUAGAUGAUUUUUCUUAAUCGCGGUGGCUCUAUUUGAUAGCGUGAGGACUCCUUUUUUUCACGUGAUGUCUUCUAUUUAUAAUAGGAAGUGUCUCUUAUCUUUGUAAGUGUGGGUUUAAUUCUUUACGCCGUGUUUUUUUAUAAGGAAAGUCUUCUAACAGAUCUUGACCAUUAAAUUUUCAAUCUAAUGGCUAAAUUAAGCUUGAUGAUGUGGAUUAACGUGGAAGCUCGUAUGGUGCCUCCAAUUAAUAAAUAUAAGAUUGCUUUGAAUCAUACAAGUCCUCUUGUCUAUGCUAUAAAAAUAAAUUGAGUAUGUUGGGUAGCAUUCCACAAUCAAAAAUAUGUUUUAUCACUUUCCUACUCGAGGACAAGCAGGAGUUAAGCUUGGGAUGCUUGAUACGUCUCCAACGUAUUUAUUAUUUUUGCUUGUUCCAUGCUAUGAUAUUAUUAUUCUUGUAUGUUUUUAUAUCAUUUCAUACAUUUUUAUAUCAUUUUUGGAGACUAACCUAUUAACUUAGUGCCUAAUGCCAGUUUCUGUUUUCUGCCCUGUUUUUGUUUUACAGAAAAUCACUAUCAGAUAAGAUCAAAUCGUCCCAAAACUUUUUAAAGAUUUUUUUCUGGAGAUAAGGAUCAGCUUCAACUUGAAAACCAAGGAAGAAGCUUCUGGAGGGCCCCACAUGGGGGGCGCGCCCUGAUGCCAUGUGGGCCCACUCUGUGUCCUUUUGCCCUACUUCCACCUCUAUAAAUUCAGAAGAAUUACCAAAACCCUAAGACACCAGAUGAAACACUUUUUUCGCCGCCGCAAGUCUCUGUUCUCGCAAGAUCCCAUCUGGAGGCCUUUUCCGGUAUUCCGCCGGAGGGAGAACUACUCACGGAAGGGCUCUACAUCAUCCUUGCCACCUCUCUGAUGAUGCGUGAGUAGUUCACCAUAGACCUACGGGUCCGUAGGUAAUAGCUAGAUGGCUCUCUCUCUCUCUCUCUCUCUCUCUCUCUCUCUCUCUCUCUCCCUCUAUGUUCCUCAAUACAAUGGUCUCCAUGGUCUUCAUGGAGGUCCAUCCGAUGUAAUGACUUUGUGCGGUGUGUUUGUUAGGAUCCGAUGUAUUGUGAGUUUAUGAUCAGAUCUAUCCUUGUUUUAUUUGAGUUCUUUGAUGAUCUCUUUUAUGCAUGAUCUAGAAUAGCCUUGUAUUUCUUCUCCGAAGUUUUGGUUUGGUUUGGACAGCUAGAUUGGAUCCUCUUGCAACGGGGAGAGGUGCUCGGUAAUGGGUUCGAUCUUGCGGUGCUCGGUCCUAGUGACAGAAGGGGAGUUGACACGCAUGUAUUGUUGCCAUUAAGGAUAACAAGUACGGAUGAAUUCUUAUUUGUGUUUGUCUUGACUACAUCAUGCCAUUGAUCUUUAUGCAUUACUUCGUUCCUAUGAACUUAAUACACUAGAUGCAUGUUGGCUAGUAGUCGAUGUGUGAAGUAAUAGUAGUGGAUGCAGAAUCGUUUUGGUCUACUUGUUUUGGAUGUGAUGCCUAUGUUAUGAUCAUUACCUUCGAUAGCGUCAUAAUUAUUUGCUCUUCUGUCAGUUGCCCAACAGUAAUUUAUUUACCCACGGUAUGCUAUUUUCUUGAGAGAUGCCUCUAGUGAACUCUACGGCCUGCGGGUCUACAUUUAUCAUAAGAUCUAUCUUGUUUUACUUAUACACAAAUACCAAAAAUAUUUGUUGCAUAUUUUUAUCUUUUAUUUAUUUAUCAAUCUAUCAAUCUAUCAUAUACCAUUUAAUCUCGUUACUUGACCACCGAGAGAUUGACAACCUCUCGUUUGCGUUUGGUGCGAGGGUUUGCGUUUUGUGUGUAGGUGUUGUUUAUGUGGUGUUGCUUCGUUCUUCUACUGGACUGAUAACCUUGGUUUCUUAACUGAGGAAAAUACUUACUCUACUGUGCUGCAUCAUCCUCUCCUCUUCGGGGAUAAAAAUCCAACGCAAUCUACAAGUAGCACCUUGCGACAACCGAUGUGGCGAUGGAGAUCGGCCUGACACCCACACUAACCGAAAUUACUUGGUUAAGAAGGUCAUGUAGAUCGUAAGCGGCAAUGCGGACAAGACGAACCCUUGUAACAACAACGAUAAGGACAUGCUACAACCCGGUAAAGGGGAACGGCAGGCAGAAGCAGUACCCACUACAAACAAAGGAUGUAAAUAAGAUUUAUCCAUCUCACACCUCCAAGAAAGAUCGAAAGCGUGCUGUCCACGAGGUAUAUUCCGUGGAGUCCUUUGAGCCAAAAUACAAUCCUUGGUUGAAAAUCCUGAUCACAUGUAUUUGUCAUGACCACCAGACUAUCGUCCACCAUGGCGGUUUGCCCGCACUUGUCUUGGACCCGAUAUUCAACAGUUUCCACCUCAUCGAGCUUGAACCUCAGCUACGUCGAUACACUGAGAAAGAUGCACUUCGACAAGUCAUGUAUCGAGCUGGUGAAAACCAAGUUCAAGGGUAUUAUAUAUCACGGGCAUGAGGCGCACUAGAAGGGUCACACCAGACGGGGUGUUCGGUACCUCAUACGUCUACUGUUUGGAUCCUCUAAGCUUUGACGUAGUCCCUUUCAAGUGUGGUUAUCACUCCCUCCUCGUGUCAGACCGCGUUCGCGCGCUUUGGCAUCGUCACACAUUAUGCUUACAAGAAGCUCAAGAUGUCAGGCCCGAAUGUCGUCAUCAUCUUGGGGAACAUUGAGCGAUCUCAUAAGACUCAGAAGACCACGUUGGUUCUAGCGGUCGAGGCCGAGGCAAUGGCCUUAGCAAAGAAGGAGAUUGCUGACAUGAGGACCAAGGUCAACAAAGACUAAAUAAUCUUCACCAAUUGCACAAAGUCAACGUCAUUCCAGCCUGGCCAUGACAUCGUAAAGUUCCAGGUGCACACCAAGGAUCCGGCCAAUAGAUCUACAAAAAAGUAAGAACAUCACUAAUCAAAGAACAAACUAGAGCAGCAAACAACAACAACAGGAGGUCAGCUGUUGAAUCCACAGAGGGAGCAAAGCAAAAAUCAGCAAGCACGAAUGCAGCGGAAGCUCGAACUCAAAGUAGCCGUGGGAGCUGCAACAUAAAUCGCCAGAGAAGAACCCACUCCCCCUAACCAUCUUUCUCUCCCGGUUGAAGAGUGGCUACUCGACACCAUGUGAAGCAUCCAGAAAUUAAACUUGGAAAAUAAAGGCAACAAAGACACCCGCGACUUAACGGGCGGUAGCGGUUACUGGGAAAAGAAGCUGGCCCGAUAAGAAAAACUGAUAUCCUCCAUCGGGAAUCACAAAGCAAGAUCGAAUGACUAGAAAAUUUGACAGAAGCCGAAUUGUAAUCAGUCGAAUGAAAAAUAGCAAAACCUCUGUCGGGGGUUGAGACGCUUCAUCAAUAACUUACAAGGGGGAGGGGGGCUCCGACAAGAGCGAGUCCUGAUGCCUGUCACCCUCCAUUUUUUUUCCUCACAAAGAGAUAAAGACCUUUCUGAAUUGUUCCACAUUGAUUUAAUCAAUGGAAACAUUUCUUAGGUAUGAAGAUGAUUGCCAAAUCCUGAACCAAUCCCAGCAUAUUCUACCUCAAGCUCCAUGCUUCGCUUUCCAUUGGAAAAAAAGAUAGUGGUAGAGGAUAAAGAAAACAAAUUAUGUAGAUGACACACAACACCUAAAAGAAACAAAUUUUGUGCUGGUCAAGGACAUGACCCCGCCUGGACCUGUUUUCUCUACCACAAAUAUUUGAAUGAUUUGAUGCCUGAAUUUGCAGCAACCAUAUAUACUCCAACGACACAUAUACUCCAGCGAAUAUAUGUGAGAACCAAUUAAGCUGGAUAAAGUUUCCAGCCCAAAUCAAUGUACGUCCUUUUUUAUUGCUGCGUGAUUUCAAGUGUUUAUAUUUGACUUGUGUUGCUGCUUGAUAUGGACAGACCUCCACAUUGUUAUGUAUGCACAUUUCCUGUAAUACGCAAACUUCUGUUAGGAUGAUCUUUAGAUUUCUUACUUUGAGCCAUUCUUGCGACUAAAUUGAGUUGUUAUCAUAUCAGCGACAGCAAUUAAUAUAACUCUUCUAACAUAAUUAAUUGUGUCUGUAAACAGAAUAACAUAAUUAUAUAUUGUUUGGAUGCGUUUCGAAACCUAACUGCUCCUGCUCUGCUUAUAGGAUGGAUGGUCAAAACUUGCUUGUACUGUAUACAUGAUGUUUUGGAUUUCUUGUUCCAUUUCCAUGUCCAUCACAAUGCAUAUGUCAACAGUGACAUAAGAAGAAAGAAAAAUCGAAAAGAGCAUAAAACUUCCGGUCUCCGCAUAAUAGCAACAUAACAAAGAGAUAGACAACAAAAUAAAGUGAUUAUUCACUACAUGCAACAAAGGAAGUAAUUCUUUGCCGUAUAACUUUGAUGUCUAGCCCAAUUUAUCUAUUUGUAACAGCUUGAUACACUAAUAAAAAAAUCCAUUAACGAAAAAGUAUGAUCCCUGACAUAUACAGUAACGCUGUUGUUAAAUCUCAAUAAUACAAAACUCACAUGAUUCCACCAUGUAACAUAUGCGGGUAUUUUACCAUGUAACAUAUCCCAGUGAGCACAGGCAAACUAAUUAACAAGCAGCAAGAACCAAACGAGACAGAGAAAGAGAAAAAUAAACAGGUAGAACAGGGUGAAGCGGGGUACUCUACUACUCAUGAUGAGGAGCCGAACUCGAUGCGGACGCCAACGACAAUGAGGAAGAAGGCAUUGAGCGCGCAGAAGAUGAUGGUGUGGAUGAGGAUGGAGACUACGCUCGUGUGGAAUUUGCCGCACUCGAUCGUCCGUGAUUUGCCGGGGAUCUGGAAGAGGAGCCCCGGGGAUAGAAGGAUGAAGAGCAUGAAGGAGAUGAGCACCGGACCCCAGUCUUGCAUCUUCUUCUUCCUCCUCUUCUUCUUUGGGAUGAUGAUGAUGAUGGCUACUCAAGCCAGCUACAGCUAUGCUUCUAGAGGUAGAUAGAAGAUGGCCUUUUCUUUAUUUAUGGAUGGCUUUCCAUUCUUUGUGUGGAUUAUCACUUAUAUAUGUACUGCCAGGACAGCAGGGCAAAUGGAGUGGUCUCUAGAAAGUUUUGUUUCUGAAAGAACUUGUGGUUUCCAUAAGAUGCAAAACGAGACUAGCUUCUUUAUUCUGUGAAAGAGGAGGGCGGAAGCAACCAAUCAGAGUGGCUUGCUUCCUUUGUCUGUUUGAGUUUUUUCUGCACAAACUUAAUUAAUGAACGCAUUUUCUGGACAGCAAAAUUUCCUCCAGGAUAUGGACAGAAAUGAGAAAUUGCCCGCUCUCUAAAGUCUAAACCAACAGUAAAAUCUUACAUGGACCAUACUGAUACCAAUGCCAUAUACUCCCUCCGUAAAGAAAGUACUAUUUAGAAGUACACUCCUAUAUUUCUUUAUAGAGGGAGUACUAUUUAGAACUAGUUGUGAAUCAUCUCAAGAAGGUCAAAAUUCAGAAAGCUCACCAUUAAAGUGUAGGUUUGCGGUUAGACCUUACUCCUUACCUUAAUAGGGAUCUAGCUCAGUCUGACUUCCACAACCAUUUGGUUAUUUUUUUAAGGUUAUUUUGCUACAUACAAAGCUAGUUAAUGCAUAAUAUUGUGGUUAGGAAUGAACAUCUCCACGUGUGCCCGAAUGGAAACACCGACGGAUAACGCUAUAUGCAGAAAAUAACUUAGUUUGCCUUUUAUUCCCAAGUUUGAACUAGUGCCAGUCUAGUCCACACAUGAUAAUGCAUGGCACUUUAUUUUUCACCGCUACAUGGAUCGGACCAUUGACUAAACAUUGGUGGUCCAUUUUUCGGAUACUAGAACUCUCGUCUUCUCAGUAGCCGCCCAUGUCGGUAGUGACGUCACUGGAUGGUGAUAUGGUGGUGUAGCAGUAUGGUGGAACAUGCACGUCGCACAUUGCCGGGAUGGUCUGAAUCACCCAUGUCCCUAUCACCGCAAUCCAACCCUGAUCCAGUUGUGUUUGUUGUUGUGGCUGGCUAGAACCCAGACCCUGUUGUUGUUGUUGACCUUGUUGUUGCUGCUGCUGAGGUUGGGUGGAAGUAGCUUGUACCAAUUGUUGUUGUUGUUGCAAAAUAAUGGCGUGCACGACGUUGUGGAUGGCCUCGCAUCUUGACUGCUUGGGGAUCGCUUUUAGUUGCUGACAGCACUGCUCCCACAUUACCAAGCAGCUGCUAUGUUGCACCACCUGUGACCGGAGGAAUGACAUAUCAGCAACUGGGCUACACUGUUGUAGGAGGGCAUCCCUGCAUGGGUUCAACUUUUGAUGUGGAACUGGAUGUUCUUGUGGCUGCGGAGUUGGUUGAUGCUCCGGAGAUGAUGGAUGUUGCGGCUCCCAAGCACUACGGAAUGCAGUAAAGGGUUCGGCGGCCGUGGUGGUCGCCGCGACAACAAUGAGGGCAAGGACGAGGAAUUUCUUCAUGGUUGAUUUGUGUUAGAUAAUGUUUGUUCUCCAGUUGAGUGAAUGGUGGGUGCUGGAGGAGUGUCUUGAUUGUUUAGGCCUAUUUAUAACCGACAUGGCAUCGCCUUUUUUCAUCUUUGCAUUUCCUUUCCUUAAAAGUGCAUGGAUGCUUCUCGGACUCUAUCAUUUGGUAUGCUGCGUUAGGUGCAACUACUUACAAGCAUAUUCCUGCACUGAUCAUCAAAGUUCUUUGUUGUUGCAUGUAUCAUUCCGCUAUCAACAAAUCUUGAUAAUUGACAUAACUCAUCUUACUUACUUUACAUGUCAAACAUCGAUCCGGAUUGCAACAUUUUCUAAAACUGGGUUUGUUAUAUUCUACAAGUUGUUACGCAUAAACUAGAUUAGCUUGCCUUGUGCCGAACUAAAGUUUGUAAUUUUGUGUGGCCUGUAAAGAUACAAUAGACUAGUAUUGUAACUUGCAAAAGUAGAUGAUGACAUGAUUCGUCAAAGUCCCUUUACAUGCCAAGGAUUGUAAUGUCGUACAGGAUUAGUAUAAGGAUUUACACUCAAGUACAGGCGAAGAUUUGUUCAAGAUUCCAUCUAUUUGUCGAAUUAAACCUGUACUGUUGUGCAAAUCGUUAAGAUAAUCAAGUAUUGUUUGCUGAAUAAGUUCGGGAUUGUUCAUGACUAGUGUUAGCACCGGGGAUUCCUAAGAAUGAUACAGAGCAUGUACAUAUAAGUAUGAAUAGAUAUGCAUCCAGGCGUUUCAUCAAUCUGCAAGAGAAAUCACAAGCCAUCUGUUAAUUAAGCUACAAACCUACAAAACAAAUAUGCGUCCAGAAAAUGUACCGGAUUUCAAAACGUUCAUGUUUGCAAAAAAUGUUCUCAUUACACAAAAAAGUUCAAAACUUUCUAAAUUCAGAAAAUGUACCGGAUUUCAAAAUUUUGUUCACGUAUUCAAAACAAAGUUCACGCUUCCAAAUUUUUUCGGGAUUUUUCAAAAUUGUUCUCCGUUUAAAAAUUUGUUCUCAAAACUAAAAAAUGUCGGUGCUUUAAAAAGUUGUUCGCGCUUCAAAAUUUGUGCUCAAGAUUCAAAAAAUAUUCGUGCUUUAAAAAGUUGUUCACAAAUUCCAAAACCAUCAUGUUUUAAAAAAUGUUUGGGAAAUUCAAAAUGUGUUCGUUUUCAUAAAUUUCGUUUGCGUUUGUGAAAAGAUCAUACGAUCAAAAAAUUUGGAAAAAAAGGGAUUUUGCCAAACAGUGUUAAGUCCGCAACUGUACUUCGUUUCUUUUAGAUUUCCGCUGUAUUUCGGUCGACAUGCCAGUUCGUGCAAGCAGGAAGUGCCAUGUUCCAUUCCUUGCCACCGCGCGCUACCCUGUUUUGUGUUUUUCACGCUCGUAUUCGAAGUGCACUGAAUGGGCAGGCCUACUCGGCACCCCCUGUGCGACAAGGCGUAUAUUUGCCGCAGAACGCGGCAAAUAGGAGCUCCCGCCAUGCGAAGCGCUGAAUCGCGGACGCCCCGCUCCCCCGCGCGAUGUUUUGGGCCGGCCCAUGUGCGGCGCAGGGGGUCCUUUUUUGUUGUUCUCUUCCAUUUUUUUUCUUUUUCGUUGGUAGUUUUUUUUUCUUCUUCUUCUUUUUACCUUUUUAAACAAUAUUCAAGAUUUUCAUAAAAUUUUCAUGAUUUUUUUAAAUCAGCAAAUUGAAAAAUAUUAAUAGCUAUCAAUAAAAUGUUCGUGCAUUUAAAAACAAAUUUAAAAAUGAAAAAAAUGUUCCAAUUCAAGUAAAUGUUAGUGCAUUUCAUAAAAUCUUCACUCAUUCAAAAAACGUUCUUGCAUAUCUAAAAAAUGAAAAAUAAAUUGUAUCUGAUGAACAAUUUUUGAAUUCGAUGAAUUUGAUGAGGAAAUUCUGAAUUGGAUGAACAAUUUUUGAAAUCGAAGAACUUUUUUUAUAUAUUCAAGAACAAUUAAAAAAUGAUGAACAUUUUUUGUUUUUGACAGAAAUAUUUUGAAUUUGAUGAACAAAAUUGGGUUCGAUGAACAUUUUUUAACUCGGUGAAUUUUUUUGAAUUUGAUGACAGAAAAUGUUCAGGAUUUAAAAAACUGUUUGUGAAUUUGAAACAUUUGCAAAUAAAAAGGGAAAUAAAAAUAAAAAAAGAAAACGAAGACAAAAAAUAAAAAAAAUGUCUGUGAACGUUCUAGAACUUCUACUACUACUUCAUAACAAAAGAAUAAAGAGAAAGAAACAAUAGCCCAUACGUCCCACAGUGAUAUUCCGUUAUUAGCUAGCUAAUUAUACAAACAUUGAUGAUCAAUAAUACUACCUCCGUUCAAAAAUAACUGACGUGGUUUUAGUUCAAAUUUGAACUAAAACCACGUCAAUUAUUUCUGAAGGAGGGAAUAUAUACUAGUGUGGCUCCGCUCCUCAUCACUCACAGUCUAUCUGUCUCCAAUCAAGAGUUGGCCACCACAUCGUUUCUCCCUCCCUUAAUAAACUAGCUACUCCACAAAAUUUAAUUAGCUUAAUCAACUCAUCANNNNNNNNNNNNNNNNNNNNNNNNNNNNNNNNNNNNNNNNNNNNNNNNNNNNNNNNNNNNNNNNNNNNNNNNNNNNNNNNNNNNNNNNNNNNNNNNNNNNNNNNNNNNNNNNNNNNNNNNNNNNNNNNNNNNNNNNNNNNNNNNNNNNNNNNNNNNNNNNNNNNNNNNNNNNNNNNNNNNNNNNNNNNNNNNNNNNNNNNNNNNNNNNNNNNNNNNNNNNNNNNNNNNNNNNNNNNNNNNNNNNNNNNNNNNNNNNNNNNNNNNNNNNNNNNNNNNNNNNNNNNNNNNNNNNNNNNNNNNNNNNNNNNNNNNNNNNNNNNNNNNNNNNNNNNNNNNNNNNNNNNNNNCUAGUUGGUGCCUUGCUAUUUGCCGGUCCACUGUGUGUUCCCGGGGCUCCACUUAGGGCACUUGGGGCUCAGGUACUUGCCCUCCACCAUGUCAUCGAGGAGCUCCACCACCGGGCCCUACCACACACACUCUGACACGUUGCACUGGUUGAUCGAUGCAUCGCGACCGAGCGCGUAGUCCAUGAUCUUGCCAAAGGUGCCCUUGGGAGACGAUGUGGAUCUCGAGGGGUCUGACGGAGCAGUCAGCUGCACGACAUUGCCGGUACACAUUGUUGGAGCUCUCACAGUCACAAGGACCGACUAGGCGGCAUGAUUGAUCUUCUUUUGCCGAUCCGCCUUUUAGGUUCACCUCUUAGCCAUUGAUUGUUGGCUCUCUGGAGUAUGUACCCUUUUUAUUUUCCUUUUUGCACUUGGGCUUGUUUGUGCGGUAGUCCUAGCUGACCUUUAUUUUUCGUUCAUGCAUUUGAACUAUCUGUAUUGAUGGGGUGGUUGAUUUAUAUAUAAAGCGGGGUUGUCUCAAAAUAUAUAUAUAUAAAGCGGGGUAAAACUCUAGUUCAAGAUAAACUUAAGGAGGUUGCCUGCAAGAUUAAAUUUGUGCCCUCUAUUUCUUUUCAGAUGUUGUUUAUGAGAAGAUACACCUCUAACAUUAACGGAAGGAGUAUAUACUUUUACAGACGACAGCCCAUGACAAUCUUGCAUCAAAAGUUUUUCACACCAUGUAAUUGUACACUCUGUGUUGUAAAUGAAGGGGUAGGUACGGUGAAAGGGGGAGGAUGAAGUAGUCCAAUCCUUUGAGAGUCGAUCCACCGCUCAUCAAGUUCUUAGUGAAGUCGAACAUGGAGGGGAAGGGGCUCCUUGAGCACCUAAAAUAGGUAAAUAAGCAAUCGAUGAAGAACAUCAUGAAAACAAGAGGGCAUGUUUGACUCGCAAGAUUCUAAAUAGAAAAACGGAAAGGUAGGAACAUGAUAUAAGAAUACAUGCAGAAAGUACAUGACUGACAAACAUAUAAAUGAGGAAUAUCAAAACACAAGAAUUAAUCCUAAUAAACAAUGUCAAACCAUAGUCAAACCACAUGGGAAAGUAUAAUUGGAACUAUACCGUUAAGGAUCUGAGCCUCGUUCUUCGUUUGUAGAAAUUUGAAAAAGAGGACCUAACGAAUUGCACAGUUCCUCGUUUUUCCUUUCAGAUCGAAGGGAAAUCCUUCUCCAUUUCCCCUUUGCUCCAUUCAUUUGAACCAAGUGUAUGAAUAGUGCACCAGAUGGAAAUUUUGUCGGGUUGGUCGCGACGGCUUGCGUGACAUCACCGUGGGAGCAACAAAGGCACCCUUAACAUGCAAGGUGUGUCAGGCGAGCUAUGUUAGCCAACCUCGCAUGACUGAAGUGGCAUAUGUCUGCUCUAUCAGACGAAGUGUUCCUCUUCGAUGUCACUGAGCUUCGUGGAUAUCCUUGUGCCUGCCCGGAUUGAUACAACGUUUUCGGUGUGCACUCUAGUAGCGGCGAAGGCGCUAGAGUUUCAUGAUGUUGUGUGGUGUUGGUCUUCUCGCGUGUUGUAUGUUUUGUGGUGCUUUAGGUCUAGUCUAGCUAGGCGUUGUUUAGGUUUCUGCCUGGAUUUCCUUGAUAUUUUGAGCAGUCCUUUUUCAUUCCUUCUUUUUUUGGCACUUGGCUUUAUGCGGUGCAUUUCUCCUUUGGGGUGUUACUGGUAAUACCCUUUUCUAAUCAAUGAGUUUGGCAUCUCUCCUGCCAACAUUAAAAAUAAUCUUACAUGGACCACAUUGAAGGUCAAAAUCCAGAAGGCUCACCAUUAAAGAGUUUACCUUAAUAGAGAUUCAGCUUGCUCCAAUUUUUAAAAAUGCGCUACAUACAAAGCUAAGUAAUGCAUAACAUUGUUUUUCGUAUGAACAACUCAACAUGUGCAUGAACGGAACACUGACAAAUAGUAUAUAUGCAACAAAAAAUAAAUAUCUUGUAUUUUAUUAAUUUGUCGCCGCUACAUGGAUCGGACCAUCGACUAAACAAUGGCAGUCCAUCUAUCGAGUACUAGAUCUCUUUUCUCAUUAGCCACUCAUGUUAGUAUAGCGAUGUUACUACGGUGAUGUGGUGGGGGAGCAGUAUGAUGGUACGCGGAGGUCGCACAUUGUCGGUAGGGUCUGGAGCACCCAUGUCCUUAUUGCAUCGAUCCAACCCUGAUUCAACUGAUGUUGUUGACGUUGGAUGGAACCUUGACCUAGUAGUAGUUGUUGUGGUUGGGCCAAAGUACCUUCUACCAAUUGUUGUUGUCGUUGUUGCAAAAUAAUGGCGCGCACAACGUUGUGGAUGGCAUGGCAUUGUGCUCGCUUGGGGGUAUGUGAUAGUUCCUGACAGCACUGCUGCCUCAACACCUGGCAUCUGCUUUGUUGUACCAUCUGUGACCGGAGAAAUGACACAACUGCCACUGGACGACACUGUUGUAGGAGGACAUCCCUACAUGGGUUCGGUUGUUGUUGUACAAAUGGUUGUUGUUCCUGAACUAGGUGUUCAUGUUGAUGUGGAAAUGGAUGUUGCGGUUGGGGGUAGGAUGGCUGUUGCGGUUGGGGAUAUGGUGGUUGUUGUGGAAAUUGUUGUUGCCUAAAUGGUAUCUGUUGUGCUGGAAAUGGCUGUUGUUGCGGAGUUGAUUGCUCCUCUUGAAAUGGUUGUUGUUGCGGUUGUGGAAAGGGUUGUUGUGGUUGUUGUGAAAAUGAUUUUUGUGGUUGCAAUUGGGGACUAUGGCGAUGGUAGCGAUGGAGGCAAGAAAGGCAAGCGUGAGGAAGAUCUUCAUAGUUUAUUCGUGUUGGAUAAUGUUUGCUUGCCUUUGAUGUGUUGUUCUCUAAUGUGAAUGGUGGAUGAUGGAGGAUCUUGAUGGUGUAUGCCUAUUUAUAGCUACCAUGGCAUUGUUUGUUUUCACCCUUGCAUUUACUUUUCUUGGGAAGUGCAUGCACGCUUCUCAACUCAUUAUUUCGUAUGUUGUGUCUGUUGGCACUACUUAUAAGUGUAUUGUUGGAUUGCUCAUCAAAGUUCUUUGUUGUUGCACAUAUCACUCCACUGUCACCAAAGCUUUAUAAAUUGAGAUAACUAAUGUUAUUCACUUUACAUGUCAAACAUCAAUCUAGAUUGCAUCGGAAGUUUCUGAAACUACUCCCUCUGUAAACUAAUAUAAGAACGUUUAGAUCACUAAAGUAGUUAUCUAAACACUUUUAUAUUAGUUUACGGAGGGAGUAGUUUGUAAUGUUCUACAGGUUGUUACACAUAAACCAGAUUAGCAUGCCUUACACUGAACUAAGUUUGUAAUCCUGUGUGGCCUGUAAAGAUACACAAGACUUUACAGUACAAUGUGACUUGCAAAAGUAGAGCAUGACAUGAUUCAAUAUUCUGUUGGUUUGCCAAACUAAGUUUGUAUUGCUGUGCGGAUCAUUCAGAUAAUCAACAGGUUUUGCUUGCUAAAUCUGCUCAUGACAAGUGUUGGAACUGGGAUUGCUAGGAAUGAUACCGAGCCUUUACAUGGCAUAAUUUUUCUGCAGCUCGAGGGAAAUUUAUUUAGCAGGUAAAAACAAAUAGAUAAGAGAUAUCCAGGCAUUUCAUGGAUCUGCCAGAAAAUUCACAAGGCAUUAUCUAUCAUGAACAAUGCUACAAAACAGGUUGAGGAAAGCAAUCACAUUCUUAUUCCAGCCGAACAGUAGUUGAAUGCCGUAUGCUCAGAUUAGAAAUAUUGGCUUCAACUCAGCAGUCUCUAACUAGUAGGAGAAAGACCUGUAACAAGUCCAGAACAAAAUCCAGAUGUGCAGAUCGAAGAUGAUAAGCCAUCUAAAACUCAGACCACUGGAAGCUCCCCGCACUCACUAAUGACCACCUUCUUCUUCGGACGGUCACCUCUGUCAGUCUCCGACGACUCUAUCGUCCUUACGAUGUCCAUGCCUUCAAGAACCUGGCCAAAGACAACGUGUCUCCCAUCCAGCCACGGUGUCUGCAAGCAAGGCAGCAGAAACCUCAAUAUGGAAUUAUGAACUUCAAACUCAGCAACAGAAAAAGGGUACUAUUAUUCAAAUUGACUGACUGGUAGCAGGAAGUACACAAUUAAUUACCUUCAUUGUGCAGAUGAAGAAUUGGCUGCCGUUGGUGUUCGGUCCAGCAUUAGCCAUGCUGAGCACUCCAGGUCCAGUAUGAACCACUAAGAACAUUAAAUAACAUAUAAUCAGUUAGCAUAUAAUCUGAAGCAAAGCUGUGCGACACAGGUUCAUUGCAACACAUACAUUGGAAGUUCUCAUCCUUAAAGGUGCGGCCAUAUAUGCUUUUCCCUCCAGUACCCUGAAAUUAUCAGUUUCUAGUUAUUUAAUGCCAUUGUUGGAAGCUGUAUGUUUCAUUUUAGGCAAUCUGAAGUCUCAAAGUACUUCAAAUGCAGAUGAAACACAAAAUCAGGUAUGGGCUCAAUAUAGGAAAGGAUGGCGCAAUGACAAUCACCUUGAAUUCUUACCACGAGGCCACUGACCAAAAAAACAGAGUAGGAUGCACUUGUGCAAGUGAUUAAUGACAAUCAAACAUGGAUAAGAUCCAGGGUCAAAAUGCAGCACCAUAACAAAUUGAAUGCAGGUACACGAGCAAAGCUAGUAGUAAAGGUUCUAAACUCCCUUUCCUUCUCCCCCAGUCCCUCUGGUCCGUAAAAUAAUGCUUAAACAGCUAGCAUAACUAUCAACAAACUGAAACAGGUACAUUCGUGCAAAAAACAAAUAAGCACAUGUAUCUGUUCAAUCUUGUAAGCAAAGGUAUUUGCAUGGUAACAACUGAUAGUCUUUAGCUUUUCUUAAUGCAAUCUGUAAUACGGCAUAAGGAUGCACAUGCAACAAACAAGAAUAGACGAAGGUAGGAAACACAUACGUUGCCCUUGUCAAAGUCUCCUCCCUGAAUCAUGAAGUCCUUAAUGACACGGUGGAAACUUGAUCCCUUGUAUCCGAACCCUUUCUCCCCUGGACAAAAGAAAAAAAGAAAAAUUGCUCAUACACCUCAUCAGAAUUAAUUCUUGAAGAUGGGAUAACAGAACAUGGCUCCAGCAGUCCCUCCUACCAGCGCAGAGUGCACGGAAGUUCUCAACGGUUUGUGGAACGUCAUCCCCAUAGAGCCCGAUGACAAUCCUUCCAACAUUCUUCCCGACAGGGUUGCCAAUGCUUAUGUCAAAGUACACCUUGUUUGUAACUUUGGACUGAAGCUCAGGUGCCUGCAAUGCAUGACGAAAGAACAGCUUCAAACACCAUGAAAUGCAUGACAUCUAUAAUAAGGUAAAAGACAUACAACAGUGCAAGCACAAAAGCGGCAUAUUGUUUAAACCAUACAGUGGCACAUUUGUUCCCUUAGACAGCCGGCGACUAAAACUAACUGGGCCAUAUAAUGUACUAAACACUAACACAUGCCAUACCAAUGUAUGGUAAUAUCUGCAUCUAACACUGGCAUAACCCGACGGUUAUCAUAAGUGAUGAUAAAACCUCAACUUGCAAAUUUGUUCACACAAAAAAAAAAUUAUCAGUUAGUGACCAGAUUUUUCUCAUGAAAAUUACAGCUACC